AUACCAGAUCUACUGUUGUUUCUUCAGAACUUGUUAGGAAAGAUUACUAGCAGGUAAGUUAGACGCAUAUACAUACUACUAUAGGAAAUUGAACAGCUCCUUACAUAAUCGGUGCAACUUCUUAUACAAACAAGUUUCCCUCCCGGCAAUAGAUAGACAUCAAUAUUCAGACACCUGAGGGUGCUGAAUGUUAGAAACUUUACUUCCUCCCAACGUAAGCUCCCAGUUUAGACACAUUAGGAUUCCCAAAUGAUAGCUCAGAUGACCCCGUAACAAACAUGAGACUUCCAGGGGCCCAUUUUAUGACAGGAGGCUCUGUAUGAAAACUCAUCCAACUGCUCUGUAUGAAAACUCAUCCAACUAACAACCCUGACAAGAAAAAUAAACAAAACCAAACAAUGUUUAUAUAAUAACAAUACCAACAUCAAAAGAAUAUAGUCUUUGGAUACAGAACACAUUAUGCAAACUGGUGCAUAAGUUGAAUGCCCAAAUGUAGAUUCAAAAGCAUUGUUGGUUUGCCUAGAAGACAAUGAAUGCUAUGACUGGGGUCAGUGUAAGGGAAAUAACAUCCCUUUGAAUUCUAAGCAUUCAAAAGGCAUUAGAAUCAAGGAAUUUUGCUUAUCAUACCCCUUUCCCGCUCCGUACGCUCCAAGCAUAUCCACUACCAUCAUCAGAACCUUCCAAAACCAAGAAAGUAAAAUUAGCAUAAAGAGUGCAACUGUUGCGUAAAUUAGCAAGUGUACUAGUCGGCACAAGUAAUAUAAUGUAGAGUAGAGUAUUGUCCCACAGAGAUUGUAUAUCCUAUUAGUUACCGAAAUUAUUCUAAUCCUAAUUUAUUUGAACAAUCAAAUAAGCGAAUUUAAAUUGAAAAUUAAAAUAACUAAAAAUCAAAUAAAGAUACAAGCAGUAAUAGAAAUCACCAAGAGAUUAAAACACUAGGACAUUCGAUUUCACCAUAACCAAUCCAAUUUAAUCCUCUAUCUAUGCUAUUAAAGUUUAUUACCCAUGCUGACAGUAAAUUUCCUUAAUUUAUUCAAUAUCCUCUCUCGAGUAAUAUAAAAAAUAUCUCCACAUAUCAACCCACUAUAUUUCUAUGUGAAUUUAAAUAUGCAAAGAUUCAUUAAGUUCUAUGGAAAUUCUUAGACAAAACUGCACGAAUCACGUUGGCACAUCUUUGUCUUUCGUUCAAUUCAUGACAUCCAUUACACAGAGCAAAAAUACAUAAAUCUCAUCUCGGUCUCAUUAUGUAUCCUCAAAUCAUUCAAAUAUUGGCCAUAUAUUUAAAAGCAUUAAGCACAAUAAUGAACACUCAAUCAUGGAAUAAUUAAUUAAAAAUAACAUAGAUUUAUGGAAUUAAAUCUUCAUAGUUAGGCUACAUCGUAGCCCUAGUAAAAUAAAUUAGUUCAUGGAAAUAUAAAGAGAAUUCAUUAAUUUAAUCAGAAACAUUCAAGCAAGAUAAUAGAGAAGAGGAAAAGAAAAACUUAAGAAUUAAUGCGUCUUCCUCCUGCUCCAAAUUAUUCCUGCUACUCUCGGUUUUGCUCAAAACUUGCGGCUGCUGCUCUUCUCUUUAUUUUCUCUUGGCUGCCAUCUUCUCCUUGUGCGGCUGCCUUUCUUCCCUUUUAUAAUGUUGUGGUUUCUUCCAAAUCCUUAAAGGAAAAGGAUUGCAAAUCCAGCCCACGAAUCCUUAAAUGAAAAUAAUUAAAAACAAAAGCCCAACCACUUAUUUCAUUCCUAAGCCAAUCAGAAUUAAAAGCAAAAGCCCUUCCACGUGUUGCAUGCCAUAUUCUCUUUGUAAAUGAAUUCUUCAAUGCUUCCUCACUUGCUGCCAUAUUUGUGAACCAAAUAUUCAAUGCUUCCUCCAUGUGUUGCAUGCAUGCUUAAUGAUUAAUUAAAUUAAAUCCUUUGUGAUUUGUUCCAAUUAAUUCUUCUUUAAUCCCGUAUUGUACCUAAAAUAAGAAAAUAUAAAAAAUAAAAAUAAAAUUAACAUAAUAAAACAUAAAAUUAAGUUAUGAAAGCAUUAAAAUAAUAGAUAAAUUAUGAGCACAUCAAAUACCCCCAAACUUAACAUUUUGCUAGUCCUCGAGCAAAAAUUAAAAUAAAAACUACGAAUAGAAAAUCCUAACGAAACCACUUUCGCAGGUGAUCGCGAUUACAUUUAGCGUAUGCAACAAGCCUUUAAACCCCUAGGCGGCCCUAGUGGACGAGUUAUAGUCUCGUGAGGGUUUCCAGCGAUGAUACCCACAAACAUUAUCAAAAAUGCCUCAAAGAUUGCAUAAAGUAUAUAGCUCAAAGAAAAUUAAAAAUAUUAGCAAAGUUCUAACUUUAAUUCAAUGGUCAGCCUCAUCUCAUAUUGGAUUCUUGUGUUGUAUGUGAAUCAAUUCAAUCAAUACUCAUUCUCAAGAUCUUCAACAUCAACAGUCUUUGUCUCGAAUAAUAAACAGAGUAGGUCAAACUAACCUCAUCAUCUUGAUCUUUUUUUUUUUUUCUCAGGCAUAAAUUGCUUUUUUUUCUCUUUUUUUUUUUUUUCAUUUCUUUGUCCAUAGUCAGAAGCUUUCACUCUACCCCUUAAGGUAGCAUUCUUCUCAUGGUAGAUUAUCCUCUACAUAAUGGUGGUACAUAGGCCCAAAUUACUCAAGGAUAGCUUCACUCUUAAGGGUUGUAGGUAGCUAUUUCUGACUAUGGUGCCUGGGUAAACUUAAGUAAUAUAGAAUCAAGUCAAACAGUCAUUACUCAAUCUAAAAUUCUCAACUCAAGCUGUACCAAUCUCAAAUCUCAAGUCAAAAUUCUAAAAGAAUCGAUAUAAGUGCGCAAGAUAUUUAAAGAAUCUCAAUCAAGACGAAACUAAUACAAGAAUCAAGUAUAAACUAAAAUAAUAUUCAUCCCUUUCUAAGAACCAUAUUCAUUUUCAAUCAUAAACUCAUCAUAGGCAUUAAAAUCUUUUUUUUUUUUUUGGAAUAAAAUGAAAAGCAAAUAUUCCCACCCCCAAACUUAAAAUAAACAUUGUCCUCAAUGUAAAGAAAAAGAAAAGGAAAAGAAAAACUCCCCCGGUUUUGCACUUGAAGAUGGAAAGUUGUAGCUGAGUCGUUGAAAGGCAUGUGGAAAGUUGAUGUUCAUCGACCCCCAAACUCGUGCAAAAUCUAGAUAAAACAAAAUAAAAUAAGUAAAAGAAAAGAAAAAGAAUAUGAAAAAAAAAUUUGAUAAUAAUAAAGUUUAGAAAGCUUGGGUUGCCUCCCAAGAAGCGCUUAAUUUAUAGUCAUUAGCUUGACUGUCUCUGGAAAGAUUGUUCAAGGAGGCUCGUGGAUGCAAUGAGAUGAUAUAGAUGGACCUUGCACAAAGUUCUUGCAAUUAGGCCUCUUCCCACGAAAAUUAGGAGAUGAAUCUUCAUUAAUAGAUUGCUUAUGUAUUGUAUAAAUGUCAGGAGGGUCAGAUAAAUCUUUAUCCUUCAAUGUUUUGGCCAUUUUUUUAUCCAUGGUGUCUUCUUGAAAACAAUCUUUGAGUUCAAUUGGAUACUUGAUAGGUGUGUACACAUUGAAAAUGACUUGCUCAUUUUGAACUCUUAAAAUCAAUUUCCCUUCUUGAACAUCAAUCAAAGCUCUUCCUGUAGCUAAGAAUGGUAACUCUAUAUCUUCAGCCAUAUCCAAGACAAUAAAAUCUGCAGGGAAUAUAAACUUGUCAACUUUCACAAGCACAUCCUCAAUUAUGCCUCUUGGGUACUUUAUAGAUCUAUCUGCCAAUUGUAAGGUAACAGUUGUUGCCUUAGGUUCACCCAAACCUAAUUUCUUGAAAACAGAAAAAGGCAUCAAAUUAAUGCUUGCACCUAAAUCACACAAAGUUUUAUCAAAAUAACAAUUUCCAAUAGUGCAUGGAAUAUUAAAACUCCAUGGAUCUUUCAGCUUUGGUGGCAAUUUAUUUUGUAAGAUGGCGGUGCAAUCCUCAGUCAGCAUUACAGUUUCAUGCUCCUCAAGUUUCCUCUUGUUGGACAACAUUUCUUUCAUAAAUUUGGCAUAAAGCGGCAUUUGUUCCAAAGCAUCUGUAAAAGGAAUAUUAAUAUGCAAUUUCUUAAACACAUCAAGAAAUUUUAAAAAUUGCUUAUCUAUGUUAUUUUUUCGGAGACGCUGAGGAAAAGGGAUUGGAGGAACAUAGGCCUUGACUGGUGUUGCUAGUUUAGGUUGUGGUAUUUCUGAACUUGCUGCCUUUGAAACCUUAGUGGUGUCUUCAGUUUGUUCUUCAUCAACUUUCUUUGCUUCUUUUCGCGGCUCAUCAAGUUGUUUACCACUCCGAAGUAUAAUUGCAUUAACUUGCUCCUUUGGAUUUGUCUCGGUGUUGCUUGGCAGAGAGCCAUGUUGUCUACUGGAUAGCAAGUUUUCAAUCUGACCCACUUGUACCUCGAGGUUCCGAAUUGAUGCAGCUUGAUUUUGAAAAGUUGUCUCUGUUUUGGUCAUGAAUUGAGACAUGUUUGUUGUAAGCUGGGUAAGAGCAUCUUCUAAGUUUGACUUCUUUUCUUGUGGUUGGAACCCUGGAGGUGGUGCCAAUGUAUUCUGAGUGUUGCUCCAUGACAAAUUCGGAUGGUUUCUCCAGCCAGGAUUGUAGGUAUUAGAAUAUGGGUUAUGUUGCUGUCUCUGGAAGUUUGACACAUAAUGAGCUUGUUCAGCAGAUGACGACGCAAAAGGACUUCCAACUUGGCAGUUGACACCGGUAUGGUUCCCUCCGCAUAAUUCACAAACUUGAGUUUGAAUAGUACUGAUAUUUAGGUGUUCCAGCUUAUUAGAUAAAGCAGUCAUCUGUGCAGAUAAAGCAGUGACAACAUCAACAUUAUGGGCUCCUACAAUUUUCCUUGGCAUUGAUCGCUCUGAAGUCCACUGGUAAUUGUUGGAUGCCAUCUCCUCCAAUAAUUCAUAAGCUGCUUCUGGUGUUUUUCCCAUUAACGUUCCUCCUGCUGCAGCAUCAAUCAUUGUUCUGGUAUUGGAUCCCAAACCAUUGUAAAAUGUCUACACCUGAAGCCAAACUGGUAGACCAUGAUGUGGGCAUUUUCUUAUUAGGUCUUUGUAUCUCUCCCAUGCUUCAUAUAAUGAUUCCAUCUCGAACUGAGCAAAGGUUGUGAUGUCAUUCCUCAACUUGGUUGUUUUUGCUGGAGGAAAGUACUUUGCUAAAAACUUUUGCGCUAAACCAUCCCAUGUAGUGAUUGUUCCAGCAGGGAAUGAGUUCAACCACUCUUUUGCUUUAUCCCUCAAUGAAAAUGGAAAAAGCCUUAGCCUGAUAGCAUUGUCUGAAACACCAUUUUGCUUAAAUGUGUCACAAAUUUCCAAGAAAUUUGCAAUAUGAGCAUUUGGAUCAUCAUUUGGCAUUCCAGCAAAUUGAACUGAAGUCUGAAUCAUCUGGAUUAUGGCUGGCUUAAUUUCAAAAUUAUUGGCUUGAACGACAGGACGUGCAAUGCUUGAGCGAGCACCAUUAACUGUAGGUAUAGCAUAAUCUCUUAAGGGUUUUGCAUCCUCAUUUCCAUGUAAUGCUUCGUCAGCCAUGAUUAGUUGUUGCUCCUGUGAAGCUUCUCUCCUUUCUUUAUUAAGCUUUCUACACGUACGUUCAAUCUCUGGAUCAAAAGGCAAUAAAUUAAAACUUCUUGAGCGUCUCAUAAAAUUAAACAAGAAAAUAAAAAUUCAAAUAAAAACAAUAAAAAUAAAAUUCAAAUUAAACUAGGUUAGUUGGUAUCGAUACUAAUCCAAACAAUCCACGGCAACGGCGCCAAAAACCUGUUGCGUAAAUUAGCAAGUGUACUAGUCGGCACAAGUAAUAUAAUGUAGAGUAGAGUAUCGUCCCACAGAGAUUGUAUAUCCUAUUAGUUACCGAAAUUAUUCUAAUCCUAAUUUAUUUGAACAAUCAAAUAAGCGAAUUUAAAUUGAAAAUUAAAAUAACUAAAAAUCAAAUAAAGAUGCAAGCAGUAAUAAAAAUCACCAAGAGAUUAAAACACUAGGACAUUCGAUUUCACCAUAACCAAUCCAAUUUAAUCCUCUAUCUAUGCUAUUAAAGUUUAUUACCCAUGUUGACAGUAAAUUUCCCUAAUUUAUUCAAUAUCCUCUCUCGAGUAAUAUCAAAAAUAUCUCCACAUAUCAACCCACUAUAUCUCUAUGUGAAUUUAAAUAUGCAAAGAUUCAUUAAGUUCUAUGGAAAUUCUUAGACAAAACUGCACGAAUCACGUUGGCACAUCUCUGUCUUUCGUUCAAUUCAUGACAUCCAUUACACAGAGCAAAAAUACAUAAAUCUCAUCUCGGUCUCAUUAUGUAUCCUCAAAUCAUUCAAAUAUUGGCCAUAUAUUUAAAAGCAUUAAGCACAAUAAUGAACACUCAAUCAUGGAAUAAUUAAUUAAAAAUAACAUAGAUUUAUGGAAUUAAAGCUUCAUAGUUAGGCUACAUCGUAGCCCUAGUAAAAUAAAUUAGUUCAUGGAAAUAUAAAGAGAAUUCAUUAAUUUAAUCAGAAACAUUCAAGCAAGAUAAUAGAGAAGAGGAAAAGAAAAACUUAAGAAUUAAUGCGUCUUCCUCCUGCUCCAAAUUAUUCCUGCUACUCUCGGUUUUGCUCAAAACUUGCGGCUGCUGCUCUUCUCUUUAUUUUCUCUUGGCUGCCAUCUUCUCCUUGUGCGGCUGCCUUUCUUCCCUUUUAUAAUGUUGUGGUUUCUUCCAAAUCCUUAAGGGUAUGUUUGGCACGUGGUAUUGCAUUGUAUUAUCUUGUGGGCCCAGCAUUAGUUAAAAUAUACCUGUGUUUGGUGAUCAAAUGGAUUGCAUUGAGCAGCAUUAAAAUGCAGCUUUUGCCGCAUUAUCAAAACCCGCGCCCCCCCUCGUGAUUAGGCUGUAUUACUGACUUUUGUGUUUUAAAAGUCAGUAGCUUCCCCUUUUUUUAACUUUAUAAUAAUAGUAAUAAAUAAAUAAAAUUUUAAUUUAAUAUAAUAUUAUACAAUAUUAAUUUUUAUUUUUACAUUAUAAUUUAUUAAUAAAUUUAUAAUUGAAUAUAAUUAAUAAUAAAUACUUAAAUAGUAUAUAAAAAUAUAAUAUAGCAUUACAUUAUUUAAUUAAGUUACAAUAAUUAAUAUAAAAUAUUAAUACAAUUUAAAUAUAUUAAUAUAAUAUAAUAUUUAAUUUAAAUUAAUAAAAAAAUUAUUAUAGUACAGUAUAGUACCAAACAUUGUACAGUAUUAUUAUAAUACAAUGUUAAUACAAUACAGCAUAAUACAAUACAUCAGUAUUAAAAUAAUACAAUACAGCAUAAUACAAUACAACAUAAUACAAUACGUGUACCAAACGCACCCUAAAGGAAAAGGAUUGCAAAUCCAGCCCACGAAUCCUUAAAUGAAAAUAAUUAAAAACAAAAGCCCAACCACCUAUUUCAUUCCUAAGCCAAUCAGAAUUAAAAGCAAAAGCCCCUCCACGUGUUGCAUGCCAUAUUCUCUUUGUAAAUGAAUUCUUCAAUGCUUCCUCACUUGCUGCCAUAUUUGUGAACCAAAUAUUCAAUGCUUCCUCCAUGUGUUGCAUGCAUGCUUAAUGAUUAAUUAAAUUAAAUCUUUUGUGAUUUGUUCCAAUUAAUUCUUCUUUAAUCCCAUAUUGUACAUAAAAUAAGAAAAUAUAAAAAAUAAAAAUAAAAUUAAGUUAUGAAAGCAUUAAAAUAAUAGAUAAAUUAUGAGCACAUCAGCAACAAACCAAUUGUAUCACAUAAAACUAAUAAGACGUGCUUGGCCACACUAGGCUGCUUCCACAUGUGUGGGUGCACUUGCUAUUUGAGCAUUUCAUUGAUUUAUUUUGAUUAACAAGCACAACCAGAUGAAAAUAUAUACGCAUUUGGAUUUGCAUGGAUGGGAGUGGGUUUUAAACCAAGUCAAUGAAGAAGAGAAAUUGAAUUUCUUGCAAAGAAUUCUGUGGGAACAAGCUUGAUGCUGAAUGCUUUUCUUCUAAUUGCUAUGUUUCUGUUAGCAAGGUGGUAACAAAUUUGAGAAUUAUAUACAGCACAAGUGCAAGAACUUUAAUAUAAAAUAUCAAAACAGCCGAAAGCAAAUAUUAACAAACUAUCCACAAGUCACUGUGCCCUAAGAACUGAAAGGAGAAACUCUAUCGGGGCUGAAAGAUGCCUCCAAUGUGGAAUUGUGAGAAACUGGCUUGGCAUCAUAAGUGGAUAAAUAAAAAGGGUAAUUUUUAGGUACCUCCCCUGAGGUUUGGUGUAUUAACACUUAGAUAGAAUGUAUUCAUGUAAUUACAUAUACCUCCCCUACAGUUAGUAUAAAAAUACGUAUAGCGUCAAAUAGAAGGGUAAAUGUGUAAAAAUAUAUUUAAAAUUAAAAAUAUUUGCUUUUACCAAAUCAUUAAAAUUAUGACCCACUUGCCCGCUGUCAGCCCAAACUUGACCAGUCGGUCAUGGCUCCACCAGCGGCUGGUGGUGGUGCGCCGCUACCGAAGUCCUCUCCUCACACUAGCAACCAACCCCAUUCAUGGCAGCCUUUGAAUCAACUGCGUCCACCAACACACAUUAACCCAAGUACACGGCUUUUUGAAGUGUCUCUUUUGCUUUGUGUUUUCCCUUCAUUGAGAAGAUUCGUUAGCUAAUAUAAUAAGCUUUGUUGCCUUAGAUUUGAGAUUACAGAGGCCUGAGCAGAUGUGGCAGUGAUGUGGGCUUUAUUGUACUUGUCGAACAGGCAAAACACAUUUUAUUGGCCUACGGCGCCUUUUUCUUCUUGUUGGGGAACUUCGUGAAGAAUCCAGCUUGCUUCUUUCUUCCUUUUCUUUCUUCAUUUUAAUUUUUUUUUAACUUAUAAUAACUUUUUGAGAUUGAAUUAUUGGCUUCACGUGUAAAUGAAUGGUAUUUGGUAUGUCAAGUGCAUAGUUAUUCUUUUUUUAUUUAUUUUUUCUGAUGUUUUUGUGUUGGAAUUAAUUUCUCAAGGUUUUGGCACCACUCCCCAUUGGAUUUGCUGUGUUCAUGGUACACUUGGCCACAAUCCCAAUCACACGCACUGGAAUUAAUCCAGCAAGGAGUCUCGAGGCUGCUGUUAUUUACAACAAGGACAAGGCUUGGGGUGGCCAAUGGCUCUUUUGGGUGGUGGUGCUUUGCCACUGUCGGAGUCCUCUCCUAACACCGGCGACCAACCCCAUUCAUGACAGCCUUUGAAUCAACUGCGUCCACCAACAAACACUAACCCAAGUAGGCUUUUGUCUCAUCACAACCGGCACACCCCCACCGCCCCUUUGGCCAUCGCCGAAGCCACCCAACAACAACUAACAUCACCAUUAAAGUGGGUUCAAUGGAAUUCCCACUGCCAACGGAAUUCCCAAAGUUAUAACUAAUAAUUUUUUAUUUCAGCAUGAAGGAUAUUUUAGUAAUUUUAAAUGUUUACUAACGGUCAACUUAAUUAAUAACUAACGGCAGGGGAGGUAUAUGUAAUUACAUAGAUACAUUCCAUCUAGGUGUUAAUACACCAAACCUCAGGGGAGGUCUCUAAAAAUUACCCUAAAUAAAAACAAGAGUAAAUAGAAGCUCAUUAACAGAGAUUCCACUGUAUAGAGGGGUAUAUAUGUACAAUAUGUUACAUUUGGGAGAUGAAGAAAGAAAAAGUAAACUCACAAGUGUGCCUUGGAAUGAGUCAAGCACACGAAUAUGUCCUUCCAUAGUGGUCGGAAGUAUAAUUCUCCCAUCAUUACUGAGCUUUAUGACAUCAGAAUCUGAUACAUCUUCCCCAUUAGAGAAGAUGUCAAAAGGACCCUAACAGCAUCCAAGCUUAACCAAAUUAGUGCAUGAUAAAAGUACUACGAUAUAUAAACUUCCAAGAUAUUCUUAUAUUAAUUUUAACCUUCUCAUACUUACGAGCAUCAAACAUUCUUAUGUAUCCUCCAAAGGCAACUGCAAAGACAAGCCCUUGAUCAUCGUAUGCUGUAGCAGGCCUUCCUUGAACAUUCAAAAGACCCGGAUUUGCCAACAGAGAUCAUAAACACAAUUGAAAAUGGGGGAAAAAGACACUUUGAAUGUGACCGUGGAUGGCAUGAUAUCCACCUAGCAUUUCUCAGCCCGCUGAUCCCAGAGCAGAACAGUUUGAUCAAGAGAACCAGAGAUAAAGCAAUCUUUCGAGGAGCACAGGCUAAACAACCCUAGAAGCAAUAAAACAUAUAUACAGAUGAUAAUAAUUACAAAAUAUUUACAAGAAUCAGUGAAUUACAAACCUGUCAUGGUGACCUUUGAAGUAACGCAAGUACUUGUUAUCGUGCAAGGAAAGAAACCGUAGAGAUUCUGAAUAAAUGAACGUAUCAAACAGCACUACAAGUGGUUUCGUAAUCCAAAAAGUUCUAUCCAUGAAAGCAGAUAUCAAGCACUUCCCCAGAAAAACAAUUCAAGGGUUCCUUUGAUUUCAAAAGACACUUUAUUAUUUCUGCAAUUUCAAACAAACAUUGCAAAAUUGAAACCAGCUUCUUAUACUUAUUCAAAAGCCAUUUCUUAGUUAAAAGCACUUCCAAAGAGACAACAUAAAAUCCUAAGAAACAGAGGAUCAACUUACGUGGCAGCAGAGACAUCGUACGGCCGUAUAGAUUCAUCAUCACUAGCCGUCACCAAAUAACUCGACGAUUUAUGAAAAUCCAUGGAACUAAUUCUCCCAUUCUGUUGAAACACAAAUCAAUACAAAACGACACUGAAUUAACAAACAGAUACAUUUAAAACGCAAAUCGAGUAUGUUCCUCGAAUAGAAACUUAUUAGAAGAUUCUCUUACAUAAUCUCUAAAAGAAAUGCCCACUUCCAUGCUCUGAAGAAUUUCUUCAAAGAGUUCCAACGAGACCUUGUCUUCUCUCUCCGAUUGUGACCCUAAAACCCAGAAAUAAAAAAAAAAGAAAUAAAAACACAAAGCAAAUAAGUAUAUCACAGCAAUUAUGCCAAAAACGACAACAUUUCAAGUAAAAUUUCCACAUACCAACAAUUUUUUUUUUUUUUUUUUUUUGAUAUAAAAGGGAGCCAAACAAGGCUAAACCGAGACAAAACGUGGGAAAGCAUUCCCGUACAUGUCAUAAGUUAAACAAUUAACAACACCAUUCGGAGGGUUGUGGAGGACAUGAAACCCAAGAGGUUGCCUCAUUGCGAAAUUUGCAAGAAAAUCCGCUGCAAAAUUUGCUUCGCGGUAAAUGUGGCUAAUGCACACAUGCCAUUCUCUAUUUAUGAGCCUUCGGAUACUUUGAAUCACAGAAGAAAAUUUGCUUGGGUUAUUGUUCGUGUCUGCAAGAAGCUCAGUGAUGCACUUGCUGUCAACUUCAACCAACAAAGACCGAAUUCCCAUCUUCCAAGCCAGGUCAAGACCAUAGAAUAAACCCCAAAGCUCAGCAUUUGUAACCGAACUAAUUCCAGUGUUCGCACAGAAUCCAGCAAUCCAGUUCCCAUUUGCAUUUCUUAUCAAGCCCCCUGCAGCUGCCAUGUUCAUCUUUAGCAGGCCCCAUCAGUAUUCAAUUUGAAGACAUUUUCAGGAGGAGGUUUCCACCCAAAGUAUUUAACCAUCUUUGAAGCUCCAGGCUUGAUCAAGGCCAUCAUGGUUUUAUGGGCAUUUUCAGCUCUGGUCAUAAUAUCUAAAGUGAUGCUUUGACUGCUCCUCUGUACUUUCUUAAACAGAGCUUGGUUCCUCCAAAACCACAAUUAUGCCAAAACACAAAGCAAAUAAGUAUAUCACAGCAAUUAUGCCAAAAACGACAACGUUUCAAGUAAAAUUUCCACAUACCAACAUUUUUUUUUUUCCUUCAGAUUAAUUCAAUUCCACUGCACUGAAAACAAUUUUUUCACGGAAACGGGAGGAAGUUGAGAAUUUAUUUAUACUUCUGUGUCAAAUAGCAUUAUUUCCCAAAUAAGGACGGUAGUUUUCUAUUCGUCCCAAAUGGGUGCCUAAACCCAUACAAUGACUACGAUACCCUUAAGCGUCAGAUCCUGUACACUUAAAUGUCAAGGGUAUUUUGAUCAUUUAAUAAUUAGUGACCUACUUUCCGAUGCUUAUAAAGUCAAACUUCACGAAGAAAACGCUAAUAAGAAUGAUUAAGAAAAACGCUCAAAUUGGAUCAAAGCUUUGAAUGCCAACGUAAGUCUCGAGUUUUUUUUUUUUUCUUUCUUUCUAUUAUGCGUUAUUUUAUUCAUCAUCUAGUAGUAAUUUAAUCUGCAAAAUUCCAAUUUUUGACGCGCGCGCACCUAAAAAAUUUUUUGAAAGAAUUUUAUUUGAAUUUUAUAUGUGUUCCUAUUUGUUUUAUGAAUCGAAUCUGAUAAGAAAUUGUGGGGAUGCAAAUAUCACACGAUGCCUCCGUUCAGUCAAUUUUUUUCUUGAUUUGUUGAAAUUGUGUAAAUAGAUUUAUAAUAGUUUUUAUGAUGUGGCAGGGUACGCGCUCUUUGGAUAAUCAUGGAAGUAUGGUGAUUUCUAUUUAUUGUUGUGGGGAAAGGACACCGAAUUCUUUGCCUGGUUUUAGAAAUGAUCACAUAGACUUGUAUUAGGAUAAUUAUACCCUUUGACUGUAGUGAUUUCAUCUUGGCAUAUUUAUCAAAAUGGGUAUUUUCCCUUUCAACUACUCAUCACACGAGCUUUAACCUUCCACCAGUGAUCUGUUGAGGCUGAAUGAUGAGCGGAGGAUAGCGUGUUUGCCUUAUUCGUGCUUCAAGGUGAAGCAGAUUAUUGGUGGCAGGAUUAAGCUCGUCUGAUUUUGCAACCAAUUACAUGGAAAAUGUUUGUGAAUGGCUUGAAGCAUUGAGAUAUCAUUCUAUUAUCUCCGUGUGUUUUCAUAAGCAAAAUUGGGAUGUUAAUAGUGGUGUCGUAGCAGGAAGUUGAACAUGCAAGAUUCCAGCAAAUCCCUUUGAGAUCCCAUCCAGUUGUUGCAGCCCAGAUCCCACCAUCAAAUCAGGUCAAAUUACAAGAUAUACCUAACUUAUGGAUUAACUUUCAUGUCUUUUAGUUUGAGAUCUAGUGAGUACAAUGCUCGUAAUGGCCAAUACCAUAUGGUUCAAGAGGAUAUGAGAGCAUAAAGGUUCAAAUUUAUGAGUUUAACCGGUUGAAAAUGGUGUAAUAUGCCUCUGUGGUUUGUACAUAAUGGAUUAGAUAAUCCUCUUUUUUGGCCCUCCAAAGAAUUAUUCGUAGGAGACUGAAAAUUGAAUCUCUGAUGCAGUUUAUCCUUGAACUGGUAAGACAAUGUAGCUGAAGUAAUUUUUCAUAUUUCAUAUAGUAUUUGCUAUCACUUAAGUGGAAGACUAACUUUUGUAUCUCUACUUUUUUCUGGCGACUUCAAACAGUCUCAACCUUUUGGAAUGUGACAAACUUUGAACUACUAUAGUAAUAAGAAGAUUACUAACCCUGUGUGCCCUGUACACACUGCUAUGAUUGAAGAAAGGCUAACCCUGUGUGCCCUAUACACACUGCUGUGAUUGAAGAAAGGCUAAUAUUACUUUUGCUGACUGACUGAGUGUGAAGGUGUGGGAGUGAAAGCUACAACAUACACAAACAAUAUGGAUGGACCUUGCCAAUGCUGAGUUGAUCUCUGCAAAUGAAGAUUCACCUAAAUAGAUUGGGAAUGCCAUUGUGGAGCAAAUUAGUAGGAACCAGGAUGGAAAUUCCACAGUGGUUAUGCAUCUUGAAGGAUACAAGAUGACUGUGUUGAAGCUGACCCAGCUACUUGAAAUAACCGAGUUAGUGGGGUUUGACUACCCAAUCACAAAGAAAAAGGUAUGUUGAUUUUCAGAAUUUUUCUUCCACUUAUCUCUUUGCUGUCAUACAGAGUGCCAUUCUGAAUAGUGAACUUUUCAUGUAAUGUGAAUUUGAUUCUUAAAGCACCUGAAUCUAGAUAAGCUUGCUGCAUGCUGAGCAUUGGGUCUUGUGUCUCAUGUGGGCUUUUUUCUUGAGUUCUUUGUGCCCAAAGAUGCUAGUAGGCUGGUUCUUACCACUGACCAACCAUCUAUUUAUACUUAGUCACAGCAAUUGCAAACAUACCCCCUUGGUUGGUUCAGGCAGUAAAAUCUCUUGAGGUAGUACUUAAUUGCCAUUUCCAAGUGUUUAACCCUAAAUUUUUAAUAUCUUUUUGGUGGAUUCAUAUACAUUGAACUAGUCUUCUUUCUAUAUUACAUGGAUUAAAUUUUGAAAUUAGGCCAACCUGUUGUUAAAUCUGCCUUUCAAAUUAUUGACUUAAUAUUGCGAAAAAAGAGAGACUUUUUACUAUUACAGAAUUUUUCAUUGUUGCAGGAAACUGGAGUCGUAGCUGACAGUGCUCAAGGGCAAUCCUUAAAUUAAAUUUCAUUGCAAUAUUUGAAAUUUAAAUUAUUUGAGAAAAAAAAAAUAUUUGCAUAAUAUUGAACAACGCAUUUUCUUGUAUAAUAUCAAUAAAACAAUGCAUGUGAGGGAAUAAAAAGAAUAAGACGAAAUUUGACGACAGUAAUUAGCAUUAUUUCAAGCAAAGAAAUCUGGACACUAAUAUGUUUUCUCUGUUACUUUUCAAAAUUACUGCGUGUGCAUGAGAUGAUUGCUUGCUACUGUAGUACUGUGCAAGGUGAAACAUUUGAAGAAGCCCCCUUCUAAACUGGUAGUGGUGGUCGUUGUCCUCCUGCCGAGGAAGUGUCAUUAGAUUGAAACCUACUGCAAAUAUUGAUACAAAAUGGCUUCAAGGUUUCGUUAUAGAGCUGACUGCAAAAUGGCUUCAAGGUUUCGUUGUAGAGCUGACGACAAGCUUCUGUAAACAGCGCCCCAUAUUGAUGCACAACAAUGAUAAUGGACGAGCAAAGCCAUGCAGUGUACAAUAUGAUAUGACCAAUAUCAGAGCGGGGAACAAAUGUGGAGGCUAGCGAGACUGCAGAAACAGAUCCAGAGACUCGUGCUGCAAGGGCCCAAGAUUGGGAAAAAUUCUCUUGAUGAGCUAAAUAUGCAUAACAAUAAAUGGCUGUGGUUAUGAGAAAAGACCAUAUAUUUGUUGUGUGUUUCAAGCAAGCGCUCAUUUGUGCCUUGCAUAUUUGCUCCCACAAUGCCGAUGAGAGCUGGAAUGAGAUAUCCAAACACGUUAUGGUAUGCGUUUGACAUCGCAGAUAAAUAAAAUUUGUUCUUGCAGAACCAUUAAAAUACUAUAUUAAGGAAAGUAUUAGAUCCAUUCCUUUAGAAAAACAGGAAUUUAAGAGAUCAUUAUGUAUUUAGUCUCAUUUAAUAUUAGUUUAAUUUUUUCGAGUCAUAGUUAUUGUGAAAAAAAAAAAUUAUCAAAUACUUUUAUUGAUUGGUAAGAAUUUAAAAAGGAAAUUUGGGAUUUUUUUUUUGUUUUCUUGUGAACAUUGACGGUAUAUAUGUAGGGUAAAGUUUUAUUUUUAAAUACACGUUGUGGCUCAGCUCAGAGAGAGAAGGGAGACGGUCAAGAUUGCUGGGUUGACUUUCUUUUCCCGUCAGCCAUUUUGUAAUAGCUUGAUCAGAGCAAUCAUUACCUGCAAAACUUAACACAACACCAAAUUAACAACCAACAUUUCAAUUGAAACAAAUCUACUUGAAAAUAAAAGAAAAAGCAACUCCAAAUCAAAAUCGAAAUGAAACCUUAUCAGAGAGACAGCCGCAAGUAUGAAGAGACAAGCACGAUCCUGAAGGACUAUUACUCCAAAUCAAAAUCGAAUUAUAAGAGAGAAAGCCGCAAGUACGAAGAGAGAAGCGCGAUCCUAAAAGAUCUGAAGUCGUGUUGUAUAUAUGUCUUGUAUAGAUUGACAGAGCAAUCAAAGGCCGUGUCGACCAGAGCAAUCGAAGAGUAGAAGAGAUAAGAGAGGAAAAAAGAAGAAGAGGAGAACUGCAGCAGCAAAUGAGCAAAGGGCAGUAUUUAUAGACAAGACAUGUUGUACGAAAUAAAGUAGUGGACCCUUUGUAGGCCUCAUCAUUCUUAAAAAUUUCUUCCAUCAUCACUGCCAUGCAACCUAGAUAUUCUUUUUCAAAUAUAUUAAACAUUUUAUUCGUGUUAGUUUGUACUGCAUGGCUUAAAAUUCCACUCUUUACUAUGAGACAACGAACGAGUGGACCCUUUGUAGGCCUCAGUUUUGCAAUUACUGACUUAUCACAGCUUACUCCAAAUCAAUUUGGAGUAAGCUGUGAUAAGUCAAUUUGGAGUAAGCUGUGAUUUGGCUGUUGUAAGCAUGGCGUUCGUUGAAAAUUCCGCGAAUUCCCCCAUCCGCCAUCGGACCGACCGUCGGUUGAAUUAUCACAGCUUAAGAGCUAAAGUUUUUGUGUUAAAGAGCUUAAAUAACAUAUUAUAAGACUCAAGAUAUUAGGUUCGAACCACGCAUCUUCGUUUUACUUAAUGCAGAUCCAAUUUUGGUGGCAGCGAAAUUAAAACUUUUCAUUUCAUGUAUUAUCUCAAGAAAUAUGACAUUGAUACAAAUACAUCAUUCAUAGAAUUUGAAACUUGGAACAUGAAUUUGCAGUACGUACUUUUAGGUAAUCCCAAAAAAAAAAAAAUUUAAACUAUUAGGUAAGAGUUCAAUAGUUGUACUUGAAAUCAAGUCUAACAAAUAUUUAGAGCAUAGUAAAAUAAGGACCGAUUGAGAACAAAAUUAAAGAUUUAGAUUAAUUGAGAUGAUAAUUUAUGUAAACUUACUAAAAUAAAACAAAGAUGCAUAGUAAGUUUACAUAAAUUAGGUUCGAACUACGCAUCUUUGUUUUAUUUUAGUAACCUUAAACAUCUACCUCGAAAGUUGACGAAAGUUGUGAGCAAUAUUCUAAUAUUGCUAAUAUGUGUUUCAAACUAGAUACUUAGAUUCUAAUUAUCCUCCUCGUUCAAUAAUCAGUCUUUCUUGUGAAAACACAUCUUAUAAUAAUAAUAAUAAUAAUAAUAAUAAUAAUUAUUAUUAUUAUUAUUAUUAUUAUUAUUAUUAUUAUUAUUAUUAUUAUUAUUAUUAUUAUUAUUAUUAUUAUAUCUAAAAAAAGAGUAAGCAGUGCUACUGGUAGUCUGCAGUCUGCCGUGUAAUGAUAAUAUAUAAUGAAUAAAUAAAUAAAUAAAAACGGAAAUACGUAUCACAGUUGACACAUACCUUCAUUGAAAUCAAUAUAUAUAUAUAUAUAUAUAUAUAUAUAUAGGGUUUGGCUAUCUUCUUAUUAUUAUCUUUCCUUGUUAUCAUGCAAGGAAAGAAGCCGUAGAGAUUCUGAAUAAAUGAAUGUUUCAAAUAAGUGCCUAGGAAAGUAAUCCACCAACAUACACAACACAAAUGUUCCGAUAAACAUACCAUCCCAACCAUUCUUUGAGGAGUAUAUGACUGUUGUAGGAUGAGAAGUAAAACAAACAAGAUCCACGCCAUAUUUUUUGCUAUUAAUUGUCUUCAAACAUCUGAAAUUCAAUUAAGGGUCUCAGUAACAAUUGUAAUACCGAUUAUCAUGAACUCAGCUAAGACAACUGAAGUGCAUUUGGGAGUGCUCUUAUAGAAAGAGCAUAUGAAAGCAGGAGGGGAAAACGGCCUUUUCACAAAGUACUUGAAAAACAUAUGAAUUACAUUUCCCUUAAGCACUUCCCAGAAACCACUCCAAGGUUUUUUUUUUUUAAUUUUUUUCCAUCUUAAAAAGCAUUUUUGUCCAUCUUAGAGAAACAGCAACUUUCAUGAGCUCCUGAAACACGCAGAGCAUACAUUCAGAAGUGCUUUAACUGAAAGUACCCUUGAGUAAAAUCACUUUGAAACAUAUAUGAAGUACUUCUUCAAAUGGCACUAGAAGUGAUUUCCUAAUCCAAAAAGUUCCACCUAUGAAAGCGGAUAUCAAGCACAUUCUCACAAAACCACUUCAAGGGUUCCUUUGAUUUAAAAAGACACUUUAUUUUUCUGCAAUUUCAAACAACUACUGCAAAAUUUAAACCAGCUAUUUACACUUACUCAAAAGCCCUUUCUUAGUUAAAAGAACUUCCAAAGAGACAACAUAAAAUCCUAAGAAACAGAGGAUAAACUUACGUGGCAGCAGUGACAUCAUACAGACGUAUAGAUUCAUCAUCACUAGCAGUCACCAAAUAACUCGACGAUUUAUGAAAAUCCAUGGAACUAAUUCUUCCAUUCUGUUGAAACACAAAUCAAUACCAAAACGACACUCAAUUAACAAACAGAUACACUUAAAAUGCAAAUCAAGUAUAUUUCUCAACUCAAAAAAAAAAAAAAGGUAGAAGGUUCUCUCACGUAAUCUCUAAAAGACAUGCCCACUUCCAUGCUCUGAAGAAUUUCUUCAGAGAGCUCCAAUGAGACCUUGUCUUCUCUCUCUGAUUGUGACCCUAGAAACACCCAGUAAAAAUACACAACACAAAUAAAAUAAAUAAAUAAACCACAGCAAUUAUGCAAGAAAACUACAACGUUUCAAGUAUAAUCUCCACAUACCAACCAUUUUUUUCUCCUCCAGAUUAAUUCCACUGCAUCGAAAAUAAAUUUUCCACUGAAACGGGAAGGAAGAUGCGGAAGUUGUGAAUCAAUCAGCAAGAUUUCUCCAAUAAGGACCUAAGUUUUGCAAUCGUCUCAAAUAGGUGCCCGACCCCAUUUAAUGAGUAAGAUACCCUUAGGCGUCGUAAAGAUUAUUUAUUUAAACACCAAGGGUAUUUUGGUCAUUUAACAUCACUGAGGGUGCCGCUACGCUACACCUUAUUACGAGCCGUAGACCCCCGCCGGUGGGAUGGUUUGGGUUUGUCGGUUAACGCAUUAAAAUUCAUCUCAAACACAAAAUAAAUUUUGACAUCCAUUGUAUAGUACACACAUUAAUAAAAGAGAUAGGUUUAGUUUCAAAAAAGUAAGUACAUGAUAUGUAGUGUUAUGGAUAUACAAAAUCAUUUUAAAAGUUAAAAUCUUUACAGUUUUUUUAAUGCUUUUCUCUCUUAAUGUAGAUUCCAUAAAAUACCAUAUAUUGUAACAAAGAAAAAAUGUUAUGUUCUAUUUUAAACCUUUAAUAAAACAUAGUAUAUAUGUUUUGUCAUAUACAAAUGAUUAUUAUUAUGUGGAGGUAAUUUUUUUAAGAUAGAAACUAAAAAAGUAUAGUUUAUUACAAUAUGAAGUUUAUUAUUAUUUAUAACUGACUCAAAUUGGGACAAGAAAUUUUUAUGAUUAUAUGGAGGUUAUUCUUAUAUAAAGUAUCACCAUGAAGAUAUAUUAUUGUAAUUUGAAGAGGAAUCCUUCUAGACUGGUAGUGUUGGUCCUAGCUGUCCUAACUGGUAGUGUUGAAACCUAUUGCAAGUGUCAAUACAAAAUGGCUUCAAUGUUUUUUGGUAAAGCUUAAGAGAAGCUUCCAUAAACAAUGUGCCAUAAUGAUACACAACAUUGAUAAUGGCAGCUCCAAUCCAUGCAGUGUACAAAAUGAUGUGACCAAUCUUAGAGCGUGGGACAAAUGUGGAAACCAAAGAGAUUGCAGAUACAGAUCCUGAGGCAACAGCAAUAAGGCACCAGAACUGGGAAGAAUUUUCUUGAUGAACUCGAGACUUCACAUCAGCUGAAUAUGCAUAACAGUAAAUGGCUGUGGCUAUAAGAAAAGAGCAUAUAUUUGUUGAGUGUGUUUCAAGCAAGGACUUAGUUUGGCCUUGAACAUUUGCACCCACGAUGCCGACGAGAGCCCCAAUAAGAUGACCAAAAAUAUAGGGAUAUGACAUUGAGGAGAAGAGAUUUCGCCCACUGCAAAACAAUUUUAAAAAAAAAAAUCCAUCAUAAUCUAAUAUUUCUCCUGAGCAAACUUCACUCAAGCGAUUAGUUGUUAAUAAUUUAAAAAAUAAAAGUGGUUAAGUUUUAUUCGUACACUAGCACUAAAUAAUAAGUGACAAAAGAUUUUUAAAGGUUUAAAAGAGCUCAAAUUAUAAAAGGAUCUUAAUCACCAUUUUAAACACAAAUUUAGACACAAGUUUUAGCCAUUGAAUUACAAUCAUUUCAAUAACUUAGAUUGAAGCUAACAUAAAUUUCAUUUUAAAAAUAAAAUAGUGGUCACAUUACAUAUUAUUAAUUUUAUCUCUUUUCUCUCCACUUUAAAUCUCUUUCUUGCUAGAAAUUGAGAGAGAGACUAAAAACUUCAGAGAUUAAUGUACCUAGUUUAGAGCUUAAAGAAGCUAAAACACAAGAAUCAAUGGAGAUAAUGGUUCCUUUACGUUAUACACAAGGCUUCCACCUUAUACUUCAUCUAAAUAAAUUGGUGAGAUCCCAUUACGGACAUGAAAAGAGAGAAAAAGAUUUAAAACAAAUUACAUCAUUUAUCUUCUGUACAGUAGAAAAUAGGAUAAAUUAACAAAUUACAUCAUUAAACUUCUGUACAUUAGAAAAUAGGGUAAAUUUUAAUUCAUCUCUUAAGAUAAUAUGACAGUCUUUAAUUUAUCUCCUAAAAGUGUGAAAAUUUCAAUUUACCCCGUAUUCUUUGAGAAGAUGAUUGCAUGAGGACCACUAUUGAUGGAUUUAUUUUUUGCCUUCUUUAACAGCAAAUGGAUGUAAAAUAAUAUUUUCACACUCUUAGAGAUAAACUGAAAAUUGAUAAUAUAAGUAUGAGAUCAAUUGAAAUUUACCCUAAAAAUUAUAAUUAAAUCUCACCCAUCUAUCAAUCCAUAGAUUUUUACACGCUUUCAAAAUCGUCAUUCUAAAAUCAAGUCAACUCUCAUUCAGAGAAGCUACGUAGAGGUGUGACUUUUAUCAAAGCCAAAAUGAACCACUGUUUGUUGGCAUCGAUUUUUGACAAAGUAUAUAGUAACCCCCUCAAACAUUAACAAAAGCAAAAAAAUUGAAAAGGAAAAAAUUGUUUGUUAUACGUUUUGAGUCCCUUUCUCUUGGUUUUGCUUCUUGAGGAAAUUGUAGUUUUAUUUGAGUUCGUAGAAGUUAAAACUUUGAAGGACAAAAGAUCUUGGGAAAAGAUACGAGGAGAGAGAAAAAGAAAAAAAUUAAAUUAAAUAUAAAAUUGAAAGAGAAAGAAAAAUAAUUAAUAGUUACUAAUUAAUUUUGCAUCAAAAGGAAAUUCAUGUCAGUCUCAAUCUAAGCGAUUGAGGCUAUUAAAAUGAUUCUGAGCUAAUAGCUAAAAGUUUGUGUUUAAGUUUGCAUUUAAAAUUAUAUCUCUUAAACCUGCAUUUCAUCUUACAUAUAUUUUGUUUUAGUGAGAGAAUGAAAGAAAAAUUUCAGAGGGACAACUUAACCAGUUUAUUCCCGCAAAAUUGGGAGAACAAAAGUAAUUUGAAGUAGACUGCAUACUCAAAGAUAAUGUACAACUAGAGUGCAAAAAAUAAAAAUAAAAUAAAAUGACCAUACACAGGAGAAGGGUUUGGACUUGGAUGAUGAAGAAUGCACUGGCAGCUUUGCAUUCGCAUAUAUAUCUCAGGAAAAUCUUCAGUUUUCAUAUUAAAUGAAAUAGAACUCAACAGUUAACUCACUCAGCUUGAACUUGGAAGGAAAAAAGAAAAGAAAGGGAAAGAAAAAUCUCCCUCUCACUUCCAAAAAUAAAAAUUACACACUCGAUAGAAACAUCUUACUUAUCUCCGCUUAAAAAAUUAUCUCAUGGCCUCGGUAUUUAUGGGCUAAACGAGCCACUGUUUAAUCAAAAUGUGAAAAAAAACAAAUUCAAAAAGUUUUUGUUUGAUGGAAUGAGGAUGGAAAUGGACAAAAUUCAAAAGGGUUAUUUUUACUUUUACUGGCUUCCAAUAAACUAGGCCAUAUUGCACGUAAUUAUAGAAACCUCUCCUGCUGUUUGUACAACGUUUCGUAAUGGUCAAUAGAAAUGUUUUGCUCAGUUGCGUUAUGUGCUGAGUGAGGGAGACAGCGAAUCGUAGAGAGGAUUUUCAAGUUCAAAGUAAUAAAUGAGAAAGCGGCGAAGGGCCAUCGGUAGCUAGUAAUGAAAGAAUAAAGUUUUCAAAAGUUUACUUUUAUUGAUGAAAAAGUAAUGACAAUUAAGGUUUGAUCCUUUUUUAUUCUAGAAUCCUAACACACCGUUUUACUAAUUAUGUUAUUUCAAACCCUACAAAUUUUUUUUCCAAUAAUGAACAAUCUUGCUGGGAUAUAAACGAGUCUAUGCAAGGAAAGCCAAAAUACAAAAAAAAAAAAAAUAUAUAUAUAUAUAUAUAUAUAUAUAUGAGCAUGAUUUAUAUACGUUUCCUGAUUGAGUUGCUAGCGACGAUAAACUCAGUUUCGAAAGUGUAUAGGCGUAUCUCAAAGUAUUAGUGGUUGAGAAUAUGCAGAUAAACUGAAAUUACAAUGAAAUUAUUAUAAAGCAAAUAAAAAUUUACAAGGGAAUGAGUUUCUUUUAACCAAUUAAAUAACAAAUCCGAUGUUUCAAAUGGAAUAAUACACGAAAAAACCAUGUUCACAGAUAAACAAGUUAGCAGCAUUAUAGACAAACUUCGGAAGCAGAUACCUGAGAUGGCCAACAGUUGAGUGCAAAUUUAUUAGUGAGGUUAAUUUUAUUUUUAGUUGUUCUUAAAUAUAACUUCAAUAAAACAAGAGUUUUAUGAUAUUAAUGAAGUGAUGCCAAUUGUCCAACUCUUUAUUUUUAUCAUUUUAAAGGCUCCUUCUUCUACUUACCUGUUUGUUCUUCUAACUCACUAUUUAUUUCUUUAUUUUUGCAUUUAAAUUCUUUCUUAAUUAAUAUGAGCUUUCCCAAGCAUUUAAAAAUUUAAUAUCAUCAACGUUAAUGUAUAAUUAAAAUCUAACUAAAUUUAUUUUAUAAGUUAUUAAAACACCAAUCACUUAAAUGAAUUUUACAUCUUUUUUCUGCCAACAUAACAAAUGUCUUUAUUUAAUUGCUUUGGUAAUGUAAAUGGCGAUUACCUGAGCAGCCGGUCGCCCAUUCUCACAUGUGUGACACACAUAUUUCCUCUACUCGACAUUUUCAUGUUUCUACAGUGUAUAUUAUGCAAGACCCUACAAUUAUUGGUCAUUUGUUUCAACUCAGAGAAAAAUUUGCACAACAUUUUAUUUAUAUUCGUCAAAUUUAUUAUUUAAAAAUUAAUGAAACCUACCAUUCUAUUAUAUUCUAAAGCAUCACCAACAGACCGUCUCAGGUUCUCUCUCCAAGUCAAUAGCAAGCAAUGUAAUCUCGGUACCGAGGUACAUUCAAAGGUCAAAUCACGUUCAGCUGCUGGCAGGAAAAUCAAAUAAAUUAAUUAGGCAAUGAGUCCCUUUUUAAGCAAUGGUGAGGAUUACUUUUUCAGGAAACUUUCAGUGACCGGUAAAGACAAAUUUUGGUUAGGUGAUGGUAGCAAAUAAACGUUGCAAGUUAAAUCUGAACGCUGCAUUUAACCCAAACUCUGUUUCAAUUGAAUGUGGAAAGGACAUAUACAUAUGCUGCUGUGAAGAAGCUCGAAGCAGUCAGCCAUGAGAGGCCCUGCUUUCCUUGUAAUCUUUCCGUAAAGUAGCACCAUCAUCAUGCAAUGAAGGAAAAUCCUCAUGAGAAGCCUCCAUUCCCUUUCUGCAAUUGUGUCCUUGCUUAAUAUACCUUGAUAUUUACAAAGAACUUUCACCAUAUCAAGUAAAAUGAACAAACACAAAUUACAGAGCCGCGGCGUUUGAAUCAAAGGAACAAGAGGGUUACUCUUGAACAAUGAUAUGUGUUACGUCGCACAUAAAGAACGGAACCGCUAAUAUUUUCUGACAUACUAUUUUCUUACUAAAAUUUUAUCUACUUCUACCACAGUGGAGGAAAAAAGCACCAUACCAGCUGUUUCCGUGAAAAUAGGCGUGAGAAAAAAAUAUUUGCAAGCAACAGAAUUUAUGUUUAAGUGUAAUUUCACGCUUAUUUCAUCUUUCUUCAGUUAAAUCAAUCAGCAAAACUUAAAAGCCCACUUCAAGCUUUUCUUUGAUUUCGAAAGGCACCUUUUUUUUUAAUCCCAUUUCCGAAAACUACUACAAAAUCUAAAAGAAUGAUUUACACUUAAAAAGCCUUUUCUUAAGUUUUAUUUGGUAUUGGGGGUAGUGUAACUUCUAAGUUAUAGUUGCUGUAAAAAAAAAAAAAAGUGUAAUUAUAAAAUACAAAGUUAAUAGUGUACAGUAAAAAUAAAAUUUAAAGAAAUAUUUUGAUAAAAUUAAUAAAAAUAUUAUAAUUUUCUCAUCACAUGAGUGAUGAAUUAAAUCAACUUAGUUUGUAAGCUAUAGCUAAGGAUGAUAAAAAGUUUGGGCCGGCCCAGUAUAUUCUUGCAAACUUUGGCUUGGGCUUCUACACGAGGGCCGGACGAGGGCUCAAGGAAAAAAAGACUGAGCCUAACCCAGUCCUCUAUUUUUUUAAAAAUAAAAUUAUGAAUUAGGAUAACAAAUUAAAAUUCAAAAAAUAAUGAAAAAUUAAAAAAAAAAGCUUAAAUCCCUAAUUCAUAUAUCAAUAAUGAUUCAAAUAACCUAAAAUUAUAAUACUAAACUUAUUUUAAGCAUUAAUUAAUUGAGAGGGUACUUGAAUUAGAAAAUUCAAUAUUAAAACAUUAAAUCUCUCAAAUUUUAUUUGCUUCAUUUUUGUUAUUUAUUAUUUUAUUUGAAAAUAUUUAUUUUCUUUAAUUUAUUAUUGAUUGUAACAACUUAUUGAUUAUUAUCUCAUGUCAAGUUUACAAUAAUAAAAAAUAAAAAAGUUUGCAAUAAAAAAAAUUUAAAAAAUAAGUAAAAGUCCAAGCCCAGCCCAAGCCUGGCUCACCCUGCAAUGGCCUGGCCCAAGCUCCCAUUCUACCAUCCCUAGCCACAACAACUAGUAAUUUAUAAAAAAAUGUAAGUGUUGUAGGUUAGUUUUUAAGUUACAGUUGUAAAACUUCAAUACUAAAUAGAUAUUUAGGGGUUUUUAUUUUCUUUUUUUUUCCUUUGAUAAAACAGGGCUUUUGUUAAAAGCACUUCCAAAGACAAUAUAGAAUCACAAGAAACAAAGGGAUCAACUUAUGUGGCAUAGAGACAUCAUAUAGAUGUACCGAUUCAUCAUCACUAACAGUCACCAAAUAGCUCGAUUUAUGAACUUGUAAAAUCUUUUUUUUUUUCUUUAAGUGUAAUUUCAUCGUAUAGAUGUAGUUUUUUUCCCCCUUCCUUGAAUAAGCUUAUUCACAUCCCAACAAUAGAAUUUUACAUUGAAUAAUGAGUGUGUGUUUUACAAGUAUUAAGAGUAAUUAUGUCAUAUUGGUUUAUAAUAGAUUGUCUUUAACAGUAAUUCAACUUAUGAGUAUUAUGAGUAUUUUUAUAAUGAAUUAUUUUAUAUAAAUAAAUGUGUUCAUAGCAAUUUUUGAAAGUACAAAUAUCUCCACCCUCAUAUUAAUUAUUGUUAUUGAUAUUAUUAUUUGUGCAUGGUAUAUACACGGAUGGAUCCAGUAUUAGACUAGUUGGGGCACGGGCCCUCGCUGACUUUUGUAAUAUUUUUUAUGAUUAUAAAAAAAUGUAUUUAAUUUAUUAUUUAAAAUAGUGCCCCAAUUGAAAUUAGAAUUAUGAAAGUGUUCCAAUUAACUUCAAAAGAUUUUAUGUUGCCCUUAAUUGAAGUGUCUAAUUUUAGAUGAUUUGAUUCACUAUUAAAACAUUAUGAAACUUAAAUAAAGACAAAAGAUAAUUGAUAUUUUAAACAAAAUAAAAAAUAAUUAAAAACUAAAGAUGUAUACUUUGCUCUUUUUAUUUUUCUGGUCUCUUUCCAAUGCUUUGAAUCAAAACCACUUUCUUUAUUUGUUUGUUAUGGUCGUAGUGUAAUAAUCGAUCAGAGUAAUGCACGUGCAUCAGUGCAUGGAUUUCAUCCCAAUUCCCAUAAAUCAAAAGCACUUUCCUUUAAUUGUUUAGUUUUUCGAUAUUGAUUCUUAAAUUAUAAGUCUAGCUAAUUUUAAUUUUCAAUUAUUCCUAUUAAUCUUUUAUCUAGUUUCCAAAUCUCAAUUUUACUAUCUAUUCAUAUUUUCUCUUCGUGUUGCACUAUAUGAAUAUUUGGGAAAUUUACAAAAAUAACCAUAAAAGUUUUACUGUUUUCACAAUUAAUCCUUUAAAUUUUUUUCUAUCAACAUUAGCCAAACACACGCUUUUCUCCCCAAAUUACCCUUGUUUACAAAUCAAAAGCAACAGUCGUGGGUGAAUCUGGCGACAGGCGUCUAUCGCACCAAGCUUGGUGCGACAGACUGCCUGUCGCACAAAGCUACGUGCGACGGGCUGCCUGUCGCACAAAGCUACGUGCGACAGGCGUCUGUCGCACCAAGCUGCCUGUCGCACAAAGCUACGUGCGACAGGCGUCUGUCGCACCAAGCUUGGUGCGACAGGCGCCGGUCGCACCAAGCUUGGUGCGACGGGCGCCUGUCGCACGAAGCUGUAAACUGAUUAUGGAUUAUGAAGCAAAUUCCAGAAUCAGGGAUCCUGUCUACGGCUGCGCCGGCACGGUUUGCCAUCUGCAGAAACAAGUCAGUGAGCUUCAGGCUGAGUUAGCCAAGGCACAGGCCGGGCUCGCUUCCAUGCAAAGCCAGCAACAAAAUUUGAUUGCUUUGAUUUGCAUGGAAAUGGCUCAAUCUCAAGAACAAGUCCUGCAUCGUCAUCAGCAGCAGCAGCUGCAACAGCAGUUCAUUGAUACAAGCUGUUUUUUGGACGAAUACAGUCUUGGCUCUACCUGGGAACCUCUCUGGACAUGAAGAGAAGUUAAAGCAAUAGGAGUGGUUGAAACUUUUGAUUUGAAGUUAAAGCUAAAUAACCAAAUGAUUUGAAUAAAUCUCGUUGAAGAGAAUAGAAGAUAAGAAAGAGGGAAACAUUUUUGCUUUUAUCGGAUUCUGUGCAGAAAGCCCUGCACCAUUCCACCUUCUUUCUUUUUCUUAAAAAAAUAUAUAUAUAUAUUUGUUUCUAUAUCUUUCUUAGUUUCCUUCACCUCCGUUCACUCUUUUUCUGGUUUUGCCUUCAAACUCAUGUUCUGCAACUUUCUACACUAGCUCUCCUCAGUAGCUUAUUCUUACGCAGGGAUUGACUUCAAAGGAUGAAGAAUCCUAUUUAUCUAUCCAAAUUCGUUUAAAUUUCGCAGAAUUCAACUCUUGGAUAUGCAAACUUCAGUUACGCGUAAUUCAAGAUGAUAAAUUAUAACCAGCAUAUCAUCAAUAGACCAAAAGCACAUUGAAAUACUAGAUAUCUACAUAAAUUGGAAUUUUUUUUUAAAAAAAAUUAUAAUGCUUUAAUGUAUUUACAAAAAUAAAUUUCUUAUUUUAGUGGAAUCGCUUGUGAAUUAACAUAUCAUUUGCUUGAGAAAAAGACCAUUAGUGCCGCCGACGAUGGGAGUUUCUUCGGUUUGGGAGAGAUGGGUGAAAGAGAGAUUGUUGGUGGAGAGAAGAGAGAGAGGGGUAUUUUGGUCUCAAAGGUUUUUUUAUGGCUAAUGUUGAUAGAAGUUUGUUUGGGGGGUUAAGAUGGAAAAAGUCAAAACUUUUAUGGUUAUUGGUGUAAAUUUCCCUGAAUAUUUUUGCUAUUCAGUCACAUCAUACAGACGUACAAAUUCAUUAUCACUAACAGUCACCAAAUAGCUCAACCGUUUUUUAAAAUCAAUUGAACUAAUUCUCCCAUUCUGUUGAAAAAUAAAUUAAUACUAAAUGAUACUCAGUUAAUAAAUGGAUACACUUAAAAUGGAAAUCAUCAAGAAUGUUAGAACCGAAGAAUUCAAUCCAAAAUCAAACUAAAUUUUAAUAUGAAUCGAACCAAACUGAAUGACUCAGACAAUUUGGUUUCUAACAUGAAAACCAAGCCAAACCUGUGAUUGAAUGACAAAACAGAAACGUAAAGAAGGUAAAAGAUAGAGAAAUAGAAAUUUCUGACAAAAGUAAAGUUUUAAGUAUCUUUUAUAUUAACCCUAAAUAAGUGAAUUUAUCAAAAGAGGCAAAUCCAAAAUAUUUUAAAAUAGUAAAAUAUUAUCAUUGGAAAUAAAAAAAAAAUAAAAAAUGACACUUAGAUACGAUAUUUGGAAAAAUAAAAAUCAAAAUUUGGAAAGAAACUAAGAAAAUAGGAAAUUAAAUAUCUUUUGCUUGCAAACAUGGCCCAAAACAAUGGGAUUUCAAAAUAAUUCGCUAAGUUUUUAUGAUAUUGUGAUAAACCUCCUUAUUCAUCUUUUCAUAAGCUUCUAUAUAUAUAUAUAUAUAUAUAUAUCUCAUUCCCUUGAAAAAAAUUUUAAAAGACGAUGUAUUAAUUUCCUCUCAAAUUGUCAAUCAUUUGAUUUUGACUGAAUUAUUUUAGACCAUUAAUCAAUAUACAAUAAUGUAUCGAUAUAACUAUGGUAUGUUUACUAAUUAGUAAUCGGAAUGAGCCGGAAUCAGAAUGGAGUGGAAUUGGAAUGGACUUUAUUACUAUUGAUGUAUUUACUUUAUCUUGAAAUCAGAAUGAAUUAUCACAAGUUACUAAACCGACCUUAGUUGAUUAUUUCAUUAUUUAUAAUAAUAAUAAUAAUCAUCAUCAUCAUCAUAAUAUGAAUAAUAGUUAUUAUUAUUGUUAUUAUUAUUAUGGUGAUGAUGAUGACGACGAAAAUUUCAUUGUUGAUGACUUUAGGGAAUGACAUUCUUACUCCCAUCUCCCCCAUAGGAAUGGGAACUCUAGUAAUCAUUCCUAAUUUUAAGUGAGGCCCACAACUUUGAUUCUUAUUCUGCCUUUUAUUUAACUAGGUAAAUGUAUCAUUUAUUCAUAUUCCUUGAUUUUCAUUCCCAUUUCCAAUAGGUAAAUACAACACUAAUGUAUACAAUAAUGAAAUCGCAAUAGAUACGAAAUAGGAUAGAAGGGAAUAUUAUUCUUUGAAUAUAAUUUUUCUCUAUAAAUUCAAGGGAGUACUUUCUUUAACACAUAUAGUUAUUUUUCCUCUGCCCCCAAAUAUUUCACCAAUUUUACUGCAUACAUACUUGCUUCAACAACCAUCACGUGCUUUUAAUUUAUGGGAACUGGAAUAAAAUCCACCUACUGAUGCAUACACAGUUCUCUAAUCGGCUACUGCACUAUCAUCACGACAAACAAAUUAAGAAAGUGCUUUUGAUUCAAAGCACUGAAAGUAGAGUGAAUAUCUUUUGUUUUUAAUUGAUUUUUUUAUUUUAUUUUAAAUAUUUAUCGUCUUUUGUCUUUAUUUAAGAUUCAUAAUGUUUUAAUAGUUAAUGAAAUUAUCUAAAAUUAGACACUUCAACUAAGGGCAAGAUGAAAUCUUUUAAAAUUAAGUGAGGCAGUUUCAUAAUCCUAAUUUCAAUUGGGGCACUUUCUAAAAUAAUAAAUAAAAUACUUUUUUAAUUUAUUUAUAAUCAUCAAAAAAAUGAUUUCAGAAGUCAGGUAGGGCCGUGCCCCAACUAGUCCACUAUUGGAUCCAUCCGUGUAUAUACCAUGUCCAAAUAAUAAUAAUAAUAAUAAUAAUAAUAAUAAUAAUAAUAAUAAUAAUGGUAAUGGUAAUUUAUGUGAGAAUGUAGAUAUUUGUAUCUUUAAAAAUUAUUAUGAAUGCUCUUAUUUAAAUAAAAUAAUUCAUUAUAAAAAUAAUUGUAAUACUCAUAAGUUGAAUUACUAGUAAGAAUAAUCUAUUAUAAAAGGGAAAUUUACAAAAAUAACCAUAAAAGUUUUACUGUUUUCACAAUUAAUCCUUUAAAUUUUUUUCUAUCAACAUUAGCCAAACACACGCUUUUCUCCCCAAAUUACCCUUGUUUACAAAUCAAAAGCAACAGUCGUGGGUGAAUCUGGCGACAGGCGUCUAUCGCACCAAGCUUGGUGCGACAGACUGCCUGUCGCACAAAGCUACGUGCGACAGGCGCCUGUCGCACCAAGCUUGGUGCGACGGGCGCCUGUCGCACGAAGCUGUAAACUGAUUAUGGAUUAUGAAGCAAAUUCCAGAAUCAGGGAUCCUGUCUACGGCUGCGCCGGCACGGUUUGCCAUCUGCAGAAACAAGUCAGUGAGCUUCAGGCUGAGUUAGCCAAGGCACAGGCCGGGCUCGCUUCCAUGCAAAGCCAGCAACAAAAUUUGAUUGCUUUGAUUUGCAUGGAAAUGGCUCAAUCUCAAGAACAAGUCCUGCAUCGUCAUCAGCAGCAGCAGCUGCAACAGCAGUUCAUUGAUACAAGCUGUUUUUUGGACGAAUACAGUCUUGGCUCUACCUGGGAACCUCUCUGGACAUGAAGAGAAGUUAAAGCAAUAGGAGUGGUUGAAACUUUUGAUUUGAAGUUAAAGCUAAAUAACCAAAUGAUUUGAAUAAAUCUCGUUGAAGAGAAUAGAAGAUAAGAAAGAGGGAAACAUUUUUGCUUUUAUCGGAUUCUGUGCAGAAAGCCCUGCACCAUUCCACCUUCUUUCUUUUUCUUAAAAAAAAUAUAUAUAUAUUUGUUUCUAUAUCUUUCUUAGUUUCCUUCACCUUCGUUCACUCUUUUUCUGGUUUUGCCUUCAAACUCAUGUUCUGCAACUUUCUACACUAGCUCUCCUCAGUAGCUUGUUCUUACGCAGGGAUUGACUUCAAAGGAUGAAGAAUCCUAUUUAUCUAUCCAAAUUCGUUUAAAUUUCGCAGAAUUCAACUCUUGGAUAUGCAAACUUCAGUUACGCGUAAUUCAAGAUGAUAAAUUAUAACCAGCAUAUCAUCAAUAGACCAAAAGCACAUUGAAAUACUAGAUAUCUACAUAAAUUGGAAUUUAAAAAAAAAAAAAAUAUAAUGCUUUAAUGUAUUUACAAAAAUAAAUUUCUUAUUUUAGUGGAAUCGCUUGUGAAUUAACAUAUCAUUUGCUUGAGAAAAAGACCAUUAGUGCCGCCGACGAUGGGAGUUUCUUCGGUUUGGGAGAGAUGGGUGAAAGAGAGAUUGUUGGGGGAGAGAAGAGAGAGAGGGGUAUUUUGGUCUCAAAGGUUUUUUUAUGGCUAAUGUUGAUAGAAGUUUGUUUGGGGGGUUAAGAUGGAAAAAGCCAAAACUUUUAUGGUUAUUGGUGUAAAUUUCCCAUUAUAAAACAACAUUACAUAAUUACUCCGAACACUUGUAAAACGCACUCAAUGUAAACUUAUAUUAUUGGGAUGGAAUAAGCCUAUAAACAAGGAAAGCCAAAAUACUAAAAGAAUUAAUGAGCUACAUAGGUGUCUUGAUUGAAUUGACAGCGAGGAUAAACUCAAUUUCAAAAUUGAAUAUGCGUAUAAAAGUAUUAGUGGAUGAGAACAUGCAGAUAAAAACAGAAACUACAAUGAAAUUACUAUAAAAGCAAAUAAAUUAAUUAGGGAAUUAGUUUCUUUUCACCAAUUAGAUAACAAAUUCGAUAUACUUCAAAAGAAAUAAUACUUUAAAGAAUAUGAUCCUAGAUAAACAUAUUAGCAACAUUAUAGAUCACAAACUUUGGAAGUUGAUACACGGAGUUGAGUGCACAACUAUAUAAGGGGUUAAUUUUAUUUAUAUUUGUUAUCAAAUAUAAUUACAAUAAAAUAGAAGUUUUAUGAUAUUAAAGGAGAGCCUAACUCUUUAUUUUUAUCAUUUUAAAGACCUUCCUUCACCUUAUCCGUAUGUUCUUCCAAGUCAUUUUCAGCCGACCACUUUUAAGAUACUUUCACCACUGUUUACCGCCAACACAACAAAGGUCACCGAUUACUUUUAUUUAGGCAGCUGUUACCGGAGCAGCCGGUCGUCCUUUCUCACAUGUGUAACACACACAUGGUCCUCUACUUGUCAUUCCCACAAUUGGUCACUCAAGUCAAUAGCAAGAAGCAAAGAAAUCUGUCAAAAUCACUUCAGCUGCGUCAUGGCUGGAAAAACAAAUAAAUUAAUUAGGGAAUGAGUUUCUUUUAAUCAAUUAAGUAACAAAUUUGAUACUCAAAGGCAAUGUAAUGCACAAAAGAACCAUGAUCGUAGGUAAACAUGUUAACAAUAUUAUGGAACAAAAACUUCAGAAGCAGGCACCCGUCUGAGAUGGCCUCCUCACAUUUCAAACAAUUAUGCAAAUUUUAAAAGAGUGAUUUACACUUAUUCAAACGCCAUUUUCUUAGUUUUUUUUUUAGUACAUGAGACUAUUACUUAUAUUACAUGAGAUUAUAACUAAUAUUUACAAAUCAAAUUAUUAUUAAAAUUAGUUUACAUCAAUUUUUAUGAAGCACUGUCCAGAUUUUUAACCAUCACUAAUAUUGAAGGGAUGUAUACUCUACUCGCACUUGAUAAGAGAGAAGACUGUUUCCACUCAAUUAUACAUUAUAAAUAAGGAAUAAAUUACCCCCACAAUACGUUUGUGGGGUUUCGAACUACUAUCCUCACAUAAGGGCACCAGCCCUAACCUCCCAACCAAAGUCGAGUGGCUAAAAACCCAAAAAGUCAAUCAAUUAAGAAACACGUAUACUUAAAACACAAAUCAAGUACACUUUGCAAAUGAAAACAUGCCUGAACGAGACCUUUGCUUCUCUCCCCGACUAUGACACAAAACACCCCCCUCCCAAAAAAAAAUAACAAAGAAAUAAAUCACAACAAUUAUGCGAGAAAACGACAACGCUUUAAGUAUAAUUUCCACAUAUAUACCAACCAUUUUAUCCUUCUUUUUAUUUUUGUUCUUCAAUUUUUCUCCACUGCAGCCUGAGGAAGAUGAGAAUUUAUUUACAACGAUUAAGCCACAAAUAUUAUUAUACAAAAUAGUGUGCACAAAAUUCUUUUUUGGGUAAAAAAACAAGUCUAGUAUGUAUAAACUAAUGUGACAUAAAGAGAUUGACAGAAAAGGGAUAAUAAUUAUUUUUUAAAUUAUGUGGACUCACAAUAGUUUUCUACAUUUAAUCUCUUUAUGCUACAUCAUUUCGUACAUAUUUGUUUUUACAAGGUGAUUUUGACUUGUGACUAUCUUGUAUAUCAAAUAGCUUGAUUUCUCUAGUAAUCAGACUAGUUUUAUAUUAGUCUCAAAUAGGUCCCUAGCUCCGUUUAAUGAAUUACAUACCCUUAGCCUUAAACACCAAUUCUUACACCAUCAUAUGUCAUUGCCAAUGGUUCUUUGGUCAUUUAGAAUUAAAUAAGGACCUAAUUACAUGAAUGGACAACUAAAUCAAUACAUUACACCUUAUCACUUGAGCCUUAGACUCCCACUAAAAGGGGUGGACAUUUUGAUUUUAAAUUUUGGGUUAGUCAAAUCAUGAUUCGAGUUGGAAUCCGUUUGGGUUAGAGAAUUUAACCCAAACACAAAACAAACUUUAGCCCGAACCGAAUCAAACCAAAUUAUUCAAAUUGUUUGGUUUCUAAUUUAAAAACUAAACCAAACUUAAUUUUAGGAUCGAUUCGGUCAGAUCAAUCCAAACCGUUUGCCUACCUUAUUGAAUGGAAUAAACUUUUUACUAUUAUAUUAAUAAGAAAAUUAUUAAUCCUGAGUGUAGAUGUUGCUGACUGCCUUGAUAAAUCAUUUGUUCACAUCAAACUGAGGCAUGAGAUAAAUAAAGGUGUAGGAGAUCUAGAGGAAGCUGCAACAUACACAAAAGCAAUAUUAUAUGGAUACGCCAUGCCGAUACUGUGUGUGAAUGAAGAUUCACCAAUGGACUGGGGGAAUGCUAUAGCGAAACAAAUUAGUAGCUGACAAGGAUUAACAUGUCACAGAGUUAAUAGGGGGUUUUGCACAUCUUGAAAGAUCAGGCAAGACCACAAUGUUGAAGCUGGCCUAGCUACUUGAAAGAAACGAGUUACUUACUUCACUUUGGUGGAGUGCAAAUAUACCACCUACACUAUAUAUUGUUGAAAAGUCAAAAUGAGUCUCACAUGCACUGUCAAAUUGCCGAAAAUUUUGGAAGAGUUGGGAGUGUUGGAGUUGGGAUGUUACAGGUAUUUGUCGUAGCAGGAAUUGGAACAUGCAAGGGCUCCAUCAAGUUGCCCACCAUCAAAUCAGGUCAAAGCACAAAAUGUAUCAACAGAUGGAUAUGCAUUUCCUUUUGUUUGAGAUCUUGUGAGUACAAUGCUCUUAGUCCUUAAUACCAUACACAUAAACAAUGGCCUAUAUAUAAACACUGCUGUGAUUGAAGAAAGGCAGUAUUGUUAUCGCUGACUUUUACCAAUGGCCUUGAUGGACCAUUUCUUCGCAUCUAACUGAGGCAUAAGGGGUAUAAAGCCUAAGUGUAGGAGAGAAAGCCACAACAUAUGUACAAAAACACAAUAUGGAUAGACCUUAUUGAUCAUGCUGAGUUAAUUGAUCUCUCUGUGAAUGAAGAGGAUUCCCGUUAAUGCCACAGCGGAACCAAUUUUUAGGAACCAGGGUGGACAUGUCAAAUAGUGAACAGGGGUUUUAAAUCUUGAAGGGAUACAAGACCACAGUUUUGAAGCUCACCUGGCUGCCUGAAACAAGCGAGUUAGUUAACGACGUUGGUGGAGUUCGACCCUAUAAUUAAUUGACUAAUAUCACAAAGAAAAAGGUAUAUUGGUUAUCAGAAUUUUGCAUCCACUUGAGCCAUUCUGAAUAGUGAACUUUUCUUGCAAUGUGAAUAUGUUUUGUUUUGUUUUUUUCCUCCCUUUUUCUGAAGGCCUGAGAAUUUGUUCUUAAACCCGACUUAAUCUAAUAAGCUUGCUGCAUGCUAUAGUCAGCGUAGGAUCUGGUGUCUCGACCAUGUGAUCUUUUUCCUCGAGUUGCUUGUGCCUAAAGAUGCAAGUAGCUAUGCGGAUUCCAACCUCUGAAUUCUAAUCAUCCAUGUGUUUUUGUUCUUAGUCACAGCAAUCACGAACAUACACUAAUUUGGUUCAAGAGGUAAGACCACUUGAGAUAGUACGCAAAGCCGUUAAACCCAAAAUUAUUAAGACUUAAGGUGGAUUCAUAUACUUUGAACUAGUCUGCUUUCUAUAUCACAUGGAUUCAAAUUUGAAAUUGGGCCAACCUCUUUUUUUUUCAAAAAAGAAAAGAAUUAAUUUUCCCUAUUAAGGUUUUCUCAUUGUUAAUGGAACCGGAGUCUCUGACAAGAGGAAUUUUAAAAUACGUCAGAUGUAAUACAAUCAAUCAAUGCAUCUAUAAUAUGUGUGGUUGAAUUUUAUAUAGCCACCAAUUAUAUGCUGAUUCUUCAAAAUAAUUACACAUAUAUCAUAACAUCAUUUACUUAUUGUAUGACUAAUAUAAUACCUCAAAGAUAUUUUAAAAAUUUUCCAUAGACAACAGUCAAUCAAGGGUAAAUCUUAAAUUACGUCAGAAAAAGUCUUUGAAAAAUAUUGAAGAAAGCAUUUACUUGUAUAAUAAAAAAUGCAUAUGAGGGGACAAAAAGAGUGAAGGUACGAGUUUCACUAUUAUCACAACAUUUAUUACUAUUUCAAACAUAGAAAUGUGAACAAUAAUGUAUUUUGUCGAAUUUUCUCUGUUGGUUAUUAAAAUUACUAUGUGUACAUGUGAUGAUUGCUUGCUACUGUGCAAUCCGAUAAUUUGACUUGGAGAAGUAAUCAUAGAAAUGUGAUGAUUACUUGGAGGAGAUUACUCCUAGACUGGCAAUAUUGGUCGUUAGGUUUCUUUGUAGAGCUGACGACAAACUUAUGAAAAUAACGUGACAUAUUGAUACACAACAACAAUAAUGGCAGUGCCAAUCUAUGCAGUGUACAAAAUGAUAUGGCCAAUUUUAAAAUGCGGAACAAAUGCGGAGACCAAAGAGACUGCAGAAACAGUCCCUGAGACAACAGCAAUAAGACAUCAAAAUUGGGAAGAAUUUUCUCAAUGAAGUCGAGACGUCAGGUCACCUAAAAAUGGAUAACAAUAUAUGGUUGUGACUAUCAGAAAAGACCAUAUGCUCGUUGAGUGUGUUUCAAGCAAGGGCUUUGUUUGGCCUUGCACAUAUGCACCCACAAUGCCGAUGAGUGCCGGAAUCAAAUAUCAAAAAAUGUUGAGAUAUGAGAUCGAGCAGAAGAGAUUUCGCCCACUGCAAAAUCAUUAAAAUGAAUAAUCAUCUUCUGUAUAUCCCAUUUCUUUUGAAAAAAAAAAUUAAAAUUAAAAAGACGCUAUAUUAAGUUCCACUCAAAUUGUCUGUCAAUUAUUUGCUUUCAACAAAUCCAAUUCUCCUAUAAAAAUUUGAUGAAGUGCUUUUCUAGUUUCCUUAACAUAUAUGAAAUAUUUUUCAUCUGUAACCCUGUUUCAUCAAAAUUUUACUAUAUACACGCUUGUUUCAACAACGAUCACCAUCACCCUUUAGUGUUACAUAUUGUUGUUGUCGUUAAUUUUGACAAUUUUGACGAUAAAAUAUAAAUUUACCCUCAUUUGAAUUUUGAAAUGUAAAAUUAUCAUAAAACCAUAACAAUAGUUUCAAAUUCCAGUUGACCUGUGCGGAAAUUAAAAUUUCUUAAAGGUUAGAAAAAAGUAAAAAUGUUUUGUUAUGGAAUCAAAAUAUCCCCUCUACCAUCAUCCAUAAUUAUCUAUUCUUGAUAACAAUCUAAUAAACUUGAAAAAGCAAUACAUCCAAUCCCUGUCAAUCAAACAGCCAAACUUCUUCAUAAAGUUUAGCUUUUACUUCUGAAAAUUCUAAUUCUUGAGACCCUAAAUAAAUGGAUAUUCAAAGUUACAUGUUUCUAGAACGAAAAUCUUCAAUUUAGUCCUUUUAAAUUUUGAAAACAUUAAUUUACAUCUAUUUAUCAGUCAAAGGAUUAGAAUAAAUGGAGGCACAUUGAUGACAAACUUUUUAUCUUAUUAAUGGUAUUUGAUAAAUAUAAAUAAAUUGAAAAUUGUCAUUUUAAGUGGAGGUAAAUUAAAAUUUUACUCUGUAUUUAUAGUGCUUUAGUAAGAGAAAGAAAGAAAACAGAAAACAAAUCUCUUCAACGGGAGGCUGAACAAAAUUUUCAGUAGGGACUCAACCAAUUUUUUUCACGGAAAUUUAAUUAGGAGAACAAAAACAAUUUGAAGUGGACCGCAUAUAUUUACUAAAAUAUAAUAUACAAAUUUGAGUCAAUAAUGAUAAAGAAAAUGACCAUACACAGAAGGGUUUGGAUUUGGAUGAUAAAGAAUCCAGUGGCAGCUCCGUAUUUGCGCAUAUAUAUAUAUAAACCCUGGAUUGAGUUUUCUUUUUAGCGAAUAACGUAGGGAACAGAAAACCUGAUCAAUUUGAAAAAAAAAAAGUAAUAAUAAUAAUUAAAUAAAAAAAUUAAAAUGUAACCUCAGCUUGAAACUUGGGAAUGGGAGGAUAAAAGGAAAAGGACAAUAAAAAAUAAAACUCUCACUUUAAGAACAUCUCAACUAUCUCUGCUUAAAAAAAUUAUCUCAUCUCGUGUGUGUGUGUGUGUAGGUAAAACGAGCCUCAUUUUUUAAUUCAAUUUAAUCUCCAAUCGUGAAAAUUUGGUUAAGCUAAAAUGCGGUGCGACCGGGGGGAGUUUCGUCGGAAGGUAAUCGGAUAUUAAAACGAACUCAAUAAGUUAUCAUGAAGCCUAUCGGCAUCAUACUGAAUUACUGAUGCAAAGACAAGCGUUGAAAAUGACUUCUCAGUUUCCAUUUCCCUGUUCCCAUCAAGGGUCAAAGGGCUCCAUUAGCUGCGCGUAAAGGGCCCCAGUGGGAAAUUUAAUCGGUAAGGGGUCCCAGUCAAAAAUGUGAAGGCAUUAAACAAUAGGGGUAAUUUGGGUAUUCGUUUAUUUAAUUUAAUUCGAUUUAAAGUAAAUAAGUUUGAGUUUAAAAAAAAUUAAUUUAUUUAAUAAAUGGUGAAUUCGACUUCAUUUUCACUUUUAGGUUAAUCUGUAUUAAUUAUUUUUAUACUUAUUUAAUUCUUUAUUUAUUGUUAUUGAAGUUUGUCCAGUCAUUUAUUUAUAAGUUUUUCUUUUAUGGAUAUAGUUUAAUAAUUUGGUUGAUGAUUAUGUUAAUCAAUUCUUUUAGGCUCAAUAUUUGAUUCUCUAAUCAUUUAAUUUAGACUUUGAAUUAAGUGUCUAUUUCUUUUUACAGUUCUAAGAGUUGGUUUUGUAGGUUGGACUUGAUCCUUUCAAAACGGUGUUAUUUAUUCAUUAAGUGUACAUGAUUUCUUUAAGAUACUGACAGCCAAAGGGAGAAAAAAAGAAAAAAAGAUUGGAAUGCAUAUAAAGAUACAAAUUAACGAUGAAAUAUGUAGGGAUAACCAAAAAUAAACAAAUAGUUAAGCAACUUUUCUUGAAUCUAUAGAUUUUUUUUUUUUAUCUUCUCAUAUUUUUUACAAAAUUAUUUGAAGAAUUAUUAUAUUUUUUAAUAUAAGAAUUUAUUAAAGUUGAUUAAUUAUUAUGCUCUCUCAUGCAAGCAAGAAUCAUUAAUGAAUAUGUGAUGAUUUGAUUAUUAGGUGUCCAAUAAUAUCCUACAAUAGCUUUUUUUUUUUUUUUUGAUACACUUAUAUAGUACAAUUAGAAUUUUUACUGAUAUUUACAAUCAGAAAUUAGUCGGAACCAUCCUGAAUAAGCCUAUUACAGCACAACCCGAAGUCAACGCUCACUUAAAAGCUGGAGGUGAUCAAUCCUACCCCAAUGUGGGUAGAUAACUAACCCCUAUUAUAUAGGGGAGUCAAUCCUACAAUAGCUUAUUGAAUUGCAAUACUUGGAUUAAAUCUCUUAAGAAAUUGGCUUUCUCAUCUUGUUGCAGAACUCAGUUAGCAACUUAAACACUAUUUCAUGUUGUUUGUCAAACUUUAUCCCUCUUAUUUUGCCUUGUGUCUUCUUCUUAGUCUAAUAAACUGCAUAUAAUAUUAUUACGUAUGAAUACAAGAAAUAGGAAAACAUAUAUAUAUAUAUAUAUAUAAUAAAAAAAUUUAAUAUUACCAGAAAUGUCUAGAGCACUAGGUAGUGCAACAUAUUUGUCAUUUAUUUGUAUAUACAUCAACUGUUGGAGAUGUUUGAAAGAAAUAUGAUCCAAGAGCCAUGCUACAAUGUAUUAUAAUUAUAUAAACCAAAUGACUAAACCAACUAUAUAAAUUCUUUCUCGCAAACAAGAUGAAGCACUAGAAAGUCAGCCAUAAGAUGUGCUUACCAUUUGGUUUCUUUUUUUUUUCAAAGUGAGUUUCAUAGUCUUUUUAUGUUAAAAAUCAACUUUAGUAUAUUAUGUGAUGAUUUUUCAAGUUGGAUUAUUUUAUUAUACUUUGAUUAAUUUUAUUAGUAUCCGAUCAUAUUAUGCAUUGUCGCACAAAAGGUUCUCGUACACAAGUUAUUUUUAAUUUAAAGUUUUUGUUAUUAGAUUUCAAUUUGUAGGACUGAAAUUUGUAAUCACGACUACUUAUUCUUAACAAUGAGACAAAAAGUUUUCUAAUACAAUAUAUAACUUGCCAUUUGCCAAAAAGGUAAUGGUCAGAAGAUAACAAUUUUUCGACUAAAAAUUUUUUCAUCACUGGAUAUCAAUUUACGUGACUAAAAUACGUCAUCAUAGAUGCUUGCUUUAAAUGAUGGUUAAAAAUAGUCAUUAAACUUUUCAGUUAUAAUGUAAAUAGUCGUGAAAAAAAAAUAUUGUUGUUAAAAAUCAUUUAAGACAAUAUUUAAUCUACUUUGCAACAAAAGAAACAGUCACAAAAUAACAUUUUUCGAUUCAAAAUUGUUUUGCCACGAGAUAUCAAUUUAAGUGACUAACCAUUGUAGUUGUGGAUGUAGGGAUGGCAAUGGGGCGGGGUGGGGGUGGGGAUGCCUACCCCAUUCCCCACCCCAUUAAAAAAUUUUGCCUCCAUUCCCCAAUAAAUUUAGUGGGUUGGGGAUGGGGAAUCCCCACGUGGGGAAUGAUUCCCCCAUCCCCACCCCAUUCCCCAUUUACAUAUUUUAUAGUAGAUAUAAAAAUAUGAUUUCAGUAAAUUAAAAAUUAGAGACUUAAGAUAAAAUCAUCACAAUAUUAUAAAGUAUUUAAUUUUUUUAAAAAAUCUCUAAAAAUUUGAAACAAUAUCUUAAAAUGAUAUUAAAAGUGAAAAAUAUUUAAAGAAAACAGCACCUUAAAAGAGAAAAGAAAAUAUAUUAAUGUUUUAAAGUUAAAAAAUAUUGUAGAAUUUUCUUUUAUUCAUAUUCUAUUUAUAUUACAUAAAAAUUAAAAAAAAUUAUUAAUUGACAUUAUAGUUGAUAAAAUACAAAUUAUUAAAUAAGAAUUAAAAACAUAUUUAUAUAUAAUGGGAAUGGGGAUUGGGGUGGGGGUGGGGUGGGGAGUGCAAUACCAAACCCUACCCCGUUAACAAUUUGGGGAUUACUUUUCCUCCACUCCCCACCCCAUUCCCCAAAAAUUAUUAAAAAAUUUCCCCAUUUGGGGUGGGGCUCCAUGGGGCCCCAAACCCGUGGAGGAUUUUGCCAUCCCUACGUGGAUGUUUGCUUCAAAUACCGAGAAAAUAGUCACCUGGAUUUUUCUGAUACGAUGUUACUAGUCAUAAGUGACAACUUGACAAUAAUAUAACGUCGUGAUAGGUAUACUUUAGCGACAAAAACAUAAUGUUGCUAAUUAUAUUUUUGAACCUCUAAAUUGAUGAUUUUGAGUAGCAAUUACUACUAUUUUUACUUACCCUUGAGACAAACAUUUUAGUCACUAUAAAUCACUAAUAGUAACGAAAAUAUAAUGUCGCUAAUUGCACUUUUGACUUUUGAACAUCUAAAUUGACCACUUUGAAUAUCAUUCACGAUGUGUUUAAUUUAAAUUUAGGACAAAUGGUUUAGUCAUAAAAACAUAUUAUUUUAUGUGACAAAUAAUUUUGGUUGCUAUAACCUAAUGUGACACACUUAGUGUGUUACUUUUUGUUAUUCCUGGAUUUGAAAGACAAUUAAUGGUGCACUUACUAAACGAGAGUCGGAAUGGGGUAGAAUCAGAAUGAAUUGGAAUCGAAAUGAGGAAUGAGAAUCAUAAUAAAUUGUGUAUUUUAUUUGUAGGAAUCAAAUUUGGAAUGAGCUGAAUUGCAAUUGAUGUGUUUACUUUGUCUUGGAAUUUAAAUAAGAAUGAAUUAGAUUGUUGUAAAUUACUAAAAAAAAAUUAAUUAACUAUUAUCAUAAUUAUUACUUUUUAUUUUAAUUAUUGUGAUUAUUAUUAAUAAAUAUUGUUAAUGAUAAUUAUUAUUAUUAACAUUAAUAUAAUAAUAAUGGUGAUGAUGAUGAUCAUCAACAAUAUCAUUGUUGGCAUAAUCAUCAUCAACAAUAUCAUUGUUGGCAUAAUCAUCAUCGUCGGCAUUAGAUUAAAACGCGACGGCUACUGUUGCUGCUUGUGACACAACGGCUGCUCAUGACUACUAGAUGUGACGAUUGGCAACUAGUUGUUGCUCCACAAGCAAUGACCGACAGCAACAAGGGAGCUCAUCCACGGAUUGCGUGCUUUUUUUUUAACUGAGGACAAAGUUGGGAUUAUUGAUUAUGUUGGGGGGCAAAAUUGUCACUCCUGGGAAUGAGAGACUAAUUCCCACCCCCUUGGGAAUCAGUCUCUCAUUUCCUAUUCCUAAAUUUGGGUGGGCUCCAUGAUUUCAAUUUCAAUAUUCGCUCUUUUUAUAAAGUAAAUGUUAUCAAUGAUUUCGAUUUUGGAUUCUAAUUCCCCAAUUUAGAAAUUAAACACACCAUAAGUGUAAUUUAUAUUAUGGCAGUUUCAUGGUCGAAAAAUUUCGGUUCGAUUUGGAAUGCCUAUCCCUCUAAUGUUUCACACACACAUGGUCCUCUACUUGUCAUUUCUACAAUUGGUCAUAUGUUUCUAGUCAAUUGCAAGAAGCAAUGUACUCUAGCUAAGUACAUGCAAAGGUCAAAAUCUUAAUCUUAAUUAAUUAAGAUUUAAUUUAUUUUAUAUUUUUAUCUAAUAACUAUCAAUUAUUUUUUCAUAAUAAUUAGAAAAAAAAAUUAGUUUAGUAUUGAAAUCAAAUCCACAUUAGAGUUGGGAUGUUACAAAUAUUUGUCAUAGCUGGAAGUUGAACAUGCAAAGGUUCCAGCAAGUGCCUACCAUCAAACUAGGUCAAGGUACAAAAUGCACCCAACAGAUGGAUAUGCAUGUCCUUUUGUUUGAGAUCUUGUGAGUACAAUGCUCCUAAUCCUCAAUACCACAUACAUAAAAAAAAUGGCCUAUAUAUAAACGCCGUUGUGAUUGAAGAAAAGCGGUAUUGCUAUUACUUACUCUUGCCAAUGGCCUUGAUGGACCACUUUUUCACAUCAAACUAACGCAUAAGAGGUAUAAAGCCUAGGUGUAGGAGAGAAAGCCACAACAUAUAUACAAAAACGCAAUUUGGAUAGACCUUGCCGAUCAUGCUAAGUUAAUUAAUCUGUCUGUGAAUGAAGAAGAUUCACCCUAAUUAAUGCUGAGUAAAUUAUUAGUAACCAGGAUGGACAUGUCAUAUGGUUAAUAGGAGCUUUAAAUCCUGAAACUCACCUGGCUACCUGAAUCAAGUGAGUAAGUUAACCACUUUGGUGGAGUUCGACUAUCUAGUUGACUAAUAUCUCAAAGAAAAGGGUAUGUUGAUUAUCAGAAUUUUACAUUCAGUUAAGCCAUUCUGAACAGAGAACUUUUCUUGCAAUGUGAAUUUGUUUUGUUUUUUUUUUUCUCUUUCCUUUUUCUUGAAGGCACGUGAAUUUGUUCUUAAACCCAUCUUAAUCUAGAUAAGCUUGCUGGAUGCUAUAGUCAUCACAGGAUCAGGUAUCUCAAUCAUGUGAGAUUUUUCCUUGGGUUGUUUGUGCCUAAAUAUCCAAGUAGCUAUGCCUGUUGUUGCCUCUGAAUUCUGAUCAUCUAUGCGUGUUUUUUCUCAGUCACAGCAAUUGCGAACAUACACUUAGUUAGUUCAACCAGUAAGAUUUCUUGAGAUAGUACGUAAAAUCGUUAAAUCAAAAUGAUUACGACCUAAGGCGGAUUCAUUUACUUUGAACUAGUCCUCUUUCUAUGUGGAUUACAAUUUGAAAUUAGACGAACCUAUUUUUUCAUUCAGAAAGAAAAAAAAAAUAUUUUUUUCCCUAUUACAGGUUUUCUCAUUGUUGAAGUAACUAGAGUCUCUCACAAGAGAAAAUCUAGAAUACAUCAGAUGUAAUACAACCAAUUAAUGCAUGUAUGAUAUGUGUAGUUGAAUUUUAUAUAAUCAUCAAUUACAUGUUGAUUCUCAAAGUAAUUGCACAUAUGUUAAAACAUCAUUUACUUGUUGUACAUUAGAUAUAAUACAACCAAUUAAUGCAUGUAUGAUAAGUGUAGUUGAAUUUUAUAUAACCACCUAUUACAUGUUGAUUCUCAAAGUAAUUGCACAUAUGUCAUAACAUCAUUUGCUUGUUAUAUGACUGACAUAGUACCUCAGAGAUAUUUCAGAAUUUUUCCGCUAACAAUACUCAAUCAAUGGUAAAGUUUAAAUUAUGUCAGAAAAAACAUUUGCACAAUUAUUGCUAUUUCAAACAUAGAAAUGUGAAGAGUACUAUAUUUUAUGGAAUUUUCUCCGUUAAUUCUUAAAAUUACUACGUGUACAUGUGAUGAUUGCUUGCUACUGUGUAAGGUGAAACAUUUAAUUUGAAGAAGAUUAAUUCCUUCUAGACUGGUAGUAUAGGUCGUUGCUGCCCUGUCGAGGAAUUCUUAUUAGCUUGAAACCUAUCGCAAAUGUCAAUGCAAAAUGGCUUCAAGGUUUUGUUGUAGAGCUGAUGACAAGCUUCUAAAAACAACAUACCAUAUUGGUACACAACUACAAUAAUGGUAGUCCCAAUCCAUGCAGUGUACAAAAUGAUAUGGUCAACAUUAGAACGUUGAGCAAAUGUAAAGACCAAAGAGAUUGCAGAAAUAGAUCCUAAGACAAUAGCAACAAGGCUCCACAACUGGGAAGAAUUUUCUCCAUGAAGUCGAGAUCUCAGGUCAGCUGAAUGUGCAUAGCAAUAUACGACUGUGGCUAUCCGAAAAGACCAUAUGUCCGUUGAAUGUGUUUCAAGCAAGGGCUUAGUUUAGUCUUGCAUAUUUGCACCCACAAUGCCAAUGAGAGCUGGAAUGAGAUAUCCAAAAAUAUUGGCAUAUGACAUGGAGCAGAAGAGAUUUUACCCACUGCAAAAUCAUAAAAAUGCAUGAUUAACCAUCUUAUGUAUAUCCCAUUUCCUUUGAAAAAAAAUAAAUGAAACUUAAAAAGACCCCAUAUUAAUUUCCAGUCAAAUUGUCUGUCAAUUAAUUAUUUGUUUUUCAAAGAUGCAAUUCUCCUCUAAAAAUUUGAGGGAGCGCUUUUCUAUUUUCAUUAACACAUACGAGAUAUUUUUCAUUUGCGUCCAAAUGUUUCACCAAAUCUUAUUGUGUGCACAUCUGUUUCAACAACUCUCACGGCUCACCGUUUUUGUUAAAUAUUGUUGUUGCCGUUAAUUUUGACAAUUUUGAUGUUAAAUGAUAAUUUUACCAGUCAUUGGAAUUAGGUGUAAAAUUACCAGAAAAUCACGACACUUGUUUCAAAUUCGAAUUUUGACCUAUGUGGAUAUUAAAAUUUCGUAAAGGUUUUUUUUUUUUUUAAAAAAAAAAGAAGUGUAAAAAUGUUUUCUUAUGGGAAUCAAAACAUCCCCUCUACCAUCAUCCAUAAUCAUAUAUUCUUGACAACAAUCUAAUAAACUUGAAAAGCAAGAAAUCCAAUCCGAAUCAAUAAAACAAUCAAAUUUCUUCAUAAAGCUUAGCUCUUGCUUUUGAAAUUUCCAAUUCUUGAGACUCUAAAUAAACCGAUAUUCAAAAUUACAUAUUUCUAGAAUAAAAACCUUCAAUUUACCCCUUUAAAUUUUUGAAAACAUCUAUUUGCCUCUAUUUAUCAGUCAAAAGAUUAGAAUAAAUGGAACCCCGUUGAUGACUAACUUUUUAUAUGCUUAAUGGUAUUUGAUAAAUAUAGCUAAAUUGGGGUAAAUUGAAAUUUUAUUCUACAUUUAGAGUGCUUUAAUAAGAGAAAGAAAGAAAGCAGCAAACCUGAUCUAUUUUAAUAAUAAUAAUAAUAAUAAUAAUAAUAAUAAUAAUAAUAAUAAUAAUAUUAUUAUUAUUAUUAUUAUUAUUAUUAUUAUUAUUAUUAUUAUUAUUAUUAAAUAAAUAAAUAAAUAAAAUUAACAUGUAAACUCAGCUUGAAACUUGGGAGAAAUAAAUAUGUGAAUUUUAUUACAUGUUGAUUCUUCAAAUUAAAAUGUAAACACACUCAAUAAACAUUAGACAUAAUACAACUAAUUAAUGCAUGUAUGAUAUGUAUCAUUGAAUUUUUUUACAUGCUGAUUCUUCAAAUUAAUUGCACACAUAUUAGAAAAUCAUGUGUUUGUUGUAUGAUGGACAUAGUAUCUAAAGAUAUUUUAAAAUUUUUCCUCUGAUAAUGCUCAAUCAAAUUAAGGGUAAAGGUUAAAUUAUGAUAGAAAAAGUCUUUGAAUAAUAUUGAACAAAGCAUUUACUUGUAUACUAAAAGAAUGCAUAUGAGGGGCCAAAAAGAGUGAAGAUAUGAGUUUGACUAUUAUCACAUCAAUUAUUACUAUUUCAAACAUAGAAAGAUGAAACUAACAUAUUUUGUGGAAUUUCCUCUGUUACUUACUUAAAAUUACUACGUUACAUGUGAUGAUUGCUUGUUAUUGUCUAAGGUGAAACAUUUAAUUUGAAAAAGAUUAGUUCCUUCUAGAUUGGUAGUACUGAUUGUUGCUGCCCUGUCGAGGAAGUAUUAUUAGCUUGAAACCUAUUGCAAAUGUCAAUGCACAAUGGCUUCAAGGUUUCGCUGUAGAGCUGACGACAAGCUUCAGAAAACAAUGUCCUGUAUUGAUACACAACAAUAAUGACAGUGCCAUUCCACGCAGCGCACAAAAUGAUAUGGCCAGUAUUAGAAUGUGGAAAAAAGGUGGAGAUCAAAGAGAUUGCAGAAGUAGAUCCUGAGACAACAGCAACAAGGCACCAGAACUGGGAAGAAUUUUCUCGACGAAGUCGAGACUUGAGGUCCACUGAAUGUGCAUAACAAUAUAUGACUGUGGCAAUGAGAAAAGACCAUAUAUUUAUUGAGUGUGUUUCAAGUAAGGGCUUAGCUUGGUUGCCUUGCGCAUUCGCACCCACAAUGCCGAUGAGAGCCGGAAUGAGAUAUCCAAAAAUAUUGGGAUAUGACAUCGAGCAGAAGAAAUUUCGCCCACUGCAAAUCAUUAAACUGCAUGAUUAACCAUCUUCUAUAUAUCCCAUUUCCUUUGAAAAAAAAAAUAAUAAAUAAAACUUAAAAAAGACCUCGUAUUAAUUUCCACUCAAAUUGUCAGUCAAUUAAUUUAUUACUUAUUUUCUUUUGGCUGAUGUAAUCUCCUCUAAAAAUUUGAGAGAGCACUUUUCUAUUUUCAUUAGCACAUGUAUAUGAGAUAUUUUUCAUCUGCGUCCAAAUUUUUCAUUAGAUUUUAUUGUGCGCGGACUUGUUUCAAUAACUCUCAUGACUCACCUUUUUUGUUAAAUAUUGUUGUUGCCAUUAGUUUUGAUGAUUAGUGUAAAAUUAUUAGAAAACCACAACACCUGUUUCAAAUUCCAAUUUUGACCUACAUGGAAAUUAAAAUUUCUUAAAGGUUAAAAAAAAGAGUAAAAAUGUUUUCUUAUGGGAAUCAAAAUAUCCCCUCUACCAUCAUCCAUAAUCAUCUAUUCUUGAUAUUAAUCUAAUAAACCGAUAUUCAAAAUUACAUGUUUCUAGAAUGAAAAAAACUUCUAUUUAUCCCUUUAAAUUUUUUAAAACAUCUAUUUACCUCUAUUUAUCAGUCAAAAGAUUAGAAUAAAUAGAAGCGCGUUGAUGACUAACUUUUUAUCUGCUUAAUGGUAUUUGAUAAAUGUAGAUAAAUUGGGGUAAAUUGAAAUUUUAUUCCACAUUUAGAGUGCUUUAAUAAGGGAAAGAAAGAAAACAGAAAACAAAUCCCUUCGAUACGAGGCUUAACAAAAUUUUCAGCAUGGACCUAACCAAAAUUUUUUCACGCGAAUUAAAUUAGGAGAACAAAAACAAUUUGAAAUGGACUGCAUAUGUAUACUCAAAAAUAAAAUACAGCUUGAGUCAAUAAUGGUAAAGAAAAUGACCAUACACCGAAAGGUUUGGAUCUUGAUGAUGCAGAAUGCAGUGGCAGCUUUGCAUUUGCAUUUAUAUACCUCGCCAAACCCCGGAUUGGGUUUUCUUUUUCACGGCAAAUAAGGCAGGGACAAGCAAACCUGAUCGAUUUUAGAACAAAAAUAAUUAAAUAAAUAAAUAAAAGUAAAAUGUAGACUCAGCUUGAAACCUUGGAGAAAAAAAUAACAAUAACAAAGUAAAAAAAAUCACUUACCUUAAGAACAUCUCAAUUAUCUCGUGGAUUGGGUGUUUAUACGGGCAAAAUGAGGGCCAAUUCAACCCCAAUGUAAUCCCGAUUCCGGAACACGUUUGGUCAAGCUCAAGUGCGGCCGAAUGGGGAGGGUUUCCUAGAAAGGUCGCACGGUAGUCCCCCUUAGAAAGUGAAAAUGAAGCCUAUCCUCAAUCAUACUGAUGCAACACAAGGGAGAUUUUUUUUUGGUUAGAUGUAGAGAAUGAUUAAACAGGUCCCAUCAAGUUCAGCGGGCAAGGGCCCCCCGGUAGCUACACGUGAAGAGGGGGCCCCCAGCGCCCCGGCGGGGAAAUUUAAGUGGUACGGUGCCAAUUAAAAUGUGAUUAACUUAUCAAAUAUCAAGAUUUUUUCCAAUAAGGACAUUAGUUUUGCAUUCGUUCGUCUCAAUUAAAUGGUACGGUCCAAUUAAAAUGUUACUAACUUAUCAAAUAUCAAGAUUUUUUUCCAAUAAGGGCAUUAGUUUUGCAUUCGUCUCAAAUAGGUCCCUAACCUUGUAUGACGACUAAGAUACCCUUAGGCGUUAUAUAACUUAGGAAAAUGAUGUUUGUCUCGGGUUAAAUCCCAAAAAUAACUUAAACGGCGUCGUUUUGAGUUUUUUUUUUCUUUUUUAUACUCCAAAACGUUGCCGUUUCUGAUGGACGAUUUUGAGAAGAAUUAAACAAACCUCUUCCUCUUCGUUUCUUCGUUUCAGCUGGGAAAGCCACAGAUAGAAGAGCAAGUUCGUUAAAAAAAUUUGUUUUUUCGUUUCUUCGUUUCUUCGUUUGUUAAAAAAUUUCGUUACUUUCCUUCCUCGACCAAGGUCCAGGCAUUCGGGAUCCACCAACGGUCACCGUCAACGCUGACAGCCACGGUCACCGUCAACGCUGACAGCCACGGUCACCGUCAACGCUGGUAACGCUGGUAGCCGAAACUUGUUUGGGAAAUUAAACUCACGAAGCGGCAAAGUUCACAGCCUGAGGUAAUGCUUCGUUUUUUCCUCUUUAGGUUAUGGCAAAAUGGGGAAGAUCUAGGUUAGGACAGUUAUGAUUAUUUUUCGGCUGAAUUUGGAUAGCUAUUGUGAUUCCCGUUUUAUUUAAGUGUGUUAAAUUGCAAUUGAUUUUCGGCUGAAUUUGGGUACAAUUUUGAAUUUGCUAAUGUUGAGGUUGAGGAUGAGGAUGAGGAUUAGUAUUAUUGAUGGAGGCUUCUAUUGUGUGCAUUUUGGUAUAUAGAUUGUGUGCAUUUUGGUAUAUAGAUUGCUGGCUGGCUGGUUGAUUGUCGAAUUUAUUGGUAACUUGUUGAACUUGGUUGCUGGUUGUUUGCUUGUACAGUUUAUUGGUAACUUUGUUGAACUUGGUUGCUGGCUGGUUGCUGGUUGCUUGUAGCCUUUCUGGCAUAUUGGUUGUAGUUUCAAACCUUUGUGAUUGUGUGUGUGUGUGUGUGUGUGUCUGUGUGUGUGUGUCUGUGUCUCUGUGUGUGUGUGUGUGUGGUUCUGUGUGUGUGUGUGUCUGUGUGUGUGUAUGGUUGUGUGUGUGUGUGGUUGUGUGUGUGUGUGUGUGUGUGUGUGUGUGUCUGUGUGUCUGUGUGUGUGUGUCUGUGUGUCUGUGUCUGUGUGUCUGUGUCUGUGUGUGGUUCUCUGUGUGUGUGUGUGUGUCUGUGUCUGUGUUUUGAAUGUUUGGAAGAGGUUUUAGUAUGUUAUCUGUUUUUGGAAUAAUAGUUUCCCACCAUACCAAUAAAUCAGGGCUGCAUUGGCUGCCGUCAGGAACUGCCUGAUAAAUAAUUCGAGCCCUGCAUACCAGGAUUGCUUCUGGCUUUCUUUUUUGGGGCUUAUCUCUGUAUGCUUAUGAAGUUUCAGAAUCAUUUGUAAAUCAAAUGCUGUAAUGAUGUUGUGGUUUCCAACAGCCUCACUUGCUAAUCCACUGCUCUUGCUCUUGCUCUGCCAACAACCAAUAUGCCAGAAAUAACACACACACACACAGACACACACACACACACACACACACACACACAGAACCCCACACACACACAUACACACAGAACCACACACACACACACAGAGAACCACACACACACACACAGACAAACACACACACACACACAGAGAACCACAGACACACACACACAGAACCAUACACACACACAAGACACACACACACACACAGAAUUUGACACACAUUGUUCUGGUUUUCUUUUCAUUAUUAACUGUAAUUGUAUCCCUUUUCGGCAGUUUCUUUCCAACGGUAUAUGGCUUCACAAACAAUGUCAUCCAACACAAGCGAGAAUCGAAUGUGUAAUGGAUGCGGUGAUCAGAUGGAGCUGUUAACGUCACACAUAACAAAAAAUCCAAAUCGCAAAUUUUGGAUUUGUAGAGGAUAUAACAACUUUCAAUGGGCAGAAGAUCGUAAAUCUAGCGAAGAGAAGAUAAACUUGUUAGUGGAUGAGGUUAGGAAGUUGGCCUUGGAGAUUGAGUGUUUGGCCGUAAAAUUUCAAUUAUUGCAUAAAGAACUUGAGCAUAUGCGAGAUCGUGAAGUGCAGAGGCAAUUGUUGGACAACGAACUUCGAAAGAGAGAGGCACCACGAUAUGAUUUUAUUAAAUUAAUCAUGAUUGUUGUAUUAUGUUAUCUAUUUAAGUACUGUUUUUAAGUUGUUUGUAUUUGUACUAUGUUACUGGAAAAUACUUCUAUUGUAGAAUUUGACCACGAUAUGUAAUAACAUUUUCAUGUAAUAACAUUUUCAUGCAAUGCUCGGACUCACGGCAUGGUUGUGUUCAAGGAUCAAAUUUCCAAUUACCCAUUUUCCACUAACAAUAUCCAAACGUCCUCCAAUUUUAGCAUUGCAUCCAAUUUUUUGGUUUGGUUGAAGCCGCAAAACAUUAGUGGCUUUGGCUUUUGACUUCCCGUUUCUCCCACAAGUAAAUGUAACAUAUCUCAAACUCCCAUCUUCCCCUUUUCUACAAGAUCUCCGCAUCACUGGAAACCCCUCUUGUAGACCAUACGUUUUAUAAUAUUCAAACAUUUCAUCAGGACUAUCAAAAGACAUCCCAACUGUAGGCUCAACAACAUUUUCCACCACCAAUUCCUCAUUGUUUUCUUCCAAAUUAGCCCCCCAGUAAAUCCUGCAAUUCCCCAACUUCAUCAACCUCCUCCACUUGUUCGAAAUUAUCCAUUAACUGCUGCAAAUGAAAAUGGGAAGAGUUAAUCGAAAUUAUCCACUUGUUCGAAAUUCCCCAAUGCAAAUGCAUGUUAAUUUGCCUAAAGUUUUCAUAUGAUUCUAGGCAGUAAAAGAUGAGAAAAAAGAUUUUAAUCAACAAUGCAAACCCUCCCACCCCAAUUCGUAAGUAUUGCGCAAGUUCUGUAGUUCUUUAAUUGCUCAUGCCGAUUCCAAAAUUUAGUAAUAAUAAUAAUAGAAUAAGAAGAGGAAUUUUAUUCUCGAGCAUUAUCAUACUUUAAUGCAUGUACCCAUUAUAUUAACUUAAUUGUCAAAUAACGGCAAUAUCACCCAAAACAAAGUUUCAUACAAUGUUGUAAAAAAUAAAUUAUGAUUUGAGAACUGAAAAAAUAAUAUGAGAACUGAAAAAAUGAGACAAAUCAAGAAUAUGAGAACUGAAAAAAUUAAUUCAAUGUUACAAUGUUCUAAAAACGAAGGCCAACUUCCUAAAAUAAAAUUAAAAAACAAAAUGCUACAAUGUUAAUCUUCCGUCCAAACUCAGCUUUCAACCGUCCAAAUUCAGCUUGUCCAAACUCAGCUUUCAACCGUCCAAACUCAUCUUGUCCAAACUCAUCUUUCAACCGUCCAAACUCAUCUUUCAAGGACACAUUUCGCAGCCGAAACUCAGCUGCUGUUGGUCUUGUUCUUCAAUGGGUGCGAAACGAAAAAGAAACUCAGACGCUUUCAACUCAGCUUACAAGGACAAAUUUCGCAGCCGAAACUCAGCUGCUGUUGGUCUUGUUCUUCAAUGGGUGCGAAACGAAAAACAAACUCAGACGAAGAGGAUGGAGCUUUAAUUAGUAGAUCCCGUUCUGCUGUCGAUGAGUGCUCCGGCUGUGGAUCUCGGUCGAGGAUGGAAGAAACGAAAAAGAAACGAACAAACGAAAAAGAAAAUAAAAGAAAACGACGCAAAUCAUUCAAUAAACAAACGAAAAAGAAAAAAAAAAAAAAAAGAAACGACGCCAUUUUGUAUUUUUCGGGGUUUGACCCGGGGCAAACAUCAGCACUCUAUAACCUAUACACUUGCUGUUUUGUUCUGCAAAGGAAGGACAACACCCUUUACCUCAGAGCCUUUGAGCUCAGUCUGAGGGCACAUAAAAGGUCGCUUGAAGAACAAGCGGAGUUGAUGUGAGUGUUGCGUUGCCGCAUGGCAAAGAAUAAGAGGGUAUCGCACUAUCGCUAAUCCCUGCGGCAUUUGACGACUAUUAUUAUCAAAACAAGUAUAAAAUUUGACGAAAAUAUCACAACAAUUAUUACCUUCGAUAAAAUUUAACAAAAAUAUAUAUCAUUGGUAUUUCAAAUAUAGAAAUCCGAGUAUAAUAGAAAUAUUUCAAUCUAGAAUCAUAGAUUUCUUAAAGUCUGAAAAAGUUAUGAUUUAAUACAAUAAUAGUUGGAAAAGCUAUUAAGGCAUAAGAUUUUAGUAGUAUAAUAACAUUAUACUAUUAAAUCAUAUGUCUUAAUAACUUUCCCAAACUAUAAUAAAAUUUAGGAUCAUGAAUCAAAUUAGUACACCUGAACACAAAUAUAAUAUAAAUAUAUAUGUUUACGGAAUUUCUCCACUACAUUUCUUUUUGUUCUAAGGAGGUUGUUCCUUAUCACUAGACCUAUAACUUGACAUAGCAGUUAUGAUGAUUGCUACUAGCAGGUGAAACAUUUAAAGAAGAGUUAUUAGCUUGAACCUAUUGCAAAUGUCAGAGCCAAAAGGCUUCAAUGUUUCAUGGUAGAGCUGAUGACAAGUGGUGGCAGCGGUUCAAGCUUUUGUGGGGGCUAAAUGUUCUUAAUAUUUAUAAAUUAUUUUCUCUUUCGAAAUGCGAGUGGGAUAUGAAUAUCCCUCCUUUGUGAGAGGUUAUUUGUCUGGACAUGUACUUCACAUAAUUUAAUAUAAUAAUGUAAGUCUCAAUCAUGUACUUCACAGAAUUCAAUGUAAUAAUGUAAAUCUCAAUCAUGUAUAUCUGAUUGUAAAUAUCAGUGUAAUAUAUUUACUAUAAUAAUAAUUGUAAAUAUUUAUGUAAUGUAGUAAUCUGAUGUGUAAUCAGUAUUUAAAAAAAAAAAAAAAGACUGGUGACAAGCAUAAAUAAACAAUAUGAGAUAGUGAUACACGACAAUGAUAAUAGCAAAGCAAAUCCAUUAAAGUGUGCAAAAUGAUGUGACCGCUGACCAGUAUUUGACCAAUAUUAAUAUUAGAGCGUUGGCUGUUGAGACCAAAGAGAGUGCAGAAACAGACCCUUGGACAACAACAAGGCCCCCGCCACCAAAAUCAGGAAGAAACUUUUCGAUGAAGUUUAGACCUCAGUGCCAGCUAAACAUGCAUAACAAUAAAUGGUUAUGGCUAUCAGAAAAGACCAUAUAUUUACUAAGUGUGUUUUAAGUAAGAGCUUAGUUUUACCUUACAUAUUUGUAGUGUCGCAUUCAGAAUUAAAGCCUAAUAGCAGCAAAUAUAAUUUCUUUAAUUUAUUUUCCUAAAAUGUUUUAAAAUAAUUUUGGAUAUAACAUACUCAUUUAAAAUGAUUUUAAUGAUGAUAAUUUAAUUUUCAGUAUAUAAUCUUAUAAAUUACUUAAAGUCGGUGGAGUAAAUUAAAAAUUUUAUUAGGACAAAAAUUUUUUUAUUGAAUUUUAGAAAAUAUUUUUAGAAAAAAGAUUAAGACUUACGGGGACAACUGCCACAGCUUGUCUUUACGUGACUCCACCAGUGCCGAUAUUUGCACCCACAAUGCCGAUAGGAGCUGCAAUGAGAUAUCCAAAAAUACUAAGGUAUGUGAAUAAAGAAAUCAUCUUAGACCCACCAGUCCUUUGAACUAAAACCACCAACAUGCGAAGAAGAAGGAUUUAGAAUAAAUAAAUAAAUACAAAGUUUUGCUUUUUUUUUUUGCUACAAGAGAAGAAAAUUUGAAUUAGCUAUUUGGAAGAGAUAGGCAUGCUCAAACUAAAUUUUUCCCUUGGGUAUUAAUCAAUGGUCAUAACCCGGAUUUGAAAUGGUAAUUUAAUUUCGCUGUUACCCAGAUUUGAAAGACAGUAUUAAGUGCAAUUUAUGUUUCAGCAGUUUAUGGUCGAAAAUGUAAGUGAAGUCGUUAGCAGAUUGCCUAUUAUUAGGAUUUUUAUUGAUCUAAAUUCUCUUGAAUUUUUAAGAUGCGUACUGUAGUAGUAAGGUAUGGAUAGAAUUUAAGUUCUUAAUUUUUUUUUUAUGUAUUAACCACCAAUCAACGUAUGAAUUUAAGAAAUUUAGAUCAGAAGAGAAUUUCAUCCUUUUGUAUUGAGAUGUUAUAAUUUAAAAAACUGAAAAUAAAUUAUAAUUAUAAAAUAAAAAUUAACAUCUUAAUAAUUUUGACCGAAAAGUAAAAAUACUGUAGAUUUUUCAUUAUAUAUGUAGUAAAUUAAAUCAAUUUAAUUUUUAAGCCACAAUUAUUAUUAUCUACCAAAUAUUUAGGGCUAUAGCUAACCUUAACACUAAAUGGGGGCAUUCGGCUCCCACGAUUAAUCUGUUGAGGCUGCAUUGGUUGGAAUGUACGAUGAGGAUGGCAUUUUUUGUCUUAUUCGUGCUUCAUAAAUCAUUAUAAAGCCGAUUAUUCGUGGCAGACAUUUGAUUAAUAUCUCCUCGCGGUUUCAUAUGGAAAAUUGGGAUGUUACCAGCGUUGUGUUGUCUUAAUAUUUUCCUGUAGUUUUUGCAACCCAGUACGCCACCUGUCAUCUUGUUUGCCCUCGAGGAUGAACAGAAGCCCAGUGCGCAAUGGGCAAAAGGAUUGACAGUGACUUGGUUUCAGGUACAAUUUGUCCGCAACAGCAAAUUAAAUAAAAUAAAGUAAUAAUUAAUAAAUAGAUUAAUUUGAAGAAAUUUAAAUUUUUAUUAAUAUAUUUUUCGUAUUUCAAGGAUUAAAUACCUCUCUAGUUUUUUUUAUACACUUAUUUAUUACAAUAUUGAUAUUUAGAAUCAGAAAUUUAUCAGAACUUAUUUGAGUAAUUCUAUUAUAGCACAAGCUGAAUAUCAAUCCUCACUAAAUUGGAGAAAAAUUUGUCUUCACUAUUAUUAAAGAGAAAUCGAUCAUAUUCCUACCCCAAUAUGGGGAGUCAAUUAACUCCCAUUAUAUAGAAAAAUAAAUCCCAACGAUGACCCUAAGCUGGGACUUGAAUCCAUGCCCUCAAGGUUGUUGAGGGCAUGGGCACACCAAUGGGCUUGUAGCCCAUUGGCAAAUACCUCUCUAGUUGAUAAAUAAUAUUCCAGAUUUUUAUUACUAUAGUUGAUGCUAGUUAGUCCACAUAUAAAACUUAAAAAUUAAGAAUAGGAAUAAAAACUAGACACCAUUAAUUUAAACUAAAACAAAUAAUUUGUUCACUAACCAACCACAAGUUUACUAAGUCCAAGUACACGUUAAUCACGACCAAUAGGAUGAAUACAGUUUAAAACAAAUAAAAAUAUAGAAUUAGGGAUCGUAACACUCCUUCACCUUAAAAGUACUCUUUGCCGUCAAGGGUGGACUUUGUUAAGGAGUCUUCUCUCGUCAACAUACUUCUCCGAAUUUGACCACGACAACAUAAUAAUGGCUAGAGUCCCGUCACCGUCCAACCAUAAUGGCCACUUCAAGGCCAAAGGUUUUGCGUGUGUGCAUGCUUCUUGACUUUUUCAUUGGUGCAUUAAAUUUUGUUUUGUAUUCCGAAAUCAAGCAUGCAUGCAUGCUCCUUGGCUCUUUUCAUAUUCCACAAGGAUGCAUUAAAAAAUAAAACUCUCACUUUAAGAACAUCUCAACUAUCUCUGCUUAAAAAAAUUAUCUCAUCUCGUGUGUGUGUGUGUAGGUAAAACGAGCCUCAUUUUUUAAUUCAAUUUAAUCUCCAAUCGCGAAAAUUUGGUUAAGCAAAAAUGCGGUGCGACUGGGGGGAGUUUCGUCGGAAGGUAAUCAGAUAUUAAAACGAACUCAAUAAGUUAUCAUGAAGCCUAUCGGCAUCAUACUGAAUUACUGACGCAAAUGACUUCCGAGUUUCCAUUUCCCUGUUCCCAUCAAGGGUCAAAGGGCUCCAGUAGCUGCGCGUAAAGGGCCCCAGUGGGAAAUUUAAUCGGUAAGGGGUCCCAGUCAAAAAUGUGAAGGCAUUAAACUAUAGGGGUAAUUUGGGUAUUCGUUUAUUUAAUUUAAUUCGAUUUAAAGUAAAUAAGUUUGAGUUUAAAAAAAAUUAAUUUAUUUAAUAAAUGGUGAAUUCGACUUCAUUUUCACUUUUAGGUUAAUCUGUAUUAAUUAUUUUUAUACUUAUUUAAUUCUUUAUUUAUUGUUAUUGAAGUUUGUCCAGUCAUUUAUUUAUAAGUUUUUCUUUUAUGGAUAUAGUUUAAUAAUUUGGUUGAUGAUUAUGUUAAUCAAUUCUUUUAGGCUCAAUAUUUGAUUCUCUAAUCAUUUAAUUUAGACUUUGAAUUAAGUGUCUAUUUCUUUUUACAGUUCUAAGAGCUGGUUUUGUAGGUUGGACUUGAUCCUUUCAAAACGGUGUUAUUUAUUCAUUAAGUGUACAUGAUUUCUUUAAGAUACUGACAGCCAAAGGGAGAACAAAAGAAAAAAAGAUUGGAAUGCAUAUAAAGAUACAAAUUAACGAUGAAAUAUGUAGGGAUAACCAAAAAUAAACAAAUAGUUAAGCAACUUUUCUUGAAUCUAUAGAUAUAUUUUUUUUAUCUUCUCAUAUUUUUUACAAAAUUAUUUGAAGAAUUAUUAUAUUUUUUAAUAUAAGAAUUUAUUAAAGUUGAUUAAUUAUUAUGCUCUCUCAUGCAAGCAAGAAUCAUUAAUGAAUAUGUGAUGAUUUGAUUACUAGGUGUCCAAUAAUAUCCUACAAUAGCUUUUUUUUUUUUUUUUUUGAUACACUGAUAUAGUAAAAUCAGAAUUUUUACUGAUAUUUACAAUCAGAAAUUAGUCGGGACCAUCCUGAAUAAGCCUAUUACAGCACAACCCGAAGUCAACGCUCACUUAAAAGCUGGAGGUGAUCAAUCCUACCCCAAUGUGGGUAGAUAACUAACCCCUAUUAUAUAGGGGAGUCAAUCCUACAAUAGCUUAUUGAAUUGCAAUACUUGGAUUAAAUCUCUUAAGAAAUUGGCUUUCUCAUCUUGUUGCAGAACUCAGUUAGCAACUUAAACACUAUUUCAUGUUGUUUGUCAAAUUUUAUCCCUCUUAUUUUGCCUUGUGUCUUCUUCUUAGUCUAAUAAACUGCAUAUUAUAUUAUUACGUAUGAAUACAAGAAAUAGGAAAACAUAUAUAUAAUAAAAAAAUUUAAUAUUACCAGAAAUGUCUAGAGCACUAGGUAGUGCAACAUAUUUGUCAUUUAUUUGUAUAUACAUCAACUGUUGGAGAUGUUUGAAAGAAAUAUGAUCCAAGAGCCAUGCUACAAUGUAUUAUAAUUAUAUAAACCAAAUGACUAAACCAACUAUAUAAAUUCUUUCUCGCAAACAAGAUGAAGCACUAGAAAGUCAGCCAUAAGAUGUGCUUACCAUUUGGUUUCUUUUUUUUUUCAAAGUGAGUUUGAUAGUCUUUUUAUGUUAAAAAUCAACUUUAGUAUAUUAUGUGAUGAUUUUUCAAGUUGGAUUAUUUUAUUAUACUUUGAUUAAUUUUAUUAGUAUCCGAUCAUAUUAUGCAUUGUCGCACAAAAGGUUCUCGUACACAAGUUAUUUUUAAUUUAAAGUUUUUGUUAUUAGAUUUCAAUUUGUAGGACUGAAAUUUGUAAUCACGACUGCUUAUUCUUAACAAUGAGACAAAAAGUUUUCUAAUACAAUAUAUGACUUGCCAUUUGCCAAAAAGGUAAUGGUCACAAGAUAACAAUUUUUCGACUAAAAAUUUUUUCAUUACUGGAUAUCAAUUUACGUGACUAAAAUACGUCAUCAUAGAUGCUUGUUUUAAAUGAUGGUUAAAAACAGUCAUUAAACUUUUCAGUUAUAAUGUAAAUAGUCGUGAAAAAAAUAUAUUGUUGUUAAAAAUCAUUUAAGACAAUAUUUAAUAUACUUUGCAACAAAAGAACAGUCACAAAAUAACAUUUUUCGAUUCAAAAUUGUUUUGCCACGAGAUAUCAAUUUAAGUGACUAACCAUUGUAGUCGUGGAUGUUUGCUUCUAAUACCGAGAAAAUAGUCACAUACGAUGUUACUAGUCAUAAGUGACAACUUGACAAUAAUAUAACGUCGUGAUAGGUAUACUUUAGCGACAAAAACAUAAUGUUGCUAAUUAUAUUUUUGAACCUCUAAAUUGACGAUUUUGAGUAGCAAUUACUACUAUUUUUACUUACCCUUAAGACAAACAUUUUAGUCAUUAUAAAUCACUAAUAGUAACGAAAAUAGAAUGUCGCUAAUUGCACUUUUGACUUUUGAACAUCUAAAUUGACCACUUUGAAUAUCAUUCACGACGUGUUAAAUUUAAAUUUAGGACAAAUGGUUUAGUCAUAAAAACAUACUAUUUUAUGUGACAAAUAAUUUUGGUUGCUAUAACCUAAUGUGACACACUUGGUGUGUUUAAUUGUAAUUUACUUUUUGUUAUUCCUGGAUUUGAAAGACAAUUAAUGGUGCACUUACUAAACGAGAGUCAGAAUGGGGUAGAAUCAGAAUGAAUUGGAAUCGAAAUGAGGAAUGAGAAUCAUAAUAAAUUGUCUAUUUUAUUUGUAGGAAUCAGAUUUGGAAUGAGCUGAAUUGCAAUUGAUGUGUUUACUUUUUCUUGGAAUUUAAAUAGAAAUGAAUUAGAUUGUUGCAAAUUACUAAAAAAAAUUAAUUAACUAUUAUCAUAAUUAUUACUUUUUAUUUUAAUUAUUGUGAUUAUUAUUAUUCUUAUUAUUAAAUAUUGUUAAUGAUAAUUAUUAUUAUUAACAUUAAUAUAAUAAUAAUGGUGAUGAUGAUGAUCAUCAUAAUCAUCAUCAACAAUAUCAUUGUUGGCAUAAUCAUCAUCGUCGGCAUUAGAUUAAAACGCGACUGCUACUGUUGCCGCUUGUGACACAACGGCUGCUCAUGACUACUACUGCUUGUGAUGUGACGACUGGCAACUAGUUGUUGCUCCACAAGCAAUGACCGACAGCAACAAGGGGGCUCAUCCACGGAUUGCGUGCUUUUUUUUUUUUUUUUUAACUGAGGACAAAGUUGGGAUUAUUGAUUAUGUUGGGGGGCAAAAUUGUCGCUCCUGGAAUGAGAGACUGAUUCCCACCUCCUUAGGAAUCAGUCUCUCAUUUCCUAUUUCUAAAUUUAGGUGGACUCCAUAAUUUCGAUUUUAAUAUUCGCUCUUUUUAUAAAAUAAAUACUAUCAAUGAUUUCGAUUUUGGAUUCUACUUGUCAUUUCUGGCAGUUUCAUGGUCGAAAAGUUUUGGUUCGAUUUGGAAUGCCUAGCCCUCUAAUGUUUCACACACACAUGGUCCUCUACUUGUCAUUUCUACAAUUGGUCAUAUGUUUCUAGUCAAUUGCAAGAAGUAAUGUACUCUAGCUAAGUACAUGCAAAGGUCAAAAUCUUAAUCUUAAUUAAUUAAGAUUUAAUUUAUUUUAUAUUUUUAUCUAAUAACUAUCAAUUAUUUUUUCAUAAUAAUUAGAAAAAAAAUUAGUUUAGUAUUGAAAUCAAAUCCACAUUAGAGUUGGGAUGUUACAAAUAUUUGUCAUAGCUGGAAGUUGAACAUGCAAAGGUUCCAGCAAGUGCCUACCAUCAAACUAGGUCAAAGUACAAAAUGUACCCAACAGAUGGAUAUGUUAGAUUUAUUUCUCAUAUUAUGUGGACUGACAUAAAUCAUUCUAAUUGUUUUCUAUAUUUUACCGAAUUAAUACGUGACUAAUGUCAAAUAUUAUGGAGCAAUUUUGACAGACUGAUCAAAUAUUGUGUUAAUGAGUCUGAUUUUGACAUACCCUAUACAGUAGUAUAGUAUGGACAAGUAUAAUCCUUAAUUGUGUUAUUUUAGCUCAUAAUGGGAUGGGCAAUUUUGUACUAACACAUGAGGGGUCCAUGCGCUCAACCACUGUGUUUAAGUAACUUCAGCCCAUUGGCAGGUUACUGUUCAAGAAAUCUGUGGCAUGAGUGCAGUGCACCUCUCUCUCUCUCUCCCUCUUGUCUCCCGUGUGUGCACAGUGACUUGUUGAGGAAAGCUGAAGGAAAGGAAGCGGGAAUUCAUAAGCUGGAUCAAAGUUGUAGCAACUCUGUUAAAGCUCCAUAACAAGCUUCCAAGCUCGGAUCCAUGGGAGAUCAUGGUAAAUUUUCGAAAUGACCUAAAAUAUGUGUUUAUUUGGAAAUGCAAUAUUAAGGGUAUAAAGUUUAUUUUUGUUUCAUCAGGAUAUGCAUGUCCUUUUGUUUGAGAUCUUGUGAGUACAAUGCUCCUAAUCCUCAAUACCAUAUACAUAAAAAAAUGGCCUAUAUAUAAACGCCGUUGUGAUUGAAGAAAAGCGGUAUUGCUAUUACUGACUCUUGCCAAAGGCCUUGAUGGACCACUUCUUCACAUCAAACUAACGCAUAAGAGGUAUAAAGCCUAGGUGUAGGAGAGAGAGCCACAACAUAUAUACAAAAACGCAAUUUGGAUAGACCUUGCCGAUCAUGCUAAGUUAAUUAAUCUGUCUGUGAAUGAAGAAGAUUCACCCUAAUUAAUGCUGAGUAAAUUAUUAGUAACCAGGAUGGACAUGUCAUAUGGUUAAUGGGAGCUUUAAAUCUGAAACUCACCUGGCUACCUGAACCAAGUGAGUAAGUUAACCACUUUGGUGGAGUUCGACUAUCUAGUUGACUAACAUCUCAAAGAAAAAGGUAUGUUGAUUAUCAGAAUUUUACAUUCAGUUAAGCCAUUCUGAACAGAGAACUUUUCUUGCAAUGUGAAUUUGUUUUGUUUUUUUUUUUUUUUUUUUCUCUUUCCUUUCUUUUGAAGGCACGUGAAUUUGUUCUUAAACCCAUCUUAAUCUAGAUAAGCUUGCUGGAUGCUAUAGUCAUUACAGGAUCAGGUAUCUCAAUCAUGUGAGAUUUCUCCUUGGGUUGUUUGUGCCUAAAUAUCCAAGUAGCUAUGCCUGUUGUUGCCUCUGAAUUCUGAUCAUCCAUGUGUGUUUUUUCUCAGUCACAGCAAUUGCGAACAUACACUUAGUUAGUUCAAUCAGUAAGAUUUCUUGAGAUAGUACGUAAAAUCGUUAAAUCAAAAUGGUUACGACCUAAGGCGGAUUCAUUUACUUUGAACUAGUCCUCUUUCUAUGUGGAUUACAAUUUGAAAUUAGACGAACCUAUUUUUUCAUUCAGAAAGAAAAAAAAAAUAUUUUUUUCCCUAUUACAGGUUUUCUCAUUGUUGAAGGAACUAGAGUCUCUCACAAGAGAAAUUCUAGAAUACAUCAGAUGUAAUACAACCAAUUAAUGCAUGUAUGAUAUGUGUAGUUGAAUUUUAUAUAAUCAUCAAUUACAUGUUGAUUCUCAAAGUAAUUGCACAUAUGUUAAAACAUCAUUUACUUGUUGUACAUUAGAUAUAAUACAACCAAUUAAUGCAUGUAUGAUAAGUGUAGUUGAAUUUUAUAUAACCACCUAUUACAUGUUGAUUCUCAAAGUAAUUGCACAUAUGUCAUAACAUCAUUUGCUUGUUAUAUGACUGACAUAGUACCUCAGAGAUAUUUCAGAAUUUUUCCUCCAACAAUACUCAAUCAAUGGUAAAGUUUAAAUUAUGUCAGAAAAAACAUUUGCACAAUUAUUGCUAUUUCAAACAUAGAAAUGUGAAGAGUAAUAUAUUUUAUGGAAUUUUCUCCGUUAAUUCUUAAAAUUACUACGUGUACAUGUGAUGAUUGCUUGCUACUGUGUAAGGUGAAACAUUUAAUUUGAAGAAGAUUAAUUCCUUCUAGACUGGUAGUAUAGGUCGUUGCUGCCCUGUCGAGGAAUUCUUAUUAGCUUGAAACCUAUCGCAAAUGUCAAUGCAAAAUGGCUUCAAGGUUUUGUUGUAGAGCUGACGACAAGCUUCUAAAAACAACAUACCAUAUUGGUACACAACUACAAUAAUGGUAGUCCCAAUCCAUGCAGUGUACAAAAUGAUAUGGUCAAUAUUAGAACGUGGAACAAAUGUAAAGACCAAAGAGAUUGCAGAAAUAGAUCCUAAGACAAUAGCAACAAGGCUCCACAACUGGGAAGAAUUUUCUCCAUGAAGUCGAGAUCUCAGGUCAGCUGAAUGUGCAUAGCAAUAUACGACAGUGGCUAUCCGAAAAGACCAUAUGUCCGUUGAAUGUGUUUCAGGCAAGGGCUUAGUUUGGUCUUGCAUAUGACAUGGAGCAGAAGAGAUUUUACCCACUGCAAAAUCAUAAAAAUGCAUGAUUAACCAUCUUCUGUAUAUCCCAUUUCCUUUGAAAAAAAAUAAAUGAAACUUAAAAAGACCUUGUAUUAAUUUCCAGUCAAAUUGUCUAUCAAUUAAUUAUUUGCUUUUGACAAAUGCAAUUCUCAUCUAAAAAUUUGAGGGAGCGCUUUUCUAUUUUCAUUAACACAUACGAGAUAUUUUUCAUUUGCGUCCAAAUGUUUCAUCAAAUUUUAUUGUGUGCACCUCUGUCCUCUGUUUCAACAACUCUUACGGCUCAUCGUUUCUGUUAAAAAAUAUUGUUGCCGUUAAUUUUGACAAUUUUGAUGUUAAAAGACAAUUUUACCAGUCAUUGGAAUUAGGUGUAAAAUUACCAGAAAACCACAGCACUUGUUUCAAAUUCCAAUUUUGACCUAUGUGGAUAUUAAAAUUUCUUAAAGGUUUGAAAAAAAAAAAAGAAUUGUAAAAAUGUUUUCUUAUGGGAAUCAAAACAUCCCCUCUACCAUCAUCCAUAAUCAUAUAUUCUUGAUAAUGAUCUAAUAAACUUGAAAAAGCAAGAAAUCCAAUCCUAAUCAAUAAAACAAUCAAAUUUCUUCAUAAAGUUUAGCUCUUGCUUUUGAAAAUUCCAAUUCUUGAGACUCUAAAUAAACCGAUAUUCAAAAUUACAUAUUUCUAGAAUGAAAAAUCUUCAAUUUAUCCCUUUAAUUUUUUUAAAACAUCUUUAAAUUUUUGAAAACAUCUAUUUGCCUCUAUUUAUCAGUCAAAAGAUUAGGAUAAAUGGAAGCGCGUUGAUGACUAACUUUUUAUCUACUUAAUGGUAUUUGAUAAAUAUAGCUAAAUUGGGGUAAAUUGAAAUUUUAUUCUACAUUUAGAGUGCUUUAAUAAGAGAAAGAAAGAAAGCAGCAAACCUGGUCUAUUUAAAUAAUAAUAUUAUUAUUAUUAAAUAAAUAAAUAAAAUUAACAUGCAAACUCAGCUUGAAACUUGGGAGAAAAAAAUAUGUGAAUUUUAUUACAUGCUGAUUCUUCAAAUUAAAAUGUAAACACACUCAAUAAACAUUAGACAUAAUACAACUAAUUAAUGCAUGUAUGAUAUGUAUCAUUGAAUUUUAUUACAUGCUGAUUCUUCAAAUUAAUUGCACACAUAUUAGAAAAUCAUGAGUUUGUUGUAUGAUGGACAUAGUAUCUAAAGAUAUUUUAAAAUUUUUCCUCUGAUAAUGCUCAAUCAAAUUAAGGGUAAAGGUUAAAUUAUGAUAGAAAAAGUCUUUGAAUAAUAUUGAACAAAGCAUUUACUUGUAUACUAAAAGAAUGCAUAUGAGGGGCCAAAAAGAGUGAAGAUAUGAGUUUGACUAUUAUCACAUCAAUUAUUACUAUUUAAAACAUAGAAAGAUGAAACUAACAUAUUUUGUGGAAUUUCCUCCGUUACUUACUUAAAAUUACUACGUUACAUGUGAUGAUUGCUUGUUAUUGUCUAAGGUGAACAUUUAAUUUGAAAAAGAUUAGUUCCUUCUAGAUAGGUAGUACUGAUUGUUGCUGCCCUGUCGAGGAAGUAUUAUUAGCUUGAAACCUAUUGCAAAUGUCAAUGCACAAUGGCUUCAAGGUUUCGAUAUAGAGCUGAUGACAAGCUUCUGAAAACAAUGUCCUAUAUUGAUACACAACAAUAAUGACAGUGCCAAUCCACGCAGCGCACAAAAUGAUAUGGCCAGUAUUAGAAUGUGGAAAAAAGGUGGAGAUCAAAGAGAUUGCAGAAGUAGAUCCUGAGACAACAGCAACGAGGCACCAGAACUGGGAAGAAUUUUCUCGACGAAGUCGAGACUUGAGGUCCGCUGAAUAUGCAUAGCAAUAUAUGGCUGUGGCAAUGAGAAAAGACCAUAUAUUUAUUGAGUGUGUUUCAAGCAAGGGCUUAGCUUGGCUGGCUUGCGCAUUUGCACCCACAAUGCCGAUGAGAGCCGGAAUGAGAUAUCCAAAAAUAUUGGGAUAUGACAUCGAGUAGAAGAAAUUUCGCCCACUGCAAAUCAUUAAAAUGCAUGAUUAACCAUCUUCUAUAUAUCCCAUUUCCUUUGAAAAAAAAAUAAUGAAUAAAACUUAAAAAAGACCUCGUAUUAAUUUCCACUCAAAUUGUCUGUCAAUUAAUUAUUUGCUUUUGGCUGAUGUAAUUCUCCUCUAAAAAUUGAGAGAGCACUUUUCUAUUUUCAUUAGCACAUGUAUAUGAGAUAUUUUUCAUCUGCGUCCAAAGUUUUCAUUAGAUUUUAUUGUGCGCGGACUUGUUUCAAUAACUCUCAUGACUCACCUUUUUUGUUAAAUAUUGUUGUUGCCAUUAGUUUUGAUGAUUAGUGUAAAAUUAUUAGAAAACCACAACACCUGUUUCAAAUUCCAAUUUUGACCUACAUGGAAAUUAAAAUUUCUUAAAGGUUAAAAAAAAGAGUAAAAAUGUUUUCUUAUGGGAAUCAAAAUAUCCCCUCUACCAUCAUCCAUAAUCAUCUAUUCUUAAUAUUAAUCUAAUAAACCGAUAUUCAAAAUUACAUGUUUCUAGAAAGAAAAAACUUCUAUUUAUCCCUUUAAAUUUUUGAAAACAUCUAUUUACCUCUAUUUAUCAGUCAAAAGAUUAGAAUAAAUAGAAGCGUGUUGAUGACUAACUUUUUAUCUGCUUAAUGGUAUUUGAUAAAUGUAGAUAAAUUGGGGUAAAUUGAAAUUUUAUUCCACAUUUAGAGUGCUUUAAUAAGGGAAAGAAAGAAAACAGAAAACAAAUCCCUUCGAUACGAGGCUUAACAAAAUUUUCAGCAUGGACCUAACCAAAUUUUUUUCGCGCAAAUUAAAUUAGGAGAACAAAAAUAAUUUGAAAUGGACUGCAUAUGUAUACUCAAAAAUAAUAUACAGCUUGAGUCAAUAAUGGUAAAGAAAAUGACCAUACACCGAAAGGUUUGGAUCUGGAUGAUGCAGAAUGCAGUGGCAGCUUUGCAUUUGCAGUUAUAUACCUCGCCAAACCCUGGAUUGGGUUUUCUUUUUCACGGCAAAUAAGGCAGGGACAAGCAAACCUGAUCGAUUUUAGAACAAAAAUAAAUAAAUAAAUAAAAGUAAAAUGUAAACUCAGCUUGAAACCUGGGAGAAAAAAAUAACAAUAACAAAGUAAAAAAAAUCACUUACUUUAAGAACAUCUCAAUUAUCUCAUGGAUUGGGUAUUUAUACGGGCAAAAUGAGGGUCAAUUGAACCCCAAUGUAAUCCCGAUUCCGGAACACGUUUGGUCAAGCUCAAGUGCGGCCGAAUGGGGAGGGUUUCCUAGAAAGGUAGCAAGGUAGUCCCCCUUAGAAAGUGAAAAUGAAGCCUAUCCACAAUCAUAGGGAUGCAACACAAGGUAGAUUUUUUUUUUUUGUUAGAUGUAGAAAAUGAUUAAAGAGGUCCCAUCAAGUUCAGCGGGCAAGGGCCGCUCGGUAGCUACACGUGAAGAGGGGCCCCCCAGCGCCCCGGCGGUGAAAUUUAAGUGGUACGGUCCCAAUUAAAAUGUGAUUAACUUAUCAAAUAUCAAGAUCUUUUCCAAUAAGGACAUUAGUUUUGCAUUCGUUCGUCUCAAAUAGGUCCCUAACCUUGUAUGACGACUAAGAUACCCUUAACCCGUUGGACCAAUCUACCUUACAGAUUCUGUAAGUAACGGCCUGUGAGUUGACAAGAGGAUAUAUGGAUGCGUAGCACGUGGACGGCGGAUGGAAUGGGAUAUUAUAUAUGGAACCAGACAUUCCGGUUUUCUUCGGGUGACAAAAUGAAUUCCUUCCCGGUUGCUGACCGGUAACCCAUCACUGAAAGUGGUAAAAAAAAUUAGGCUGAUGGGCCGUGUAUUGAAAAUCCAAAUAUUUGCAAUUUGAUAGUGGAAAAAUGUUGGUGGUUAUAGGCUUCCAGCGUAUCGAAUUAUUAUUCAGACUCGUGCAUAUAGCAAGUGAGGCGACGUUGCAUCUCCUGCAACAGCAUGGUGUGAAAAAACCCCUUCAAAAUAUUUUCUCACUUUGGAUCCACGGUGUGUGAUCCAGUUUAAGCAAUCGCGGCUGCCUCGGAGGUAGCAUGACCUAAACUGUUUUUUUUUUACCGACACCAACCUAAUUAAAAUACAAUUAAUUCUGUAAAUUUCUCCAACCACGUGUCCUUUUGUUACUUCUCACAUCCGGUUGCACAUUAACCAUUAAAAUCGGUUUCCCCAUGCUUUGGGUUUUCUUUCCCCUUAUUUUUCUGACCGUUGCCAACCCUCCAUCUUUCUCUAUCCACAUUCAACGAUUGAGAUUACAGGUCUGUUACUUACAGAAUCUGUAAGGUAGACAGGUCCCUUAACCCGUUGGACCAAUCUACAGGUCUGUUACUUACAGAAUCUGUAAGGUAGACAGGUCCUUAACCGUUAUAUGAUUUACACACUUGCCGUUUUGUUCUGCAAAGGAGGACACCACCCGUUACCUCAAAGCCUUUGAGCUCAGUCUGAGGGCACAUAAAAGGUCGCUUGAAGACCAAGCGGAGUUGAUGUGAUUGUUGGGUUGCCGCAUGGCUAAGAAUAAGAAAUUUCGCCGUCAAAAUGAAACGUAUCCUGUAAUAUAUAAUAUUCAUUUAUCAGUGAAGUAAAUAUACAGAAGGUUUACGGAGUUGCAUUAUAUGUAUAUUUAGCUAUUAUCAAAUGUCAACAGUAAUCAUUGGUAUUAAUUCUUGUAAAAUUAAGUUCUUAUCCACUUUCCCAAAAAAAAAAAAAUCUUAUUCAUUAUUCAAAGGCUUCCGAGUGCAUUUGGUGUUAGUUUUAUUCAUAUGUGAGAGUACAUCUUGCAUAUUAAACAAAUGAGUAAUGAUAUAGUAACAAACUCUUGUACAAACUUAUUUUGUACACUCUUGUACAAACUCAUUUUGUACACUCUUGUACAAACUCAUUUUGUACACUCUUGUACAAACUCAUUUUGUAUAAACUGAUGUGGUAUGAUAAGAUUGGUUGAAUUAAAUAUCACUUGGCCCACAUGAUUUAUUUUUAUUAUUUUAUAUUUUCAUUCAACCAAUGAAUUAAUAUCACGUUAGUUUGUACAAGAGUUUGUGGUUGUAUCAUCACUCUAAACAAAUUGUUAUUUAGUCCCGCCCUUAUUUGAUCAGAGUGGACCACGGUGGUUUUUUAACUCCGAAUAUUUAAGCACAAAUCAUUUUUAAAUAGUGAUUUACGAAUAUGAAUGGAAUUAAUUCUUCCAUACUGUUCAUGUUCUUAGGAUAAUUGUGGAAUUAGUUCAAAGAAAGCAAAAUUUCCUAAUUCACAAAUUUUGCAUUUUAUUAAAGGUUGGGAUAGUAUUUACAACAUUGUAAACUGACUUUCAUAUAACAACGUUAUAAAACGGUAAAAACGAUAGUUUACAAUGUUAUAAAACAAUGAAAAAAAAAAAUAGUUUACAAUGUUGUAAACACAUCCUGCACUUUAAUAGCCCGAGAUUUUUAGACCGGAAGCAGACACUUCAAAAAGUAAUGAUGUUUAUUUAUUUUUUUCUGAAAAAGGAUACCGACAACUCUUGAUUUAAAAAAUGAUCACAUAAAUUAAUCUUUUAGGAUAAUAUCACCUUUGAUUGCAAUAACCCAACUGUAUUUCAUCUGAUCAUAUAUAAUUAUAAAAAAUAUAUAUAUAAAGGUUGUUUUCCCUUUGACUGCUAAUCACACGAGCCUCGUUGAUCUUUUGCUGGAAUGAUGACCAGAGGAUGGUAUUUUUGCCUUAUUUGUGCUUCUGGGUGAAGCAAAAUAUUGGUAGCAGGCUUUCGCUUAUACGUCUGAUGUGCAGCAGCCAUACACACUGUUGUGAUUGUAGAAAAGAGGGUAUCGCUAAUCCCUGUGGCAUUCGAUGACUAUUAUUAUCAAAACAAGUAUAAAAUUUGACGAAAAUAUCGCAACAAUUAUUACCUUAAAUAAAAUUUAACGAAAAUAUAUAUCAUUGGUAUUCCAAAUAUAGAAAUCCGAACAUAAUAAAAAUAUUUCAAUCCAGAAUCACAGACUUGUUUAAGUCUGAAAAAGUUAUGAUUUGAUAGCAUAAUAGUCGGAAAAGCUAUUAAAGUAUAAUAUUUUAAUAGUAUAAUGACAUUAUAUUAUAAAAUUAUACGUCUUAAUAACUUUUUAAAAUUAUAAUAAAGUUUAAAAUCUUAGAUUAAAUUAGUGCACGAACACAAAUAUAAUAUAAUUAAAUAUAUAUGUUUACGGAAUUUCUCCACUACAUUUCUUUUGUUGUUGUUCCUUAUCACUAGAGCUAUAACUUGACAUAGCCGCAAUGUUUAAAAUUAGUACACGCACCACGUGAUGAUUGUUACUAGCAGGUGAAACAUUUAAAGAAGAGUUAUUAGCUUGAACCUGUUGCAAAUGUCAGAGCAAAAAGGCUUUAAUGUUUCAUGGUGGAGCCGAUGACAGGCAUAAAUAACAAUGUGGGAUAUUGAUACACGAGCAACACGACAAUGGUAAUAGCAAAGCAAAUCCAUUAAGUGUGCAAAAUGAUGUGACCGCUGACCAGUAUUUGACCAAUAUUAAUAUCAGAGCGUUGGCUGUCGAGACCAAAGAGAGUGCAGAAACAGGCCCCAGCCCCCAAAAUCAGGAAGAAACUUUUCGAUGAAGUUGAGACCUCAGCGCCGGCCAAAUAUGCAUAACAAUAAAUGAUUAUGGCUAUCAGAAAAGGGACUCGCCUAUCGUGCAACAGAAGCACCAUACCACCGUUUUUAUCUUUUUUUUAUAAAAUUUUAUGAAGUCCUUUUCAUUUAUUCUUAUUUGAAUUUUUCUUAACAAAUAUUAAGUUCAUUUCUCCCAAAUCUAUGAAUCCUUCAACGGCCGAUCAAUAGCAAAUCGGCUCCUCUGGUGGCUGUGGUUGGUCAGAAAAGAUAGAGAGAACUGUGGAUAACAAAAUUCAAGUGGUGACGUCACCGGAAAUCAGAGAAACCACAGUGAAUUGAAGUGGAGAUUCUGUGACUUUUCACGGCUUCGAUCGACGGCUUUCUGAAUGUUUUACGACGACAAGGAUGGCAUGGAGAUGAUCGGCGUCGCACGAGCUUCCGAUCGGUACCAACCUUGGCCAGUGGAGUAGCCAGAAACAAACAAAAUUCGGGUUGGGUUGACCUAGUUAUUUUUGCGACAAGGAUGGCGUGGAGAUGACUGAGGUCGUACGAUUUUCUGAUCGGUACCAACCUUGGGCGGUGGCGUGGAUGGAAAUGGAAACGAAAUUCGGGUUGGGUUCACCGAUAUUUUGAUAAAGAGAGGGGGGUAUUGUGAUAAAUGUGCAAUAUAGAAUAAAAAUGUGUAAAUAGUAAAUAGUAUAAGGUGCUAAUUAUAAUGUUUAUAUGGAUGCAAUAGAAAUUAAUUUAAUAUUUAUGAGGUAAAGUUUAAAUAAAAAUGAAUUAAAGGGGUUCAAUGAAAUUUUACAACACUACUAGCACAAAAGACAAAACCAGUGAUACGAUACCACGGUGGUACCGCAGCUGGAUCCAAAAGAAAAGAUCAUAUAUUUACUAAGGUAAUUCUUAUCUUACAUGCAUGUAAGAUAGGGGGAUCCAUUUACUAAAUGUGUUUUAAGUAAGAGCUUAGUUUUAUCUUACGUAUUUGUAGUGUCGCAUUCAGAAUUAAAGCCUAAUAAGUAAUAGCAGCAAAUAUAAUUUCUUUAAAAAAAAUUAUUUUCCUAAAAUGUUUUACAAUAAUUUUGGAUAUAACAUACUCAUUUAAAAUGAUUUUAAUGAUGAUAAUUUAAUUUUCAGUAUAUAAUCUUAUAAAUUACUUAAAGUCGGUAGAGUAAAUUAAAAAUUUUAUUAGGACAAAAAAAUUUAUUGAAUUUUGGAAAAUAUUUUUUGAAAAAGAUUCAGACUUACGGGGACAACUGCCGCAGCUUGUCUUUACGUGACUCCACCAGUAUCGAUAUUUGCACCCACAAUGCCGAUAGGAGCUGCAAUGAGAUAUCCAAAAAUACUAAGGUAUGUGAAUAAAGAAAUCAUCUUAGACCCACUAGUCCUUUGAACUAAAACCACCAACCCACCUCAUUUUGACAACUCUUAACCGCAUAUCAAACAACAUGCGAAGAAGAAGGAUUUAGAAUAAAUAAAUAAAUACAAAGUUUUGCUCUUUUUUGCUACAAGAGGAGAAAAUUUGAAUUAGCUAUUUGGAAGAGAUAGGGAUGAUCGAACAAAAUUUUUCCCUUGGGUAUUAAUCAAUGGUCAUAACCCGGAUUUGAAAUGGAGAGUUUUUUUUUUUUUUGAUGACAUGAGACUAUUGUUUAAAUUACAACUCAUAUUACAUGAUAGUAUAACUGAUAUGUACAAGCAUAUAUAUAUACUGAGACCUGUUGAGAUCAAUGCUGAUAUGACAUCGCUCAUAUUUGUAACCCUCUCAAAUAGUCGAGGGACGUCAACUCCCAGCCUGGGAGAAAGACUGCCUUCACUCAAGCUCUGGGGCUCCAAAGAAGGACAUUUAAAUUAAACCACAGCAAUGCGUCUGCGGAGGCUCGAAUCACUUCCCUCACAUUUGUGAGUGAGUGGCUCUAGCCACUUGGGCUAAGCCCAAGUGGUUAAAUGGAGAGUUAAUUUCGCUGUUACCCAGAUUUGAAAGACAGUAUUAAGUGCAAUUUAUGUUCCAGCAGUUUAUGAUCGAAAAUGUAAGUGAAGUGAAGUCGUUAUUAUUAGGAUUUCUCUUGAUCUAAGUUCUCCUGAAUUUUUAAGAUGUGUAAGGUAAUAAUAUUGUAUGGAUGGAAUUUAAGUUCUUUAUUUUUUUUUAUUUUAAUCACCAAUCAACUUGUGAAUUUGAGAAAUUUAGAUCAGAAGAGGAUCUUAUCUCUUUGUAUUUUAGUGUCAUAAUUUUAAAAACUAAAAAUGAACUACAAUUAUAAAAUAAAAAUUGACAUUUUAAUAAUUUUGACAGAAAAGUAAAAAUACUGCAGAAUUUUUAUUAUAUAUGUAAUAAAUUAAAUCAACUUAAUUUUUAAACCACAAUUAUUAUUAUCUACCAAAUAUUUAGGGCCAUAGCUAACCUUAAUACUAAAUGGGGGCAUUCGGCUCCCACGAUCAAUCUGUUGAGGCUGCAUUGGUUGGAAUGUACGAUGAGGAUGGCAUGUUUUGUCUUAUUCGUGCUUCAUAAAUCAUAAUAAAGCCGAUUUUUCGUGGCAGACAUUUGAUUAAUAUCUCCUUGCGGUUUCAUAUGGAAAUUUGGGAUGUUACCAGCGUUGUGUUGUCUUAAUAUUUCCUGUAGUUUUGGCAACCCAGUACGCCACCUGUCAUCUUGUUUGCCCUCAAGGAUGAACAGAAGCCCGGUGCGCAAUGGGCAAAAGGAUUGACAGUGACUUGGUUUCAGGUACAAAUUGUCGGCAACAGCAAAUUAAAUAAAAUAAAGUAAUAAAUAGAUUAAUUCGAACAAAUUUAAAUUUUUAUUAAUAUAUUUUUCGUAUUUCAAGGAUUAAAUACCUCUCUAGUUUUUUUUUAAACACUUAUAUAUUACAAUAUUGAUAUUUACAAUCAAAAAUUUAUCAGAACUUAUCUGAGUAAUUCUAUUACAAUACAACCCAAAUAUCAAUAUUCACUAAAUUGAAGAGAGAUUUAUCUUCACUAUUAUUGAAAGGAAAUCAAUUCUACUUCAAUGUGGGGAGUCAGUUAACUCCCAUUAUAUAAGAAAACAAGUCCCAACGAUGACUCUAAGCUGAGACUUGAAUCCAUGCCCUCAAGGUUAUUUAUCAACUCUCUAGUUGAUAAAUAAUAUUCCAGAUUUUUAUUGUUAUAGUUGAUGCUAGUUAGUCCACAUAUAAAACUUAAAAAUUAAGAAUAGGAAUAAAAACUAGACACCAUUAAUUUAAACUAAAACAAAUAAUUUGUUCACUAACCAACCACAAGUUUACUAAGUCCAAGUACACGUUAAUCACGACCAAUAGGAUGAAUACAGUUUAAAACAAAUAAAAAUAUAGAAUUAGGGAUCGUAACACUCCUUCACCUUAAAAGUACUCUUUGCCGUCAAGGGUGGACUUUGUUAAGGAGUCUUCUCUCGUCAACAUACUUCUCCGAAUUUGACCACGACAACAUAAUAAUGGCUAGAGUCCCGUCACCGUCCAACCAUAAUGGCCACUUCAAGGCCAAAGGUUUUGCGUGUGUGCAUGCUUCUUGACUUUUUCAUUGGUGCAUUAAAUUUUGUUUUGUAUUCCGAAAUCAAGCAUGCAUGCAUGCUCCUUGGCUCUUUUCAUAUUCCACAAGGAUGCAUUAAUUUAUUUUUAUUUUUUUUGUUUGUUUGUGCGCCAGGGGUUACCAAUUACGAUCAUGAUUCUCUUCUGAUCUGAUUAUUUUCUAAGUAAAUAAUUUAAUCACUGAUUGAGUGUUAAUAAAUAAAAAAGUAAAAAAAAUUAAAUCUUACACAUACACUACUACUAAAAGACACAUGACAAAAGAUUAUUUAAAUCUCAAUAAUAUUCAGAUCAUGAGAGGAUCUUGUUCCUACUAAUUACUUCAUCGUUAGGAUUUGUUCCUUAUUAAUUGCUUAGUUCUGAUACCAAAUGUUACGGAAACAAAUUAUUUACAACAAUAAAUCAAAUAAAAUAAAAAGAACAAGUAACAAAUGGGUUAAUUUGAGAAAACCAAAAAUUUCAUAAAUAUAUUUUUAGCACUUCAAGAGAGCAACUACCUCUCAAUACAACUAAUCAGUUGCCAAAUAAUAUUCCAAAUUUUUAUUAUUGAGUUUGAUACUAGUUUCAAUAUUGGUUUGCUAAUAAAACUUAAAACUAAAGAAUAAGAGUAAAACUAGACACUACUAGCCUUUACUAACACAAAUAAUUAGCUAAUUAACGAACUACUAAUUUACUAAGUCCAAGUACACCUUAAUCACAACCGUUAGGAUAAAUACAAUUUAAAAUCAAUAAAAAUAUAAGAUUGGAGAUCGUAAGUCGUAACAGACUUCUAAAGAGAGUCGAGAGAAAAACUUACUUGGGACAAUCCAAAAAAUACUACUUGCAUUUAUAUGACUGGCCAAUUUGAAAACAUAUGAAUGCUUAGCUGUCAAAAUAUAAAUGGAUGAGCACACCACGUGAAACGUGGGCUUCUCCCACCUAAAUACUUCUCAAUCUGAGUAGGGGGAAAUGUCCGAAGAGUGACUCCAAAAUCUGCUUCUUAUGCUAAAAACACAUGUAUGAAUACUCUGAAUGAAUUAACAGAAUUUUAUACAUGCCAAAACCAACUAAUCAUAUGUAAAAUUUAUUAGCAUGCGAUUGUAUGGAUCAUAGUCUUGAGGCAGCUUACAAGGAUAACAAAAUAAUAGUGUGAGGAAAUAAGUUGCUGAUGUACUGGGUUUAAAUGCAAGAUAUGAAGAAUUCUUGGGGCUAUAUGUAGAUCGACUUCAGUAGGAGGGAUCUUGUUGCAAAUUUAUGCUGAUGUGGCAGAAUUCGUUGAGAGUUCGUUAUGCCCUUUCCAGAAAUAUCAGAAUAAAAGGCACUUGUGACUAGCCUCUUAUAUCAGAUCGAUAUCUUCUUCAUUUCAUGUUCAUUUUGCUUGCAAUUUGGUUCUUUGUGAUCCUUAUAAUUUCUUUUUGUUAAUCAAUCUGUAAUCCGAUUGUUGAGAUCAAUAAAAGAGCAGUUUUUUCCUUCAUCAAUUUGUGUACUUGAAACUGUGCUCUGAGUCUGAUUCUUGUGAUUGCUUUCUUGUGUUGAUUAAUCUGGUCUGUUUCUUUCAAGUCUGAUUCAUCAAAGUUCUUCACGAAAUAACUUGUGUAGCUAUUAAAGGUUAUAACAAAUAGAAUGGUGCAAUAAAAGUACAAUAGCUGAUUCACUAAGGCUACAUAUAACCAGAGAAUAUGGUCAAUAAACUGGAAUAACCAACUGUUCUUGAAUCAAGUCCCUCCCCAGGGUUCUCAAGAACAAAACCAAUGAAGUUUGUCAGGACAGCAAUCCAUCAGCUGCAGUGACCCAGUGGUUCAACGGUGGUUCAUUCCAUCAUUUACAUGUAUAACAGAUUAUCUUCCGGUCUUGGCGCGUUUCAUUCCAGCACUGUUGAAGGGCCACAUGCUAGGACUCAUACUCGGACUCAUGCAUGGACUUUCUUCUCUUAGAGUACCAUUCAGCGUAGCAAAUUCACGCAAUUGUUGCUUCUUGUAAUGAUCCAAGGAUUCAUCCUGCAUAAAGAGAUUAGUUUGAACAAGCGGGAAUUAGGAGAGAUGCUGAAGGAAAGAAUAUCGACAAAGUUCACAGAAAAUACAAGAGUUUUUUUUGUUCAUACCACAGGCUUCAAAAGGUUCUCUAGUAUCGCUACAGCAUGAUCCAAGCGGGAAUUUAUUAUAUCCUCUGGAAAUUCGGCCUCCCCUAACACGUGCAGUGGCUCAUUAAGAUGCUCAUAUCCAGGUUUAUCUUUAAGUUUUUCUUCCUAAAGAACCAAAAAGUAAAGAAUUAUCAAGAGAAACCAAGAUGGUAUAAUAAUGUAAGGCAACAUCGAACAUUAGGAAAUACGAAGAAAUGGUUUGCUAAUGCAAGACGCACUCUCCCAUUUGUAGAACACAAAGAACAUGAAAUGAGUCUUGAUUUCCACUUAAUAGAUAAACUAGUAAUAAUAUAAAUUCAUUUCCAGUACAUAUGCCAUCAAUGUAAAACAAAACUACUCAAAAUAUCUAGCUACUCCUACCACAACGAAAGAAAACCACCAUAAUCAUACCAGUUGUCUCCACGAAAAAGAAUUAUGAGGGGCCCAAAAAAAAAAAAAAAAGCUAUAGUUCAUCUGGAAAUCAUUAUUCCAAAGCAACAUAAUUUAUAUGUGUGUAAUUUCAUGCUCAGUACAUCUUUCUCCAGUUAAAUCAAUCAGCAAAAUGUCACAAUCCUCCAUUGAAUAUCAUAGAACUACAUCAUGCAUGAUCAUAAGCAAAUCUAGUCAUACCAUGACCAGUAUCGGUACUAAACUACAAAUUAAAGCAUCUGAUAGAUUGUUACAUAAAACCAGGAUAAUUACAGUGCUAAUCAAAUAACCCGAAUUGCAGAUUCCCUAAUCAAACAAACAUAACAAAAAAAUCUGAAUUACAUUUUUUUUUUUUUUAACCAGAGAUGCACAUUGGCAGCGGAUAAAAUUGAGCAUGUCCUACAAGUUAACAUGGUCCUCCUUUAGCAAGGUCUAGAUGGGAAGGACCAUAGUAAAAAUAAGAGGAAAUACUUUACUUCAUCUAUAAAUCCUACAAUUUAGUUGCAAGUAAAAUAACUCCAAUCUAAAACAUCAAAUGCAUAAGAUUCACAAGGCAAAAGCAGCUUUAGCUAUUAAAAUUUCACAUUCUCAUGCUUUAAGUGUUCAAAUCCACUUUAGCUUGAUUAGAUUGAAUCAGCAACUUAUUCCAAAAUGCACAGCUUCACCACAUUAUGAUAGAUCAGGCCUUUAAAGAAUCCUCGACUGAACCCCGUCCUCUAAUGAACACCCUACAUUCUGUCAUGGCUUCAAUUCUUUUUGAGGGAGUUCCCAUGCGUUCCCAAAAUCCGGCCAACAAAAUUAAACUGCUGUGUGUUUAAGUUAGAAACUAUUAUUAUAAGGAAUUUAAAUAUAUCAAUAUAACUACCUUUUAAAUUGGAAAGCAAAGUUUAAACUUACAUUUGGAUAUUUAUCUACGGUAACAUCAAGUCUAAUAACUCUCUUCACAACAGGUGUGGUUGGAAUUCCGGGAACACCUAGCCCGCCCAUUGAAGGAGGAGUUUGAAAAAGGGGCCAUUUUUUGAAUAUGCCCAUUUUCCUGAAUCAAGGCAUCUAAUGAUAUAAGGAUUCCUCUCUUCAGAAUGAUAUAAGGAAUCCUUUCUUUUAUGCUUGAAAACUUUAUCAUCAAAUCCAAAACAGCACAUGAUUCUCAAACUCGAUGAAACAAUCAAGAGCCCUCUAAAAAGUGAUGUGCAAGAUCCAAAACAGAAAGCUUAGUCAUUUAAAAAAUAGCAUUCAGCUAUGAGCAAUAAUAACUUAAAUCUUAAACAUGGAUGUAAUUUAUCUUCAGCUGACAGCUAGACAUACGAGGCAAGUUCAAAGAACAUUUCUCUUUUAUACCCAAAAAAAAAAUAGCUGAACUAGAAGAUACUCUCAGUUGAUUAGAGAAUGAGUAUAUCGAUCUAUGUGUGACAAUUUACUUUAGGUAUACCAUAGAUUCUAACCUUUGUUACACUAAAAGAUGGUCAUCCCCUCAUUUAAAAGGAACAUAGCGAUUAGAAGAAAAGCAUACAGUCAGAAUUCCAAGAAAUUGCAAUAUAGAAUUUUCUGGCAUCAAUCUCACAAUUACAGGAUAAAAAUACAUGGCAAGUAUAAAACCGUGAACAGGCAUUAUUAGCUCAGUUUGCGUUGUAGAUGAACCCUCCAAAUCCAUUGGUCUUCCAUUCGGCUGACCUGAUGACCUAAAUGGACUAUCAUGCUCAAACCCUUCAUGAUCAACAAAACUUGGAUUGCAACCUGUCGUUUGUCUGAUUAGGUAUACCAUGUAAUAUAUACAACUGAAUCCAGGUAAUAACUAACUGUGCUACAAAUGUCAAUGACAAAUAAAGUUCCUAGUUUUUUCAAAAAACUGCCUAGGCAGUGCCCACCCCGCCACACAAGUAGUCCAGGUAAUUUGCUCACGCUGUUGCCAGCCAAAGAACCAUGAAGAGGAAAAGCUGCAAGGAGCCUUUGCCAGGUUGGUCAGGAAGGGCUUCAAUAGAGUGUAACAUCUCAGUAGCUCAAUUCAUGUACCCCUAGCUGUGCAUGUAAGAAGAAAUGCUCUUCUGAAUAAAGUAUUGAUACCAGAUCUACUGUUGUUUCUUCACAACUUGUUAGGAAAGAUUACUAGCAGCUAAGUUAGACGCAUAUACAUACUACUAUAGGAAAUUGAACAGCUUCUUACAUAAUCGGUGCAACUUCUUAUACAAGUAACUUCUUAUACAAACAAGUUCCCCUCCCGGCAAUAGAUAGACAUCAAUAUUCAGACACCUGAGGGUGCUGAAUGUUAGAAACUUUACUUCCUCCCAACGUAAGCUCCCAGUUUAGACACAUUAGGAUUCCAAAAUGAUAGCUCAGAUAACCCCGUAACAAACAUGAGACUUCCAGGGGCCCAUUUUAUGACAGGAGGCUCUGUAUGAAAACUCAUCCAACUAACAACCCUGACAAGAAAAAUAAACAAAACCAAACAAUGUUUAUAUAAUAACAAUACCAACAUCAAAAGAAUAUAGUCUUUGGAUACAGAACUCAUUAUGCAAACUGGUGCUUAAGGUGAAUGCCCAAAUGUAGAUUCAAAAGCAUUGUUGGUUUGCCUAGAAGACAAUGAAUGCUAUGACUCGGUCAAUGUAGGGGAAAUAACAUCCCUUUGAAUUCUAAGCAUUCAAAAGGCAUUAGAAUCAAGGAAUUUUGCUUAUCAUACCCCUUUCCCGCUCCGUACGCUCCAAGCAUAUCCACUACCAUCAUUAGAACCUUCCAAAACCAAGAAAGUAAAAUUAGCAUAAAGAGUGCAACAAACCAAUAGUAUCACAUAAAACUAAUAAGACGUGCUUGGCCACACUAGGCUGCUUCCACAUGUGUGGGUGCACUUGCUAUUUGAGCAUUUCAUUGAUUUAUUUUGAUUAACAAGCACAACCAGAUGAAAAUACGUACGCAUUUGGAUUUGCAUGGAUGGGAGUGGGUUUUAAACCAAGUCAAUGAAGAAGAGAAAUUGAAUUUAUUGCAAAGAAUUCUGUGGGAACAAGCUUGAUGCUGAAUGCUUUUCUUCUAAUUGCUAUGUUUCUGUUAACAAGGUGGUAACAAAUUUGAGAAUUAUAUACAGCACAAGUGCAAGAACUUUAAUAUAAAAUAUCAAAACAGCCGAAAGCAAAUAUUAACAAAAUAUCCACAAGUCACUGUGCCCUAAGAACUGAAAGGAGAAACUCUACUGGGCUGAAAGAUGCCUCCAAUGUGGAAUUGUGAGAAACUGGCUUGGCAUCAUAAGUGGAUAAAUAAAAAGGGUAAUUUUUAGAGACCUCCCCUGAGGUUUGGUGUAUUAACACUUAAAUAGAAUGUAUUCAUGUAAUUACAUAUAUUUUCCCUACAAUUAAUAUAAAAAUACGUAUAGCGUCAGAUAGAAGGGUAAAUGUGUAAAAAUAUAUUUAAAAUUAAAAAUAUUUGCUUUUACCAAAUCAUUAAAAUUUUGACCCACUUGCCCGCUGUCGGCCCAAACUUGACCAGUCGGUCAUGGCUCCACCGGCGGCUGGUGGUGGUGCGCCACUGCCGGAGUCCUCUCCUCACACCAACAACCAACCCCAUUCACGGCAGCCUUUGAAUCAACUGCGUCCACCAACACACAUUAACCCAAGUACACGACUUUUUGAAGUGUCUCUUUUGCUUUGCGUUUUCCCUUCACUGAGAAGAUUCAUCAGCUAAUAUAAUAAGCUUUGUUGCCUUAGAUUUGAGAUUACAGAGGCCUGAGCAGAUGUGGCUGUGAUGUGGGCUUUAUUGUAUUUGACUAAUAGGCAAAACACAUUUUAUUGGCCUACAAGGACGGUGCCUUUUUCUUCUUGUUGGGGAACUUCGUGAAGAAUCCAGCUUGCUUCUUUCUUCCUUUUCUUUCUUCAUUUUAAUUCAUUUUUUUAAUUUAUAAUAACUUUUUGAGAUUGAAUUAUUGGCUUCACAUGUAAAUCAAUGGUAUUUGGUAUGUCACAAGUGUAUAGUUAUUCUUUUUUUAUUUAUUUUUUCUGAUGUUUUUGUGUUGGAAUUAAUUUCUCAAGGUUUUGGCACCACUCCCCAUUGGAUUUGCUGUGUUCAUGGUACACUUGGCCACAAUCCCAAUCACUCGCACUGGAAUUAACCCAGCAACGAGUCUCGAGGCUGCUGUUAUUUACAACAAGGACAGGGCUUGGGGUGGCCAAUGGCUCUUCUGGGUGGUGGUGCUUUGCCACUGCCGGAGUCCUCUCCUAACACCGGCGACCAACCCCAUUCACGACAGCCUUUGAAUCAACUGCGUCCACCAACACAGUAACCCAAGUAGGCUUUUGUCUCAUCACAACCCCCACACCCCCACCGCCCCUUUGGCCAUCGCCGAAGCCACCCAACAACCGCUAACAUCACCAUUAAAGUGGGUUCAAUGGAAUUCUCACUGCCAAUGGAAUUCCCAAAGUUAUAUAUAAUAAUUUAUUAUUUCAGCAGGAAGGAUAUUUUAGUAAUUUUAAAUGUUUACUAACGGUCAACUUAAUUAGUAACUAACGGCAGGGGAGGUAUAUGUAAUUACAUAGAUACAUUCCAUCUAGGUGUUAAUACACCAAAUCUCAGGGGAGAUCUCUAAAAAUUACCCUAAAUAAAAACAAGAGUAAAUAGAAGCUCAUUAACAGAGAUUCCACUGUAUAGAGGGGUAUAUAUGUACAAUAUGUUACAUUUGGGAGAUGAAGAAAGAAAAAGUAAACUCACAAGUGUGCCUUGGAAUGAGUCAAGCACACGAAUAUGUCCUUCCAUAGUGGUCGGAAGCAUAAUUCUCCCAUCAUUGCUGAACUUUAUGACAUCAGAAUCUGAUACAUCUUCCCCAUCAGAGAAGAUGUCAAAAGGACCCUAACAGCAUCCAAGCUUAACCAAAUUAGUGCAUGAUAAAAGUACUACGACAUAUAAACUUCCAAGAUAUUCUUAAAUAUUAAUUUUAACCUUCUCAUACUUACGAGCAUCAAACAUUCUUAUGUAUCCUCCAAAGGCAACUGCAAAGACAAGCCCUUGAUCAUCGUAUGCUGUAGCAGGCCUUCCUUGAACAUUCAAAAGACCCGGAUUUGCCAACAGAGAUCAUAAACACAAUUGAAAAUGGGGGAAAAAAUACUUUGAAUGUGACCGUGGAUGGCAUGAUAUCCACCUAGCAUUUCUCAGCCCGUUGAUCCCAGAGCAGAACAGUUUGAUCAAGAGAACCAGAGAUAAAGAAAUCUUUGGAGGAGCACAGGCUAAACAACCCUAGAAGCAAUAAAACAUAUAUACAGAUGAUAAUAAUUACAAAAUAUUUACAAGAAUCAGUGAAUUACAAACCUGUCAUGGUGACCUUUGAAGUAACGCAAGUACUUGUUAUCGUGCAAGGAAAGAAACUGUAGAGAUUCUUAAUAAAUGAACGUAUCAAACAGCACUACAAGUGGUUUCGUAAUCCAAAAAGUUCUAUCCAUGAAAGCAGAUAUCAAGCACUUCCCCAGAAAAACAAUUCAAGGGUUCCUUUGAUUUCAAAAGACACUUUAUUAUUUCUGCAAUUUCAAACAAACAUUGCAAAAUUGAAACCAGCUUCUUAUACUUAUUUAAAAGCCAUUUCUUAGUUAAAAGCACUUCCAAAGAGACAACAUAAAAUCCUAAGAAACAGAGGAUCAACUUACGUGGCAGCAGAGACAUCGUACGGCCGUAUAGAUUCAUCAUCACUAGCCGUCACCAAAUAACUCGACGAUUUAUGAAAAUCCAUGGAACUAAUUCUCCCAUUCUGUUGAAACACAAAUCAAUACAAAACGACACUGAAUUAACAAACAGAUACAUUUAAAACGCAAAUCGAGUAUGUUCCUCGAAUAGAAACUUAUUAGAAGAUUCUCUUACAUAAUCUCUAAAAGAAAUGCCCACUUCCAUGCUCUGAAGAAUUUCUUCAAAGAGUUCCAACGAGACCUUGUCUUCUCUCUCCGAUUGUGACCCUAAAACCCAGAAAUAAAAACACAAAGCAAAUAAGUAUAUCACAGCAAUUAUGCCAAAAACGACAACGUUUCAAGUAAAAUUUCCACAUACCAACAUUUUUUUUCCUUCAGAUUAAUUCAAUUCCACUGCACUGAAAACAAAUUUUUCACGGAAACGGGAGGAGGUUGAGAAUUUAUUUAUACUUCUGUGUCAAAUAAGGACGGUAGUUUUCUAUUCGUCCCAAAUGGGUGCCUAAACCCAUACAAUGACUACGAUACCCUUAAGCGUCAGCUCUUGUACACUUAAAUGUCAAGGGUAUUUUGAUCAUUUAAUAAUUAGUGACCUAUUUUCCGAUGCAUAUGUAAAGUCAAACUUCACGAAGAAAACGCUAAUAAAAAUGAUUAAGAAAAAACGCUCAAAUUGGAUCAAAGCUUUGAAUGACAACGUAAGUCUCGAUUUUUUUUUUUUUUUGCUUUCUAUUAUGCGUUAUUUUAUUCAUCAUCUAGUAGUAAUUUAAUCUGCAAAAUUCCAAUUUUUGACGCGCGCGCACCAACAAAAAAAUUUUGAAAGAAUUUUAUUUGAAUUUUAUAUGUGUUCCUAUUUGUUUUAUGAAUCGAAUCUGAUAAGAAAUUGUGGGGAUGCAAAUAUCACACGAUGCCUCCGUUCAGUCAAGUUUAUUCUUGAUUUGUUGAAAUUGUGUAAAUAGAUUUAUAAUAGUUUUUAUGAUGUGUCAGGGUUCGCGCUCUUUGGAUAAUCAUGGAAGUAUGGUGAUUUCUAUUUAUUGUUGUGGGGAAAGGACACCGACUUCUUUGCGUGGUUUUAGAAAUGAUCGCAUAGACUUGUAUUAGGAUAAUUAUACCCUUUGACUGUAGUGAUUUCAUCUUGGCAUAUUUAUCAAAAUGGGUAUUUUCCCUUUCAGCUACUCAUCACACGAGCUUUAACCUUCCACCAGUGAUCAAGUUGAACAUGCAAGAUUCCAACAAGUCCCUUUGAGAUCCCGUCCAGUUGUUGCAGCCCAGAUCCCACCAUCAAAUCAGGUCAAAUUACAAGAUAUACCUAACUUAUGGAUUAACUUUCGUGUCUUUUAGUUUGAGAUCUAGUGAGUACAAUGCUCGUAAUGCCCAAUACCAUAUGGUUCAAGAGGAUAUGAGAGCAUAAAGGUUCAAAUUUAUGAGUUUAACUGGUUGAAAAUGGUGUAAUAUGCCUCUGUGGUUUGUACAUAAUGGAUUAGAUAAUCCUCUUUUUUUGGCCCUCCAAAGAAUUAUUCGUAGGAGACUGAAAAUUGAAUCUCUGAUGCAGUUUAUCCUUGAACUGGUAAGACAAUGUAGCUGAAGUAAUUUUUCAUAUUUCAUAUAGUAUUUGCUAUCACUUAAGUGGAAGACUGACUUUUGUAUAUUUACUUUUUCUGGUGGCUUCAAACAGUCUCAACCAUUUGGAAUGUGACAAACUUUGAACUACUAUAUUAAUAAGAAGAUUAUUAAUCCUGCAUGCCCUAUACUCGCUGCUGUGAUUGAAGAAAGGCGGAUAUUACUAUUGCUGACUGACUGACUCUUACCAAUGGCCUUGACAAACCUUUUGUUCGCAUCAAACUGAGGCAUAAGAGGUGUAAAGGUGUAGGAGUGAAAGCUACAACAUAUGCAAAAACAAUAUGGAUGGACCUUGCCAAUGCCGAGUUGAUCUCUGGAAAUAAGAUUCACAUAAAUAGAUUGGGAAUGCAAUUGUGGAGCAAAUUAGUAGGAACCAGGAUGGAAAUUUCACAGGGGUUGUGCAUCUUGAAGGAUACAAGACGACCGUGUUGAAGCUGACCUGGCUGCUUGAAAUAAUCGAGUUAGUGGGGUUCGACUACCUAAUCACAAAGAAAAAGGUAUGUUGAUUUUCAGAUUUUUUUUCUUCCACUUAUCUCUUUGCUGUCAUACAGAGUGCCAUUCUGAAUAGUAAACUUUUCAUGUAAUGUGAAUUUGAUCCAUAAAGCACCUGAAUCUAGAUAAGUUUGCUGCAUGCUGAGCAUUGGGUCUUGUGUCUCAUGUGGGUUUUUUUCUUGAGUUCUUUAUGCCCAAAGAUGCUAGAAGGCUGGUUCUUACCACCGACCAACCAUCUAUUUAUACUUAGUCAUAGCAAUUGCAAACAUACCCCCUUGGUUGGUUCACGCAGUAAAAUCUCUUGAGGCAGUACCUAAUUGCCAUUUCCAAGUGUUUAACCCUAAAUUUUUAAUAACGUUUUGGUGGAUUCAUGUACAUUGAACUAGUCUUCUUUCUAUAUUACAUGGAUUAAAUUUUGAAACUAGGCCAACCUGUUGUUAAAUCUGCCUUUCAAAUUAUUGACUUAAUAUUGCCAAAAAAGAACUUUUUACCGAUUACAGAAUUUUUCAUUUUUGCAGGAAACUGGAGUCGCAGCUGACAGUGCUCAAGGGCAAUCCUUAAAUUAAAUUUCAUUGCAAUCUUUAAACUUUAAAUUAUUUGAGAAAAAAAAAAUCUUGGCAUAAUAUUGAACAGUGCAUUUACUUGUAUAAUAUCAAUAAAACAAUGCAUGUGAGGGAAUAAAAAGAAUAAGAUGAAAUUUGACGACAGUAAUUGGCACUAUUUCAAGCAAAGAAAUCUGGACACUAAUAUGUUUUCUCUGUUACUUUCCAAAAUUACUGCAUGUACAUGAGAUGAUUGUUUGCUACUGUUGUACUGUAUAAGGUGAAACAUUUGAAGAAGCCCCCUUCUAAACUGGUAGUGUUGGUCGUUGUUGUCCUGCCGAGGAAGUGUCAUUAGAUUGAAACCUACUGCAAAUAUUGAUACAAAAUGGCUUCAAGGUUUCGUUAUAGAGCUGACUGCAAAAUGGCUUCAAGGUUUCGUUGUAGAGCUGACGACAAGCUUCUGUAAACAGCGCCCCAUAUUGAUGCACAACAAUGGUAAUGGACGAGCAAAGCCACGCAGUGUACAAUAUGAUAUGACCAAUAUCAGAGCGAGGAACAAAUGUGGAGAUCAAGGAGACUGCAGAAACAGAUCCAGAGACAACUGCUACAAGGGCCCAAGAUUGGGAAGAAUUCUCUUGAUGAGCUAAAUAUGCAUAACAAUAAAUGGCUGUGGUUAUGAGAAAAGACCAUAUAUUUGUUGUGUGUGUUUCAAGCAAGCGCUCAGUUGUGCCGUGCAUAUUUGCUCCCACGAUGCCGAUGAGAGCUGGAAUGAGAUAUCCAAACACGUUAUGGUAUGCGUUUGACAUCGCGGACAAAUAAAUUUUGUUCCUGCAGAACCAUUAAAAUACUAUAUUAAGGAAAGUAUUAGAUCCAUUCCUUUAGAAAAACAAGAAUUUAAGAGAUCAUUAUGUAUUUAGUCCCAUUUAAUAUUAGUUUAAUUUUUUCAAGUUAUUGUGAAAAAAAAAAAUUAUCAAAUACUUUUAUCGAUCCAUUCCUUUAGAAAAAAAAUAUAUAUAUAUAUAUAUAUAUUUUCAGUGCACACACAACAUUUCUUUACUGUUUCAAACAAUCUGGUUCUAACUAUUAUAUUGUAUCAAACUCUUCUUGAGUUCGACUUUCUUUCAAACCCAAAUAUUAUAUUUGACUUUGGCUUUUCUCUUUAUUUUCAAGAUGCAAUGGGUUUCUAUCAGCUUUCCAAGCCUUAUAAAAUCUUGACAAAGACUUGAAGAAGAAAACAAAUUAUUUUCAGUGCAUAUUGAUUGGUAAGAAUUUAAAAAGGAAAUUUGGGAUUUUUUUUGUUUUCUUUUGAACAUUGUCUGUAUAUAUAUAGGGUAAAGUUUUAUUUUUAAAUACACGUUGUGGCUCAGUUCAGAGAGAGAAGGGAGACGGUGAAGAUUGAUGGGUUGACUUUCUUUUCCCGUCAGCCAUUUUGUAAUAGAUUGAUCAGAGCAAUCAUUACCUGCAAAACUCAACACAUCACCAAAUUAACAACCAACAUUUCAAUUUCAAACCCAACCUUAAAUUGAAACAAAUCUUCUUGAAAAAUAAAGGAAAAAGCAACUCCAAAUCAAAAUCGAAAUGAAACCUUAACAGAGAGACAGCCGCAAGUAUGAGGAGACAAGCACGAUCCUAAAAGAUCUGAAGUCCUGUUGGUAUAUGAGAGAUGAACUGACCUCAAUUUAUAUAGGAUGGAUUCCCUUUGCUCAUUGGCUGCUGCAGCCCUGGACCGUUGAGGGGGGACACGUGGAGGGAUCGUGGGGCGGGAUGGAAGUAACUGUGGUUGAGUUAAGGUUGGACUUUUCAUUAACAUACCUUUGAAAAAGGUAUGUUAAUCAACCUUUCAAAGGUACUUCCACCCCUCACAUAACUCCAGUCAACCACAGUUACUUCCAUCCCGCCCCACGAUCCCUCCACGUGAGCUGCUGCAGCCAAUGAGCAAAGGGAAUCCAUCCUAUAUAAAUUGAGAUCCCUGUUGAAACACAUAAAACGACGCUGAAUUAACACACAAAUACACUUAAAAGUCUGUUUCCCAAACAAAAACUUUUUAGAAGAUUCUCUUACGUAAUCUCCAAAACACAUGCCCACUUCCAUGCUCUGAAGAAUUUCUUCAGAGAGUUCCAACGAGACCUUGUCUUUUCUCUCUGAUUGUGAGCCCAAAAACCAGAAAAAAAAACUAAAUAAAUAAAUCACAACAAUUGCGAGAAAACGACAAUGUUUCAAGUAUAAUUUCCACAUACCAACCAUUUUUUUCCUUCAGAUUAAUUCAAUUCCACUGGAUUGAAAAUAAAUUUUCUGCGGGAACGGGAGGAAGUUGAUAAUUUAUUUAUACUUCUGUGUCAAACAGCAUGAUUUCCCAAAUAAGGACUAUAGUUUUCUACUCGUCCCAAAUGGGUGCCUAAACCCGAGCAAUGACUACGAUACCCUUAAGCGUCAGCUCCUGUACACUUAAAUGCAAGGGUAUUUUGAUCAUUUAAUAAUUAGUGACCUACUUUCUGAUGCAUAUAAAAGCACACUUCACGAAGAAAACAUCAAGAAUGAGGAAGAAAAACGCCGAUUGAGGAUGCUCAAAUUGGAUCAAAGCUUUGAAUGACAACGUAAGUCUCGAUUUUUUUUGUUUUCUAUUAUGUGUUAUUGUGGGGAAAGGACACCGGCUUCUUUGCGUGGUUUUAGAAAUGAUCACAUAGACUUGUAUUAGGCUAAUUAUACCCUUUGACUGCAGUGAUUUCAUCUUGGCAUAUUUAUGAAAAUGGGUAUUUUCCCUUUUAACUACUCAUCACACGAGCUUUAACCUUCCAUCAGUGAUCUGUUGAGGCCGAAUGAUGAGCGGAGGAUAGCGUGUUUGGCUUAUUCGUGCGUCAAGGUGAAGCAGAUUAUUGGUGGCAGGAUUAAGCUCGUCGGAUAUUGCAACCAAUUCCUUGGAAAAUGUUUGUGAAUGGCUUGAAGCAUUGAGAUAUCAUUCUAUUAUCUCCGUGUGUUUUCAUAAGCAAAAUUGGGAUGCUAAUAGUGUUGUCAUAGCAGGAAGUUGAACAUGCAAGAUUCCAGCAAGUCCCUUUGAGAUCCCGUCCAGUCGUUGCAACCCAGAUCCCGCCAUCAAAUCAGGUCAAAUUACAGGAUAUACCUAACUUAUGGAUUAAUUUUCAUGUCUUUUAGUUUGAGAUGUGGUGAGUACAAUGCUCGUAAUGCUCAAUACCAUGUGGUUCAAGACAAUAUGGGAUAUAAAGGUUCAAAUUUUUGAGUUUAGCCGGUUGAAAAUGGUGUAAUCUGCCUCUUAGCAAGCUUUUGUGGUAUGUACAGAUGGAUUAGAUAAUCCUCUUUUUUUCACCGUUCAAAGAAUUAUUCGUAGGGGACUGAAAAUUGAGUCUCUGAUGCAGUUUAUCCUUGAACUAGUAAGACAAUGUAGCUGAAGUAAUUUUUCAUAUUCCAUAUAGUAUUUGCUAUCACUUAAGUGGAAGACUAACUUUUUUAUCUCUACUUUUUCUGGCGACUUCAAACAGUCUCAACCUUUUGGAAUGUGACAAAAUUUGAACUACUAUAGUAAUAAGAAGAUUACUAACCCUGUGUGCCGGGUACACACUGCUGUGAUUGAAGAAAGGCUAACCCUGUGUGCCCUAUACACACUGCUGUGAUUGAAGAAAGGCUGAUAUUACUUUUGCUGACUGACUGAGUGUAAAGGUGUGGGAGUGAAAGCUACAACAUACACAAACAAUAUGGAUGGACCUUGCCAAUGCUGAGUUGAUCUCUGCGAAUGAAGAUUCACCUAAAUAGAUUGGGAAUGCCAUUGUGGAGCAAAUUAGUAGGAACCAGGAUGGAAAUUCCACAGUGGUUAUGCAUCUUGAAGGAUACAAGACGACUGUGUUGAAGCUGACCCAGCUACUUGAAAUAACCGAGUUAGUGGGGUUUGACUACCCAAUCACAAAGAAAAAGGUAUGUUGAUUAUCAGAAUUUUUCUACCACUUAUCUCUUUGCUGUCAAACAGAGUGCCAUUUUGAAUAGUGAACUUUUCAUGUAAUGUGAAUUUGAUUCUUAAAGCACCUGAAUCUAGAUAAGCUUGCUGCAUGCUGAGUAAAGAGUCUUGUGUCUCAUGUGGGCUUUUUUCUUGAGUUCUUUGUGCCUGAAGAUGCCAGUAGGCUGGUUCUUACCACUGACCAACUAUCUCUUUGUAGUUAGUCACAGCAAUCACAAACAUACCCCUUGGUCGGUUCAAGCGGUAAGAUCUCUUGAGGUAGUACCUAAUUGCCGUUUCCAAGUGUUUCACCCUAAAUUUUUAAAACUUUUUGGUGGAUUCAUAUACAUUGAACUAGUCUUCUUUCUAUAUCACAUGGAUUAAAUUUUGAAAUUAGGCCAACCUAUUGUUAAAUCUGCCUUUCAAAUUAUUGACUUAAUAUUGCCAAAAAAGAACUUUUUACCUAUUACAGAAUUUUUCAUUGUUGCAGGAAACUGGAGUCGCAGCUGACAGUGCUCAAGGGCAAUCCUUAAAUUAAAUUUCAUUGCAAUCUUUAAAAUUUAAAUUAUUUGAGGAAAAAAAAUCUUGGCAUAAUAUUGAACAAUGCAUUUACUUGUAUAAUAUCAAUAAAACAAUGCAUGUGAGAUUGUGAGGGAAUAAAAAGAAUAAGACGAAAUUUGACGACAGUAAUUAGCACUAUUUCAAGCAAAGAAAUCUGGACACUAAUAUGUUUUCUCUGUUACUUUCCAAAAUUACUGCAUGUACAUGAGAUGAUUGUUUGCUACUGUUGUACUGUAUAAGGUGAAACAUUUGAAGAAGCCCCCUUCUAAACUGGUAGUGUUGGUCGUUGUUGUCCUGCCGAGGAAGUGUCAUUAGAUUGAAACCUACUGCAAAUAUUGAUACAAAAUGGCUUCAAGGUUUCGAUAUAGAGCUGACUGCAAAAUGGCUUCAAGGUUUCAUUGUAGAGCUGACGACAAGCUUCUGUAAACAGCGCUCCAUAUUGAUGCACAACAAUGAUAAUGGACGAGCAAAGCCAGGCAGUGUACAAUAUGAUAUGACCAAUAUCAGAGCGUGGAACAAAUGUGGAGGCUAGUGAGACUGCAGAAACAGAUCCGGAGACUCGUGCUACAAGGGCCCAAGAUUGGGAAGAAUUCUCUUGAUGAGCUAAAUGUGCAUAACAAUAAAUGGCUGUGGUUAUAAGAAAAGACCAUAUAUAUGUUGUGUGUGUUUCAAGCAAGCGCUCAGUUGUGCCUUGCAUAUUUGCUCCCACGAUGCCGAUGAGAACUGGAAUGAGAUAUCCAAACACGUUAUGGUAUGCGUUUGACAUCGCGGACAAAUAAAUUUUGUUCCUGCGGAACCAUUAAAAUACUAUAUUAAGGAAAGUAUUAGAUCCAUUCCUUUAGAAAAACAAGAAUUUAAGAGAUCAUUAUGUAUUUAGUCCCAUUUAAUAUUAGUUUAAUUUUUUCAAGUUAUUGUGAAAAAAAAAAUUAUCAAAUACUUUUAUCGAUCCAUUCCUUUAGAAAAAAUAUAUAUAUAUAUAUAUUUUCAGUGCACACACAACAUUUCUUUACUGUUUCAAACAAUCUGGUUCUAACUAUUAUAUUGUAUCAAACUCUUCUUGAGUUCGACUUUCUUUCAAACCCAAAUAUUAUAUUUGACUUUGGCUUUUCUCUUUAUUUUCAAGAUGCAAUGGGUUUCUAUCAGCUUUCCAAGCCUUAUAAAAUCUUGACAAAGACUUGAAGAAGAAAACAAAUUAUUUUCAGUGCAUAUUGAUUGGUAAGAAUUUAAAAAGGAAAUUUGGGAUUUUUUUUGUUUUCUUUUGAACAUUGUCUGUAUAUAUAUAGGGUAAAGUUUUAUUUUUAAAUACACGUUGUGGCUCAGUUCAGAAAGAGAAGGGAGACUGUCAAGAUUGCUGGGUUGACUUCCUUUUCCCGUCAGCCAUUUUGUAAUAGAUUGAUCAGAGCAAUCAUUACCUGCAAAACUCAACACAACACCAAAUUAACAACCAACAUUUCAAUUUCAAACCCGACCUUAAAUUGAAACAAAUCUACUUGAAAAUAAAAGAAAAAGCAACUCCAAAUCAAAAUCGAAAUAAAACCUUUUAUAACAGAGACAGCCGCGAGUAUGAAGAGAGAAGCGCCAUCCUAAAAGAUCUGAAGUCGUGUUGUAUAUGUCUUGUAUAGAUUGACAGAGCAAUCAAAGGCCGUGUCGACUAGAGCGAUCGAAGAGGAGAAGAGAUAAGAGAGGAAAAAAGAUAGUUAAUUUGAUGCUGCAGCUCUGGAGCGUUGCUCAAUUUAUUAAGGAGGGAUUCCCUUCGCUUGCUCAAUUUAUACAGGAGGAUUUUCCCUUCGCUCAUUUGUUGCUGCAGCUCUGGACCGUUGAGGGGGGACACGUGGAGGGAUCGUGGGGCGGGGUGGAUUAGUGGAAGUAACUGUGGUUGAGUUAAGGUUGACUAGAGUUAUGUGACGGAUCUAAGGCUGGGUGUUUUCGUUUUGGAUAUGUCGUUUUGUCAGUGGGAAUGGCGUCGUUUGUUUGGGUUUAAAAUUGCGCACAUUUAUUAUACGUAGCGGAAUCGUACAAAAAUUGCUGCUGCAGCUCUCCUUUAUUAAUCUGAAGGAAAAAAAAAUUGGUUGGUAUGUGGAAAUUAUACUUGAAACGUUGUCGUUUUUGGCAUAAUUGCUGUGAUAUUUUUUUGUUUGUGUUUUUUUUUUUCUUUUUUCUGGGUUUUAGGGUCAAAAUUGGCUCAUUUCACAUCAUAAUAGACAACAAAAUAAAAUAAAAUAAAAUGAUUAAUUGAUUUAAUCAAUAAUUUGGUUCUGCCUACUUGAAAAAUGAAACGGAUAUCGUGGGAAAUUGGCAGCCCGCCAGUCCCCGGUUCCCACUCCCCAUCGCGCUUCUCUUACUAUUAAAAUACGAGUCAAGUUAGUACACAACGAAAGACAUUGCACAAUUAGCACAGCUUCCCUCUCUGUCUCUUUCACUUCCUCCUUCGUUAUUCAUCUCGCGCUCACUACUGAAUAUUGGAUCGCACCAACUAUGGCUCUCUCUUCCGGGAUUGCUAUUGGAGCUAAACAAUCUAUUUCUCCAUUUUUCACUGUUUCACAACCGAGCCUUAGUUACAGAAAACAGGUCGGUUCAUCCGCAUGCAGUAUUCAAGAUUUUGUUUUUGUUGCUUUUUCUAUCUGGGUUCUCAAUUCUUUUGCUUGCUUGUUUAAAGAUUCUUGUUUUUCGUAUCUGUAUCUGUAUCUGUAUCUGUGUUAUGUGCGUUUCUUGGUUUCUCACACAUGAUCAUCACCAUUGAGUUUGUAUGUAUUGACUGUGGUUGGUUGGUUCGUUGUCGUGGUGAUGUGUUUCAGAAUUUCUGUUUGAGAGCGUCCGCUGAGAAUCUUCUAAUAAGUUUCUGUUUGAGGAACAUACUUGAUUUGCGUUUUAAAUGUAUCUGUUUGUUAAUCCAGUGUCGUUUUGUAUUGAUUCGUGUUUUAACAGAAUGGGAGAAUUAGUUCCUUGGAUUUUCAUAAAUCAUUGAGUUAUUUGGUGAUGGCUAGUGAUGAUGAAUCUAUACGGCCGUACGAUGUCUCUGCUUCCACGUAAGUUGAUCCUCUGUUUCUUAGGAUUUUAUGUUGUCUCUUGGGAAUGCUUUUAAAUAAGAAAUGGCUUUUGAAUAAGUAUAAAAAGCUGGUUUCAAUCUUGCAAUGUUUGUUUGAAAUUGCAGGAAUAAUAAAGUAUCUUUUGACAUCAAAGGAACCCUUGAAGUGUUUUCUGGGGAAGUGCUUGAUAUCUGCUUUCAUCGAUAGAACUUUUUGGAUUAGGAAACCACUUGUAGUGCCGUUUGAAGAAGUGCUUCAUAUAUGUUUGAAAGUGAUUUUACUCGAGGGUACUUGCCAUUAAAGCACUGCUGAACGUAUCCUCUGCGUGUUUGAUGAGCUCAUGAAAGCUACUGUCUUUCUAAGAUGGAGAAAAAUGCUUUUUAGAUGAAACAGAAAAAAAAAAAAAGGAGAACCUUGGAGUGGUUUUCAGGGAAGUGCUUAAGGGAAAUGUAAUUGAUAUAUUUUUCAAGAACUUUUGUAAAAAGGCCUUUUCUUUUUCUUUUUGUUUUGUUUGCAUAAGCUCUUUCUAUAAGAGCACUGCCAAAUGCACUUCAGUUGUCUUAGCUGAGCUCAUGAUAGUUAGUAUUGCAAUUGUUGCUGAGAGCCUUAAUUGAAAUUUCAGAUGUUUGAAGACAAUUAACAGCAAAAAAUAUGGGAAUAUUUGUGUUUUGCAUGUUGGUGGAUUGCUUUACUAGGCACUUAUUUGAUACGUUCAUUUAUUCAGAAUCUCUACGGCUUCUUUCCUCGCACGAUAACAAGUACUUGCGUUACUUCAAAGGUCAUCAUAACAGGUUUGUAAUUCACUUAUUCUUGUAAAUAUUUCGUAAUUAUUAUUAUCUGUAUAUAUGUUUUACUGCUUCUAGGGUUGUUUCACUUAGCCUGUGCUCCUCCAAAGAUUGCUUUAUCUCUGGUUCUCUUGAUCAAACUGUUCUGCUCUGGGAUCAACGGGCUGAGAAAUGCAAGGUGGAUAUCAUGCCAUCCACCAUUUUCAAUUGUAUUUAUGAUCUCUGUUGGCAAAUACGGGUCUUUUGCAUGUUCAAGCAAGGCCAACAGCAUGUGAUGAUCAAGGGCCUGUCUUUGCAGUUGCCUUUGGAGGAUACAUAAGAAUGUUUGAUGCUCGUAAGUAGGAGAAGGUUAAAAUUAAUAUUUAAGAACAUCUUGGAAGUUUAUAUGUCGUACUUUUAUCAUGCACUAAUUUGGUUAAAUUUGGAUACAUCUUCUCUGAUGGUGGAGAUGUAUCAGAUUCUGAUGCUGUAAAGUUCAGCAAUGAUGGGAGACUUAUGCUUCCGACCUCUAUGGAAGGACAUAUUCAUGUGCUUGACUCAUUCCAAGGCACACUUGUGAGUUGACUUUUUCUUUCUUCAUCUCCCAAAUGUAACAUAUCGUACAUAUAUACCCCUCUAUACACUGGAAUCUCUGUUAAUGAGCUUCUGUUUACUCUUGUUUUUAUUUAUCCACUUAUGAUGCCAAGCCAGUUUCUCGCAAUUCCACAUUGGAGGCAUCUUUCAGCCCGGUGGAGUUUCUCCUUUCAGUUCUUAGGGCACAGUGACUUGGAUAUUUUGUUGAUGUUUGCUUUUGGCUGUUUUGAUAUUUUAUAUUAAAGUUCUUGCACUUGUGCUGUAUAUAAUUCUCAAAUUUGUUACCACCUUGUUGGCAUAUUGAAAUACACGACUUGAAAUGUUGGGCAUCAAGCUUGUUUCCGCAGAAUUCUUUGAAAUAAAUUCAUUUUCUCUUCUUCAUUGACUUGGUUUGAAACCCACUCCCAUCCAUGCAAAUCCAAAUGCAUAUGUAUUUUCAUCUGGUUGUGCUUAUUAAUAAAAAUAAAUCAAUGAAAUGCUGAAAUAACAAGUGCACCCACACGUGGAAGCAGCCUAGUGUGGCCAAGCACCUCUCAUUCGUUUUAUGUGAUACAAUUGGUUUGUUGCACUCUUUGUGCUAAUUUUACUUUCUCGGUUUUGGAAGGUUCUGAUGAUGGUAGCGGAUAUGCUUGGAGUGUACGGAGCGGGAAAGGGGUAUGAUAAGCAAAAUUCCUUGAUUCUCAUGCCUUUUGAAUGCUUAGAAUUCAAAGGGAUGUUAUUUCCCUUACAUUGACCCCAGUCAUAGCAUUCAUUGUCUUCUAGCCAAACCAACAAUGCUUUUGAAUCUACAUUUGAGCAUUUACCUUAAGCACCAGUUUGCAUAAUGAGUUCUGUAUCCAAAUACUAUAUUCUUUUGACAUUGGUAUUGUUAUUAUAUAAACAUUGUUUGGUUUUGUUUAUUUUUCUUGUCAGGGUUGCAAGUUGGAUGAGUUUUCAUAGUGAGCCUCCUGUCAUAAAAUGGGCCCCCGGAAGUCUCAUGUUUGUUACGGGGUCAUCUGAGCUAUCAUUUUGGAAUCCUAAUGUGUCUAAACUAGGAGCUUACGUUGGGAGGAAGUAAAGUUUCUAACACUCACCACCCUUAAGUAUCUGAAUAUUGAUGUCUAUCUAUUGCCGGGAGGGGAACUUGUUUGUAUAAGAAGUUGCACCGAUUAUGUAAGGAGAUGUUCAAUUUCCUAUGGUAGUAUGUAAAUGCAUCUGACUUACCUGCUAGUAACCUUUCCUAACAAGUUCUGAAGAAACAACAGUAGAUCUGGUAUCAAUACUUUAUUCAGAAGAGCAUUUCUUCUUACAUGCACAGCUAAGAGUACAUGAAUUGAGCUACUGAAGCCCUUCCUGACCAACCUGGCUAAGGCUCCUUGCAGUUUGUCCUCUUCAUGGUUCUUUGGCAGGCAACAGCGUAAGCAAUUGCCUGGACUAUGAGGCCUUUUGUAGCGGGGUGGGCACUGCCUAGGCAGUUUUUUGAAAAAACUAGGAGCUUUAUUUGUCUUUGACAUUUGUAGCACGAUUAGUUAUUACCUGGAUUAAGUUGUAUAUAUUACAUCGUAUACCUAAUCUGACAAAUAACAGGUUGCAAUCCAAGUUUUGUUGAUCAUGAAGGGUUUGAGCAUGAUAGUCCAUUUAGGUCAUUAGGUCAGCCGAAUGGAAGACCAAUGGAUUUGGAGGGUUUGUCUACAACGCAAACUAAGCUAAUAAUGCCUGUUCAUUGUUUUAUACUUGCCAUGUAUUUUUUUCCUGUAAUUGUCAGAUUGAUGUACAAGUUAAAAUGAUUGUAAAUAAAUUAUAUAUUAUAAUUUUAAAAAUAUUAUAAGCCCAUUGGUUUCAUAUAUAUAUAUAUAUAUAUAUUAGCUUUCUCUCCUACACCCAGGCUUUAUGCCUCUCGUGCCUCAGUUUGAUGUGAAGAAAUGGUCCAUCAAGGCCAUUGGUAAUAGUCAGCAAUAGCAAUAUUGCCUUUCUUCAAUCACAGCAAUGUUUAUUGGGUACGCAGGAUCAAUUAUCUUCAGUAAUUAACAAUUUAACAUAAUAAUAUAUCAUGUUUAUAAAUAUGUAAAUAAAUUUUAUUCAAUAUUUAUAGUUUUAUAGUAAUUUAAUAAUAAAAUUUACCAAACAUAUACAACUAUUUUUAUAACUCACAGCUCCUUUAAAAAGAAGUUUUUGUAAACGUUUAAUUAAUUUUCUUUACAAUUGAUUAUUUCUAUAGCACAGCUAACAUCAAUUAUUUUAAAAGCUACAACAUUACCAAAUUGGCCCCUUACUCUUUUUAUCAAAAUUAUUAUUUAAAAGUUCUAACUAUUUUUAUAACUCACAACUCCUUUAAAAAGAAGUUUUUGUAAACGUUUAAUUAAUUUUCUUUACAAUUGAUUAUUUCUAUAGCACAGCUAACAUAAAUUAUUUUAAAAACUACAACAUUACCAAAUUGACCCCUUACUCUUUUUAUCAAAAUUAUUAUUUAAAAAUUCUAAUUGCAACACGUUACCAACUUUUAUUUCACAUCUACAAUUUUUUUUCACAACAGCUAUACCUUAAAAGUCGCAUCAUCUUAAUACCAAAUAGGGCCAUAGUAAUUUGGGACCUUUUUUUCCCCCUUUCUCCUCUUCUUCAUCAACUUAAAAAAAAACUAGAAACAAAUCAGAGAAAUUGAGUAUGAAAUUAAGCAUUAGUCGAGUAUGAAGUUGGGUGAGUCGAGUAUAAAAUUAAGUACUUUUCUAUAUGAUUUUAAAUAAAGGGUAUUUUAAUAUUUUUCUGUGUGAUUUUGGAUAUAUUUCUAUAAUACCAGUAAACUAUGUAAUAAGCAUAUAUUUGUUAUUUUGUUGUGAAUGGGACAUAUCUGGCGCCAUUUGCUCCCGUGACCGAUCUUUAUAACAGAUCCAAUUACCCUCGUUAUAUUCACUGGAUCGAAAGCUGACAUAGCACAAUUCUGAUAUGUAAUGUGAGUGAUGGGAGAGUCACAAAUUAUUGUAUAAAUUUAUUUGAUCUAAAUUAAUUAGUAUAAAUUGAUAGAAAUAUAAAAUAAUAAAAAUAUAAAUCACGUAGACCAAGGUGUAUUUAAUAAAACUAAUAAAAUUUUACUCAAUCAGUUAAUAUAAGAAUUUGUAAUUUUAUUAUUACUCAUGGUACUUGAACAGUGGCUGAUUGGUCAACUAGUGAUAUAAGUGGCAACGACUAAACUGUUGAGUCUCUACGUGGGUUUUCAAAAUGAGUCAAGAGUCAAGAAAUUAGCUGUAAACAUGUCUUUGAGAUGAUACAUUGUCAUCAUCAGCAUCAUAUCCUAAUUGACAAAGAAGGAUUGCGAGGGAAACUAAGCAUGUGCCUUCAUUUUCACUUGAAAUAAAGCGCAAGGGAAAGAUCUCAUGUUAUCACAUGAUGCCGUGUGAUCACCUAGAAGCCCUUCCACGUAUAUUUCUUCUCAAAUUGUCUUCUUCUAAUUUCUUGGGCCACCGCGGAACCACAAUGUCAAUGGAUGAGCGAGUGUUGCUCAGCUCGCAGCAUUUGGAGCCGGAGCUCAGCUUCCCUUAUUUGUUGGUCGUUUGGUAGGCGUCGCCAAAGGGCAAAGAGGAUCCUCUGGCGUUCGUGGAGCUGGUCCUCAAUGCGAUUGAUUUCUUCUCCAAGUUGAGCAAGUCUUUGUACCAUAGCCAUAGAAUUAUUUACUUUGGACCGAUGCAAUUCUCUUCUAAAAAUUUCAGGGAGCACUUUUCAUCUGCACCCAAAGAUUUCAUCAUAAUUUUAUUGUAUACACACUUGCUUCAACAGCUAUCACGGCUCACUCUUUUUUUGUUAAAUAUUGUUGUUGCCAUUAAUUUUGACAUAUUUGACGUUAAAAGACAACUUUACCUUUAUUUAUAUUUUUUAAUACAAAAUUACCAAAAAACCACAACACCAAUUUCUAAUUCCAAUUGACUUGUGGGGAUAUUAAAAUUUAAUUUUGGCAUCUUUGACCUUAAAAGAUAAUUUUACCCUUAUUUAUAUUUUUUAAUGCAAAAUUACCAGAAAAACCACAACACUAGUUUCCAAUUCUAACUCACCUAUGUGGAUAUUAAAAUUUCUUAAAGGUUAGAAAAAAAGUAAAAAUGUGUUGUUCAAAAUAUCUCCUCUGCCAUCAUCCAUAAACGUCCAUUCUUCAUAACAAUCUAGUAAACUUGCAAAAAGCAAGAUCCCAGUCAAUCAACCAGCCAAAAUUCUUCAUAAAGUUUAGCUUUUCUUAAAAAAACUUAAAUCUUGAGUUAAAAAUUUUAAUUCCUGAGACCCUAAAUUAACUGGUAUUGAAAGUCGCAUGUUUCUAUAACAAAAAUCUUCAAAAAUAACACUACAAUGAAAAUCUUCAAGUUAAAUAAAAAUUUAUAUUCAUAAUAUUUAUGAAUAAAUUAUAAAUAAUAUAGAGUGGUUUAAUUGAAUAUAGAGUAGUUUACAAUUUUAUAGUGUAUUCACUAAAUAGGAAUCGAAAUUAUUUGGAAACAUAAUGAGUUAGAAUCAGAAUAUGUAGAAUCGAAAUAAGGAAUUAGAAUCAGAAUAAUUUAUUUACUUGAACUGUAGGAAUCGUAAUUAGAAUGAGUUGUUUACGUGUUUACUUUGUCUUAGAAUCAAAAUCGGAAUUAGUUAAAUUGUAACAAAUUACUAUAAAAUCCUUAAUUAAUUUUUAUCAUAAUUAUUAUUUCUUAUUUUAACUAUUGUGAUUAUUAUUAAUAAAAAAAUUAUUUAUUAACAAUAAUUAUUGUUAAUUAUUAUUAUUAUUAAAAAGUUAACUAAAAAUUAUUAUUAAUUAUUGUUAAUAGAUUAAUUAAUUAUAAUACUUUUUAUUCUUGUUAUUAAUAAUAAUAAUAAUCCAUUUAUAAUUUAUAAUUUUAUUUAUAAUUAAGUGGAAAUUAAAGUGGUAGGGUCCCAAUCAAAAUGUGGCACGAACACAUUUAUCCAACAGCAAGAUUUUUCGAUUGCCAUCCCCACUAAUUUGGUGUAAUGACUAAGAGUUAAUUGAAAAAUAUUUAGUUUAAUUUUACAUUUAAUUUUUUUCAUUUUUGUAUUAAGAAUUAUUUGAAAAAUUAUUAUAUUCCCUUAAUUUUACCAGAAUCCCGUUGACUUAGCCCCGAGUCUCUUGAUUAAAGCGUUUUAAAAAAAAAAAAGUUCAAAAGAUUCAGAUAGCUCACUCGAUUAUAGGGCGUCUGCACCUUACGCUCGCUUUUGUUGUGCUGCCAGUAGCUGCUGCUUCCUUCAAGACCGAGCUCUCUGCCGCUGUUGCUUCCUUCAAGACCGAGCUCUCUAAGCCCCUCACUGUCGAUUUUGACCUUUGCUUCCUUUUGGCUUCACGAUCUAGAAGCCAUCGUCGCUUCAUUCAAGCCAUCACUUCACGAAAGAAAAAAUAAUAAUAAUAAUAGUGGUAAUAAUAAAUACUCUUACAGAUCUCUUCUUCAUCAAAUUUGUAAAAUUUAGAGAAAAUGCAAAACAGCAAUAAUGAUGAAGCUUCGGUGACAAAGACGACGGAGAAGCCGCCGCUGCCGAAGCGAUCGAAGACGAUCUCGACGACACUCACUUCCCAGGCCCACUUUUUCCCGCCGUUCGCCAAACCGACAAGCCGUUCGAUCUCCGCGUGUCCCUUGACUCCGAUGCUGUGGCGUCGUCUUCUUCGUCGUCGUCGUCGAGUAAUGGGUUUAACGAAAGAGACUGGAUGUACCCGUCGUUCUUGGGCCCGCAUAUGGGUCGGAGGCGGAUCAAAGUCAAACCCAAUAAGCUUGAAUUUAAAGGAAAUGAGGAGCAGAAGAAGAUUCAAGAGUUGGGUUCGAAGAAAGAAGAGAAGGAGGUGGCGAGUUUUUCAGUGACUCAGACGAGUUCAGUGAGUCAGUUGAGUGGAAAGACUCGUGGGUUAAAGAGCUCCUUGAUGACGUAUUACAUGGUUAGUAGUUUGAGUUGAGCUCAACUGCUGUAAAUUUCUUUAUAUUUUAGCUUAAAACGUUGACAAAUUAAACUUAAAAAAUCAAUGAAAUGUAAAGCUGGUAUUUUUCUUUUUCUUUUUUUCUUUCUAUCACUAAAGAAGAUAAAGAAUCGUGAUCAUAAAAUCUAAGUAUUACGAAUGCAAUCUUCAUCGCAAUUGAACAUUGUAGGACUAUUUUCUAAAGUUGAAUGAAAUCAACAUAUUCACGCAUACAGCCCAGCAAAAGAAAACUUCACUCAAUGAAAACCGACGCCAAUGCUUAAUUAAAGUCAAACACAUGACAUUAAGAAAUUUCUAAUAAUCUUAGAAAUAAGCUAGUCCAUAAUCACUUGAGAUCAUUUCCUCACCCCAUAAUCCAUCAACUAACUGAGAAAUGACAACUCACCAAUUAGUUUUUCAUCAGAACUCAUAACACAGCACUUACCCAUUCACAUAAUAAAAGUAUUGACAUUAAUGAGAGCGUAACUUAAUCAAAUAAUAAUCCAUUAAUAAAAUGAAAAUUAACAACUUAUACCUUCAUAGAUGAUUCUUGUGCACUUGACUUUCUAAGCAAAGAACGUCACUAUUCUUUUCAAGAAGGCAGCCACCACAAAGCAUAGAAGCUUCUUCAUAUAAUAGUACAACAAUCAAAACCUGAAACAUACGCAUUAGUAUUAAUUUAUUAUAAUUUAGCAGCAGUAAAUAUUUUUAUAAAAAAGUUAUCUGCAGUAAAUAUAAGAAUAACAAAGAAUAAAAUCUUAGAUCAACAACAGAGAACCUAAACUCUACAACUUGCUUGAACUACUAUCAACAUCAUACUGCAUAAUCAAAUAGACAAAAUAGUUUAAUAUAUAAUUUGUAUUGACCUGCAUACUAUCACGUAAAAAAUAUUGUAACAAAAACAAAACAUAAAAUUGUUUGGUGAUCACAAUGGAUCCUGGAAUGACAACAACUACAUUAUUAUAAUGAGUUUGACAUGUCAUUGUACAUGGAUUCGUUAUGAUGAAUCAUGAAACACCGUUGAGUAGUUAAUUCAGCCACUUUUCACCUAUAAAUUUGAUGGCAUACUUUGAAUACACAACAUGGUUAUAAAUAUAAGUUUAGAGAAUUUUUGUGGGAAAGAAUAAUUUUGUUGACAAAAGAUUAAGUACAAAAAUUAUAACAUCUCCAUUUUUAAUAUAGCUGACAUAAGUUAUUCGAGUGAAAAAAAAAAAAGAGGGAACUUAGAUACGCCAUAUUAAAUAGGGCAGUAAUAAAAAAAAUCUAAUUGACAUAAAUUAUUUGAGCAAAUGACAAAUUUUUGCUAAGAAACUCGUUUUCAUUUUUUCCCAAAUAAUAAUCAAUGUUUUUUUCCACUACGCAUCGAAAGAGCUCGCAUCGACAUCAAUCAUGAACCAGUCGUGGCCUAGCUAUAUUGCCUGCAUUAUGAAUACCACCUAUGACCUUUACAGCCUAACCGUUUAUCUCAGUCUAUUUUUAAUACUCAGUCACAGGUCCAGACCAUUCAAGUUCAGGACAUGACCCUACUGGUCCCAUUAUAUAUCUAUUUAAAUUUCUUUUUUUUUAGAAUGUCUAUUUAGAUUUCUUAAAUUUAAAAAACAAAUCAACUUCUAGCCCUUUAAAAAAAAAAAAAUCUAAAAUCAACAAAGCUAUUAAUUUGAAGAUAUUUUGAAUUCCAAUUCCCAAUUAAAAUCAUGAAUAUAUCAGCUAUAUCAUAGCUUCAGCAUAACUAGUAAGUGGUGACAUCAAAUUUUCAAAUAUUUGGAACUGGAAGCAAAUAUCUAGUUAAUGAUUAAAGUAGUUGACGAAUAAAACCUCUCGUAUUAUCAUAGAGGCUACCCCAAUAGCUUGCAAUAACUAUGUAUGGUGCAGUAAAGUUUCAGGAUAGAUGAAUAAACUAAAAAGCAAAAGAGAAAUAUCAGUUGCAGCAAGAACUACGUCAUCUCCACCUCGAUUAUUAUUCAAAUAUUAACACCAAAUGUCACUGAACAACACAAGAGAAACAUGAUCCAUAUUUUAAAUGUAUCUGAAUAGCAUAAAUAUGAAAAUCAUUGCAGAAAGUAAAAAAAAAAAAAGAAAAAAGUAAAGAGAAAUUUAUCUCACAGCAUUCCUAUUAUUAAAAAAUAUCAAAUAAAUGUGCUCCGAGAUAUAACUUCAUGCACAUUCAGAAGUUCUCAGGCCAAAGAACAUUAUAGCAACUACAAAAACUCAUGAGCCAGCAGGUCUUGUCCCAGUACAAGGUGAAGCAACUAAAAUUAUGCUUUAAGAACUUUAUAUAUAUAUAUCACGAACGCAGGAAGAAAAUUAUUUCUAUAUCAAAAUCAAGAUCACCCAACCAAACAAUGGUACCUUCCAAUAUACCUAGUGUAUGUAUAUAGGCAUCCAUUGAUUGAUACUUUGAAUUUAAUUAAUAAAUCAAUUUCAGGUGUCAUGUUUCCACAUUAAAGAGAGAUAAUAACAAUUAACUAGAUAUGACAGGACUGGAUAAAAAUUUGCUCAAAAUAUACUACAAAGAUCAAAUUUUAUUACUUUUCACCUGCUGUCAUUUCUCUCCAACGUCAGAUCAUGACCUCGAGCAACUCUUUCGGCUUUCUUCGCCCAUUUUUCUUCUUUUUACAGCAUGAAGCUAAUACGAAGCCAAAUGAAAAGUAGAUUAGUCAUUUCAAAUUCAAUUUAAUUGUCAAUUGAAAAGUUCAAUUGUUACCUUCAUCAGCUGUAGAAUCAAUAGUUAAUGAAAUAUACAAUAAGAAGAGUAAAAAAUUUCACCUGCAAAUUAGGACAGCCGAGGAAGCAUCCGUAAACAUAAGAGUAAUUAUAUCACUCUGAAAUUUCAUAAGAGAGAAUUAGGACAGCAGCGAAAGAAAUAAACAAAGCAAUUUGCAAAGGACACAGGCAUAAACAUGAUAGUAAGAAUAAAAUAUCAAACUGUAAGAAGAAGCGAGAAAAACAAAUCAAAAACAAACUGAGAAGCAGGAAGAGCUGUGAUGGUAAAUUCUUCAUCUAAAGCAGUUGAAGAACGAGCAAUGGAUACCGGUCCUUCUUCGUGCUAUCGAGAAAGGAGUCAGAGUUGAGAUCGAGAGAACAACGGAGACCGAUUCUUCGUCUCCGUAAUUUUCCCCUUUUUCUAAAAUGCUAUUUCGCAUUUCCUUUGCUUUUUGGUUUCCGUAUUUCGAUUUUGUUUUUAAUUAGGUAAGAAAAAAAGAUCGGGCCCUAUUUCAAAAGAAAAAUAAGAAGGGGCCCUAAAAGUAAUUUUUCCGAGCCCAUGCAUUCGAUUAAAAUAUUUCAUUAUCUUAGUGGACAGAUUGCCCAAGAAAAAAUAUUCGAUUAAAGCACAUAUUUUAAAAGGUAAAUAACGCGCUCAGAGAUGUUUAAUCAAUAAUACAGUUGUUUAUUAUAGUGAUAACUACUACUUAUAUAUUAAUUCUUCAAAAUAAUUCCACAUUUAUCAUAUUAUCAUUUACUUAUUUUGUAAGCGUUUUAAAGAUAUUUAAAAAUUUUUCCAUUUGACAAUGCUCAAUUAAGGGUAAAGUUUAAAUUAUGUCACAAAAAGUUUUUGAACAGCAUUACACAAAGCAUUUACUGUUUUAACAAAAGAAUGCAUAUGAGGGGACAAAAAAAAGUAAAAGUAUGAGUUUGACUAUUAUCACAGUAAUUAUUUCUAUUUCAAAAGUUGAAAUGUGAACCUUAACAUAUUUUGCGGAAUUUUUUCAAUUACUUUUUAAAAUUACAUGUACAUGGAUGAUUGCUUACUAUUGUGAAAGGCGAUAUAUUUAAUUUGAAGAAAAUUCCUUCUAGACCGGUAGCGUUGGUCGUAGUUGCCCUGUCGAAGAAGUGUUGUUAGCUCGAAACCUAUUGCAAAUGUCAAUGCAAAAUGGUUUCAAUGUUUCGUUGUAGAGCUGACGACAAGCUUCUGAAAACAACGUGCCAUAUUGAAACACAACAACAAUAAUGGCAGUGCCAAUCCAUGUCGUGUACAAAAUGAAAUGGCCAAUAUUGGAACGUGGAAUAAAUGUGGAGACCAAUGAUAUUGCCGAAUUCGAUCCUGAGACAAUAGCAACAAGGCCCCAGAAUUGGGAAGAAUUUUCUAGAUGAAGCCGAGACUUGAGGUCUGCUGAAUGUGCAUAACAAUAUAUGGCUGUGGCAAUGAGAAAAGACAAUAUAUUUAUUGAGUGUGUUUCAAGCAAGGGCUUAGUUUUGCCUUGCACAUUUGCACCCACAAUGCCAAUGAGAGCUGGAAUCAGAUAUCCAAAAAUGCUGGGAUAUGACAUCGACCAGAAGAGAUUUCGCCCACUGCAAGAUCAUUAAAAUGAUUAAAUCAUCUUUUGUAUAUCCCAUUUUUUGACAAAAAAUUAAAAUUGAAAAGCUCUUGUAUUAAUUUCCUCUCAGUUUGUCUAUCAAUUUUUUUUCUUUUGACUGAAGCAAUUCUCCUCUAAAAAUUUGAGGGAACACUUUUCAUCUGCACCCAAAUGUUUCAUCAAAAUAUUAUUGUAUACCCAAAUGUUUCAUCAAAAUUUUAUUGUAUACACACUUGUUUCAAUAGCUAUCACGGCUCACCCAUUUAUGUUAAAUAUUUUUUUUUUUGCCAUUAAUUUUGACAUCUUUGACAUUGAAAGACAGUUUUGCCCUUACUUAAAAUUUUUAAGUGUAAAAUCACCAAAAAAAACUACAACACUAGUUUCAAAUUCCAAUUGACGUGUGUGAAUAUUAAAAUUUCUUAAAAGUUAAAGAAAAAAAGUAAAAAUAUUUUGUUAUGGGAAUCAAAAUAUCCCCUGUACCAUCAUCAUCCAUAAUCGUCCAUCCAUGAUAACAAUUUAAUAAACUUGAAAAAGCUAGAAAUCCAAUCCCAGUGCAUCAAACAGCCAAUUUUCUUCAUAAAGUUUAGCUUUUGCUUUUAAAAAUUCUAACUCUUGAGACCCUAAAUAAACCCAUAUUCAAAGUUACAUGUUUCCAUAUAACGAAAAUCUUCAAUUUACCCCUUUAAAAUUUUGAAAACAUUAAUUUACUUCUAUUUAUCAGUCAAAAGAUUAAAAUAAAUGGAGACACGUUGAGGAUAAACUUUUUAACUUCAAAGUGGUAUUUGAUAAAUAUAAAUAAAUUGAAAAUUAUCAUUUUUUAGUGGGAAUAAGUUACUAAGAGAAAGAAAGAAAACAGAAAACAAAUCUCUUCUAUAGCAGUCUUAACAAAAUUUUCAGCAGGGACUUGAACCAAUUUUUUCACGGAAAUUAAUUAACAGAACAAAAACGCUUUGAAGUGGACUGCACAUAUAUAUAUAUAUACUCAAAAAUAAAUAUACAACUGGAGUCAAUAACGGUAAAUAAAAUGAACGUACACAGAAGGGUUUGGAUUUGGAUGAUGAAGAAUGCACUGACAGCUUUGCAUUUGCAUGCAUAUAUAUCUCAGCAAACCCUGGAUUGAGUUCUUUUUCUCUCGGUAAAUAAGGUAGGGAACAGCAAACCCGAUCAAUUUUCAAAAAAGAAAAAACAAAAACAAAAACUGAAAUGUAAACUCAGCAUGAAACUUGGGAGGGAAAGGGGAGGGGUGAAAAACGGUCACCUUGAGAACCGUCUCAAUUAUCUCUGCUUCAAAAAAUCAUCCCGUGGGUAUUUAUAUUUUAUUUUCAAGUCGUUGAUGCCGCGAGUCCACGGCUGGAUAAGUACGGGGUUUCGAAGAAAUAACGUGCGCGAUUCUAAACAUUGUUUAAUUACAAUUCCAAAGUGUUGAAAAUGACUGCGUUAUCCCCCGACUUUUUCAAUUCCUACCGAGUGUUGAAAAUGACUGCGUUAUCCCGUCUUUUUCAAUUCCGACCGAGUGCUGAAAAUGACAGCGUUAUCCCCUGUCUUUUUCAAUUCAAAAGUGUGUGGCAUCUCUGUAGCUCAAUUCAUGUACCCCUAGAUGUACAUGUAAGAAGAAAUGCUCUUCCAAAUAACAUAUUGAUACUAGAUCUACUGUUGUUUCUUCAGAACUUGUUAGGAAAGGUUACUAGCAGGUAAAUUAGAUGCAUAUACAUACUGCUAUAGGAAAUUGAACAGCUCCUUACAUAAUUGGUGUAACUUCUUAUACAAACAAGAUCCCUUCCCGGCAAUAGAUAGACAUCAAUAUUCAGAUACUCAAGAAAUUAUAAGGGUGUUGAAUGUUAGAAACUUUACUUCCCCCCAACAUAAGCUCCCAGUUUAGACAGAUCAGGAUUCCAAAAUGAUAGCUCAGAUGAUCCGAUACAAACAUGAGACUUCCAGGGGCCCAUUUUAUGACAGGAGGCUCUGUAUGAAAACUCAUCCAACUUGCAACCCUGACA
rnacentral:lncRNA from 1 species